GGGCGGGGGGACGGAAAAAGAAACGGCUCCGAAGAAAAAAAAUUGGGGUUCCCAAUGCUUCUCCACGCUCAACGAGAUGCGCCAACCUCGGGAUGCUUUACUCCUAACCCCACAAGGUUCCGAGACGGAGCUUAACCUGAGUCUCGGUUAAGAACGGCGAUGAUAUACAUUUCACACGGCGCACGAUUCCAUGGAUAGUUUCAUUCGAGAUCGUGAUGGAGGACAUAGCUUACGAUCAUCGGCUUUGAUCAUGCCACUAGGCAUUUGAUUAAGACAUUGCACAAUGAUCCGAACACUUUGUCGCAUCUCUUCGAUACGAAUACAGUAACGAUCAUAGCGAUCUCCUCUGGUACCUACUGGUAUGUCAGGAUCCAAUUGGUCAUGAACAUCGUAAGGUGCUGCUUUUCGCAAAUCCCAGCAUACCCCAGAACCUCUUAACAUUACACCACUGAAUCCCCAAUCCUUUGCUUGCUGUGCAGUGACAGUACCAAUAUCCACUAAUCGUUGUUUCCAGAUACGGUUGCCGGUUGACAUCUCUUCUAAUUCGUCGAUACGAGAAGCAAAUUGUUGUGUGAAUGAAUCAAUAUCUAUACAUAAGCCAAGAGGCAGAUCUUGUGCCACUCCACCUGGUCGUAUGAAACUGGCAUGCAUCCUGGCUCCCGAGACUCUUUCAUAGAAUUCCAACAAUUUCUCCCGCUCCUCAAAAGCCCACAGGAACGGAGUUGAUGCUCCUACAUCCAUAGCAUGAGUAGUUAAAGCAAGUGAAUGAUUUGAAAUUCGAGUUAUUUCACGGAAUAACACUCGUAUAUAUUGAGCUCGUAAUGGUACCUCGCAAUUCAAAAGUCUCUCUACGGCUGAAGAAUGAGCGUGUUCUUGGGCCAUCAUAGAAACAUAGAUAGGGUCGACGACGGAACGAAGAACGAAACUUUACGACAGCUUUUUCGUAGACGUUCACUUGCAUCACAUACACAAGUGCUCUCUGAACCGUGCAAUAAGGUCACCCAUAACACGGCUCUCCCACUUGAGUUAUCUUAGCCCCAGGCCAUGCUAUUCAAUAAUAUUGGAAAAAUGGCAGCGUAAGGUAACAACUAGUAUGGAAAGCUGGUCGCCUUUGGAAGCCUUCGCCGGUAACCAAAGCGUAUCGUUCCCGCAACCACUUUGGUACUUUGUUUAUAGCUUUUUUAAGUUAUGCAAUAGAAGGGGGGGGCUUGCGCUUGAAUUGAAGUAGCGCCUUUGGAAUAUGAGUAGGGCUCCUAAGUGGCGCGUUCGUGGAGGCAAACCGAAGGAAGAGCAAAAGGAAGGUUGGGUGUUUGUGGGGCGCGGCCAUCCGGCCCCGAAUAGGAGGGGGCAACGCUCUGGAUCCUCCCUGCUUGCAGAAAUGAAUGGUAGCCCAUGGGUGUUUUUAUGACGGUCAAUAUACAUAGUUCAGGUUAAUAUUCUAACUCUCAUGCUAAACCUUAUUCCACAUUCCAUCAUAUUAUAUGUGUGUGUGUGUGCGUGUGGGUUUGUAUAUAUAUAUAUAUGUAUAUAAUUGUGUGCAUAUAGUUUUGGUAUGAAUUUUGGACUGAUUGAUCAUGGCAUUAGUUUAUCCCAUCCCUGAGUUAUAUGUUAGCGCACACCCCUCUAAUUAUUCCCGGACGUUGUAUCCCUACAUGAUGCAGGGUCCAAAGACACUUCUGUUUCCUUGUACAGUGGUAGGUGAUUUUUGGAUUGUCCGUAAGUCAUCUUUGAAAUGAUGAGCUUCCAUUCUCCGGAAGGCCCUCAUUUCAUUAUUUUGUCUUUACUUACAUCCUAGGCUAUUUUGGUGGGUUUUUGGCUAUGGUUAGGGGAAUGUACCGACUUUCAUUUAUGUUUGGUUUCUUAAAGGCUUUUGAGGACAGGAUGUGGGUGGAUUUGAUAUUGUGGAUUCUUAGAUCAUUUUUAGUUAAUUUAUCUAUUUGUUAUAUGUUUGGAACUCAACUCUAUCUUAUUAUAUAUUUGGAGCUCAUCUGCUGCGUUGUAUUGUGUUUUUGUUGUCUAGGUUAAUGGGGAUGGUAUCCGGUCCUUGACGGACAUUAGAUACCCGUCACGACUAGGCCCUGGUUUAGGUUGUGAUGAUAAAUAGGAUCGUAAUCUUUAUAGAAUAAUGUUAUGAUUUGUACUUAGGAUAGGAAUAUACUUAAGUGCCCUAUUUGGUUCAAGUACAGGAUGGAUAUGAAAGCAUUUAACUUAGUUCUCUCAUCCCUGCUCAAUGAACUAGUUGCGGGGGUUUAGGUUGUGAUGAUAAAUAGGAUCGUAAUCUUUAUAGAAUAAUGUUAUGAUUUGUACUUAGGAUAGGAAUAUACUUAAGUGCCCUAUUUGGUUCAAGUACAGGAUGGAUAUGAAAGCAUUUAACUUAGUUCUCUCAUCCCUGCUCAAUGAACUAGUUGCGGGGCUUAGUUAAAUAAUUGAUUAGGGGUUCAAAAGGCCAUAGUCAUGGCAUAGACCCUGUGAACCAACAACCAAGAUAAAUAACCUAACUAAUGAAAUUCUAUAAUGUUGUAUGAUUGUUCGUAGUGCCUUGACCCUGGGUUUCUCUGGAUUGAUUAUCCAAGAACUUUACCGCAUUGUUUUAGUUUACAUUACAUUAUAACUCUAAAACUCUUUUGGUUACGUAGCACUUGAUUAAUAUUUUUAGUGAACUAAGAUUGGAUAGUUGUUAACACAAGUCUCAAAGGGAUCAACAUUCAUUUUUAUUUAAGGCCAUUGUAUUACAUGGUGAGACCACGUACACUUGCGUGUGCGCUUGGGCGCAACAGGUCCAUAUUUCAUCAGAAUGACCCUAAAUAGAUAUUUUGAAGGUGCUAUUGAUUCCCAAAUAUCAAAUUUUAUAGGGUAUCAUAGGAUGCAUCCCCAAAAGUUUACCUUUGGUCUCUGUAGCAGAGGUUGCUUAAGCUGCCAAGAGGUCGCUUUAGUCGCCAAGGAUGAUCCAUCCUGGUCGCUUCAGCAAAGGCCCAUUUGCUAAAGUGAACAUUGCUUGAGUGAUGUCUUGACUUCUUUAGCGUAGGCUAACCUAAGACGUGGAUGGAUUUAGCGAUUAAUGGAUCGUAAUUAGGUGUAUUUGACUUAACUAUUCAUUACUUAGGUAGAAUUACUAUCUUAGGAUGCAAUGAGGCUUAAUUAGCACCUCGUAGUGGGGUUUGAUACAUUAGUCUAGUUCGGGGUAGAAUUUGCCUUAGUAUAGACUUUUGGGGUUAUAAGUAGGCCCCCCUAAUCCACCUUAGGCCAAGAUUACUAUUAGAUCCUUGUAGACCCAAUAGGCCUUAAUGUGUUACCUUAAUUACAUUAUUAAGCCCCAGGAGACUUUAUGCAUAUUAUUGCUUGUUCUAGCUUUGUGCUUCGGAGAUGAUAAAACCGGUUCAAGUCUGGCAAUUUAUGGUACUAAAACCAAUUCAAGUUCGGAAGCUAUAAUGGUAUCACAUUUGGUUCAAGUCCUGCUGAUGAGACACUAUUUUCGAUUUGAGUCUAACUUGAGAGGUUAUUUAUGAUAGUUAUGGAACCGAUUUGAGUUUGGUGUUUACGGUAUGUAAAGAUCUAUGGUUGAUGUGAAGAUUGGAAUGAUUAGAAUAUUUACUGUGUUAAUUUUUCUUCUUGAUUGCAUCCAUCGAGAUUAUGGGGGCUAGCAUUGGAUUAUGUACUUUUAUUUGGGUCUUUUGGGCUUAUGGGGGCCAAGUACUGCAAGAAAUAGCUAUGUUCUCUUUAAUGAUAUUAUUUGUUUGUUUACAUUCAGGAUUGGGAGCAUUAUUUCAGGUUUGUCCUUUUCCAUUGAAUUAGCUUAUUGUCUUACAUUUUAUUAUAUUUAUUUUAUGAUUUAGCUCAGUCAACCAAUGAUGUCUAUUGAGUACCCAUUGCUUAGGUAUUCAUACUACACCUCUGUAUCCUUUUUUGGUGUAGAUCUGACUACUAGUUGUCGUCGUUGACACCGUCUUAGUGUGGAUCAAAGUUCGGAGAUAGGGUGGGCUCUCGAAGCCUAAGUUGACUUUCUCUCCUUUUAUUUUUGGAUGGUCUUUUUGUUUUGAUAUUAUUGUAUUUUGACAUUGAUAGUACUCUUAUUCUUUUGUUACAGGCUCUUGUACCGACCUUACUUAGGUCGUGGGAUGUUAUUACUCUUUUUCAUCAAUUCUCAUUGGUUACACUAUUAUUCAAAUGUUAUAUGAUUUGUAUCCUAGUUAAUUUCACAAUUUUGGCAUUUAUGCCAUUUUCCACCAACUAGUCCAUUACAUAUAGUUUUGGCCUAUGGUCGACUUACGUGCUGGUGUGGUAAAGUGGAUGUCAUCGUGACUCAUGAAUUUGGGUCGUGACAAAGUCUCCAACUGAAUUACAUAAAACAACCCAAUAAAGAAGUAUGAGAACAUCAAAAUCCCCCAAUAUUGUAAGUCACUGGUACAAGUCUCUAAAUAUAUCUGAUAUAAGUCUGAAGGCUAUAACAUCAAUAAAAUAAAUAGAAUAAGUAAACAUUGAAGAGAUCUGGAAAUGUUGUAAAUCAGCAAAAUAGCUAUCUCAAUUUAAUAAUUCAACUCCAAACGAGAACAAAUCAAUAAUCUAAAACUUCAGACUCAAAACUUGUACAGCAAAGUACAGAAAAAACAAGUGUAAGUACUAAAACAUAGGUACUCAACAAUAUUGUCAUCCACCCUAAUUCAUAGUGAUGGUGAAAAAAACCCUAAAUCUCUAUUAUUCAAAACAACUCACAUGAGUCUACAAUUAGCAAGGCACAUCUAUGCUAAUAGUAUAAACAACAUUGAAACAUAUGUAACUCAAUUCAAUAAUACUUAAACACCUUAAACUAUAAGGAUAACAACUCAGUAACUUGUCCUCUAUAUAAAAUACCAGUCCAAGUAAAAUGGAUUAUUAGUGAAUGAAUGAAAUGCAUAUAUUGUAUAUACGUAUGUUCCUCUAUACAGAUAGCUAGGAGACUAGGACUCAUGGGUGACUCACGGGUUCUAUAUACUAGACAAACAUAUUUGUUGUUCUAAAAAUAUAAUCAAGGAUGGCGUGUCCUCUGAUAGAACAUGAUGGUGUGUCCUCCAAUCCAUAUAGAACUAGACAGGCAUGCAAGUCCCCUCCUAAUAAGAUGUAAUGAAAAUUGUAUAGGUGUAUCGUAACAAUCUUGAUUAUCAAGUAUAAUAUAAUAUCAAGGAAAUAAUUUUGUAUCAUGAAUCAAUCCAAUUUCUAAUUAAGUUCAUCUCUAUCAACUUUCCUAAUGAUAAAACUUCUUUUUUAUACCUCAAUUAACCGAAAUCUCAGUUUUUGCUCAAAUAUCACUAUAAACUGACUCAAGUUCUCAUAUGAGAAUACUAUCAUUAACUAUCAUGCUCAAUAUAUGACUCUCAAGAACAAUUCACAACAAUCAUGUUAUCAACUAGAAAAAAUAGUCUAACUGAUUUAUUUAGCUAAUUUUAACCUUAGCAUAAUAUCGGUACCCACAUAAAUACUCAUCAUCUCAAUCAUACAGGAUCCCCGCAUCCCUAUUACUUCUAAUACAAAUAAUUAGUACAUAAAAACUUUGAAAAAGAGUCAAAUAAACCUCAAUUUUUCUUAAAAGAAGACCCACAAAGUCAAACUAAAACCUUUCUCUUUUGAAGCGCAUGCGAACAAGCCUAAUCUGAUCAAAUACAUAUUCUACAUAAGAAAACGUAAACACUCAUAUUGCUAUUCUUAAAUUUCAACUUCAAGAUAUCAAUUUGGAGAACUAAAAUUUUCAUAGAAAAUUACAUUACCCAUAACUUAAGGAGUUUAAAUAUGAAAUUUCAUCAAAAAACUGAGUUAAAAUCGACUUCUAAACCAUCAAAUACCUUCUCUUAACUAUACCCAAUAUCCCUAAAUUCUCAAAUUGACAAAUCAAGAUUUUUAUAUAAAAUCACAAGUAAAUCAUUAGGGAAUAUCUAAAAGUAUAUGAUAAUCAUAUCCAAGGAAGAAAUCUCAAAAAUCACCUUCUGAAUUUCACAAAAAUGAGUUUCGCAAACUUCAAAUUUUGAGUUAUGGGGCUUAUGCUAGAAAUAGGAUAUUUAAUUCUGUCUAGGUACAUUGCUCAUCACGAUCACAAUGGAUAAUUCAACCUAGAAUCAGGCCCGCUGGAAUGCCAUUCAUGAUUAUGGAAGCACCCAUGCAAUUGUGUGUAGGUACCUCCCCUACUUCACGAUUGUGGUACCCUCACAUGAUUACGAUGAACGAGAAAAUAGACCUUCACGAUUAUGAUGAAAAAACAUGUUACACCAGAUAGAAGCUGAAUCAAUAACAAGUUUAAACUAAUAAUUCAUGAGUUAAAUCACAUAGACAUAAAUCACAUAUGCUACUAGACUAAAAACGAUAUUUCAGACUCAAUGCAAUCAUCAUAUCAUCAAACAGAGGUCAGUAUCAAUUGAUGUUGACCAAAGCCAACUCUAUGACAUAAACUUUGAACUUUUCAACCAACUAAUCAAAAUUUAUCUGAACGUCUUGGGAUCAAAUCAAAGGUCCUAUAACCUAAAAAUGAUAUUCCAGAGCUAAUAAAAUUGACAGGAUUCUUAUAUGACUUCAAAAUCUCCGAAUGUUGAUCAAAGUCAACUAUAUCAACUCCAAAAUAUUCAAAAAUAAAAAACUCACAUAUCACCCAGCCAACCACCUCAAGAACUAUAUCAUAUGCACCGUCAAACCAUAAAAUACAUAAUGUAACUACGAGAAGGGAUAAACGGUCAAAAUACACCAAAAGUUUGAAAUUAUUAUGAUGAUUGUUACAAUAUGACUUAAUUUGCAAUAUUCAUCUUGCCAAUAUGUAAAAUAAAAGAAAAAUCUAAAACAAGAAAAUAAAAUGCACACUGUUGCGUGAGAGUUUCUUUUUCUUUCUAAAUUCAGUGUACCUACAAUCGAUGCAUCCAUGGUGGUGGGCAUAGAUCCAAAUUUAUGCCAAACACACCAAUUUCAAGAUGUUAUUUUAUAUACCAACAUUACAUCACAGCAUCAGAGUUUAUAAGUCAAUAAUAUUUGCAUUCAACUGGCGUGGAAAGAAAAUUUAUCAGCAAUAAAGCUUGAUACUAGGCAUGACUGAGUGUUGCACCACAGUAGAAACUUAUAUAGAGUAUAUAUUUUAUAUUUAUAUUAAGUAAUAUUUAUGUAUUAUAAUAUUUAAUUAUAAAAUCUUAAAAAAAUUAUAAAUUCAAUAUUGAUAAGAGACUAAAAGUAGUACCUCUUCGUCGUCGUACCUACUUUAUGCCCAGGUAUUUUUGAAAUUCAAUAUUUAUGCUUUAAAGGUGCUUUACGUAUUUUUUUGGCUGAUAGUUUAAUCCCAUAUUAAUUUUAAAAAUGUUUUAUCAAAUAAGUAAGACCCAACAUAAGUAAAAUGUUGAUAACGUGUGAAAAUAUUUUUCAAAUAAGAAAAUACAUUUUUCUUUAAAUAACUAAAAAAAAUAUCAAGUACAUAAAUUGGGUAUAAAAUACACAACCCCAGUUUUGCAUGAUUUGUUGACAUUGUGCUAUCGCGGAGCUUUCCAUCUAGUAUAUACUAGAUAUCGAUGACCCGUGAUAGUAUUGAUCCAAUAUAUAUUAUUUUUUUGUCUCAACUUAUGUGACACAAAUAGAAUUUAAAUAAUUAAUUGUUAAAAUAAUUUAUAUUUUUAAUCAUUGUGAUUUAUAAUACUUUUUCUUCUAUUCAAAUUUAAGUUACACUGAUAUAAUUUCGAGAGUAAAUCAAAUAUUUAUAUCUUUUAAUUUUUUAAGUUGUUAAUUAUGUAAUUUAUAAUAUUGUUUACAUAAUUUUAUAUAUAUAUUUCUUAAUUAUAGUGCUUUACAAUAUUUUUUAUCUCAUUCUCCAAAAAUAAAUUUUACUUUAUGUCUUUUCCUGUCCCAUCCCAAUUUAUGUGCACUAAUAUAAUUUUGAUAGUUAACUAAUUUUUUUAUGUUGACAUAUCAUUUUGUGUCUAUUUUUUUUAUGAAAUAUAUUUUUCUUAAUACUUAGAUGAUCAUAAUAAUUAAUUAGGGUGAUACAAUAAAAUUAGGAUUGAAGCAGCAAAGCAGACAUGUCUUGAAUAACUUAUAACAACUAAUUAGAAGCGAUUUGACAAAAUUAUUAUAAAAAAUACUUGUGAAAAAAUUUAAGUGAACCUCAUAUAAGACGUCAAGUUGGUUUAAAAUAUCAAGAGUUAAUUUAUCAUUUUAUGUCUAUUUUAUUUUUUUUAUUAAAUAGUAUUAAUUUUAAUAAUUAGGUGACUUAUAAAAAUUAAUUAAAGGUGAUAUAGUAAAAUUAUAGUUGAAGUAGCUAAAGCAAACAUGUCAAAAUGCCUAUUUUACUAUAUUGUGUUAAACAUUAUUAAUUUUUCAAUACUGUCACGACCCGAGGCUACCCCCUAGCGUGACAAUGGUGCUUAGGAUGAAAAGUGACCAUAAGCUAACCCAUGAGCUGGUACCUGCCAUGAACAUUGAAUAAAAUAAUAAUCAUACACGUGUGCGAAAGAUAAACUACUGAAGUAAUGCAAAUCUAAACACUGAAAAUGUGGUUCAACCACAAGUCUAAAACAUCUGCUGAAAUAAUGAAAUCUAGCCGUCAACUCAAAACAACUGAUAAUACUGAGAAUACUGAUAAACUAGAUAAGUGUCUAACUGACUGUCUGAAGCCUCUAACUGACUGAGGAAUUGAUGGGAUAAGCCCCCAACUAACUUCGACUGAUUGAACAUAAUGAAAUAUUAAAGUACUGAAUGAGAGAUAAUAUGUCCUCAAUGGAUAAGGAUACACCACUAUGGCUGCUGAGUAAUGCUGGUUGUCUAUCUGCGAUGGGGAAACUGAGCCUUCAAACCUGUGAUAUAAAAUAUUAUAGUGCAAGAAGAGUAUGCGGUCAGUACUUUGAAUGUACUAGUAUAUGAGAUGGGGUCCUGGUCCUGCGGAAAUGCAUGAGGUACUGUGCAUAUGAGAUAAGACAUAACUGAAUAACAUGAAAUAACUGAGCAUAAAUACAUGAAAACUGUAAUAUCUGAGAAUGUAAGACCAAGAAUAUACAAAUUUCUGAAAUAAUCUGUAAACUGAGAGAUUAAAAUCUGAAUAACUGUAAAUUUGUAUGCUUUGGUCAAUCAAACCUAGACUGAAUAUACACUGAAUACUGUAUUGAGAUUAUAGGAGGUAUCAUCUAACCGAGAUUUCCCAAUCUGAGCUAAUCAGGGUCCAACUUGUAACCCCAGUUGGAAGGGUAUUAAUACCAUGCCAUGGGUACUAACACUGGUUGUGUGGAUCCACUAAACUGGUGUCCCCAAGUACUAAUGAGUCACCCUCAACUAGAAGGUGCUUUAAUAAGAUAUGUGUCACCCUCAACUGGCAAGUAAUUAUCUUAUCAACCCUCAAUUGGCAGGUAGACAUCUCUAACCUAUGCUAGCAACAUAAUUCUGUAACUCGGGGAUUGUUACUAAGGAUCACACCCUCUACUGUCAGGUGAUCCCCCAUCCCUGAGUUCGCUCGGUGUUAAUCUUACUCCCAACUGAACUGACACUGAAAUAGAACUGAACUAAGCUUGACUAAACAUGAUUUCAUAACUUAAAAUGCUCAUCAUGAUUAAAUCAACUGAGUAAAUAAUAAAAUUCAUGGUUUAACUAAUCAUGACUGAAAUGAUCUAAAUUUAUGUAAAAAUACUUAGGUAUCGGGUAUUCAUAACUCACUAGCACUGAAUGAUCACUUAAUGCAAUAAGUUGAAAAGAGGAUUUUGGGGCUUCAUAGGUGAAAGGGACCCAUGGAUGAACAUCCCACAUACCUUAAGCUUAUAAGUUGAAAAGAAAAAUGCUAUUCUUAAUACUUCCUUGAAGGUUCUUGAACUUGGAAAACUUGAAUUCGUGAUUUCUUAGGGAAUCUGUAAACUGAGAGAUUAAAAUCUGAAUAACUGUAAAUUUGUAUGCUUUGGUCAAUCAAACCUUGACUGAAUAUACACUGAAUAUUGUAUUGAGAUUAUAGGAGGUAUCAUCUAACCGACAUUUCCCAAUCUGAGCUAAUCAGGGUCCAACUUGUAACCCCAGUUGGAAGGGUAUUAAUACCAUGUCAUGGGUACUAACACUGGUUGUGUGGAUCCACUAAACUGGUGUCCCCAAGUACUAAUGAGUCACCCUCAACUAGAAGGUGCUUUAAUAAGAUAUGUGUCACCCUCAACUGGCAAGUAAUUAUCUUAUCAACCCUCAAUUGGCAGGUAGACAUCUCUAACCUAUGCUAGCAACAUAAUUCUGUAACUCGGGGAUUGUUACUAAGGAUCACACCCUCUACUGUCAGGUGAUCCCCCAUCCCUGAGUUCGCUCGGUGUUAAUCUUACUCCCAACUGAACUGACACUGAAAUAGAACUGAACUAAGCUUGACUAAACAUGAUUUCACAACUUAAAAUGCUCAUCAUGAUUAAAUCAACUGAGUAAAUAAUAAAAUUCGUGGUUUAACUAAUCAUGACUGAAAUGAUCUAAAUUUAUGUAAAAAUACUUAGGUAUCGGGUAUUCAUAACUCACUAGCACUGAAUGAUCACUUAAUGCAAUAACAAGCUAAAAACUAUAGUAAAGGAUCAUGGUUCAAAACCCAUAAGCAUAGACAUUCCAUCAAACAUGUGGGGAUCAUGAAUUUAAACACGAGAAUGCUUUAAAUAGGGGAAAAUAACAUGAUUACAUGACUAAAGUUAUAAAGUUGCGGAUUUAACAUGGAAUUCACUUGAAUAAAGAAUGGGAAACUCAAUUCAUAGCAUGAGGAAAUUCAAAAUUUUUCAUGGAAUCAUGCAUGGGCUGAAUUGAAUUAAAAUCACCAUAAAAACAUGAAUUAAACCUAUCUUUAGCACUAUAAAUACCAUAAUAAUAGAAAAAUUCAUUAUUUAAUUGAAAAGAGGAUUUUGGGGCUUCAUAGGUGAAAGGGACCCAUGGAUGAACAUCCCACAUACCUUAAGCUUAUAAGUUGAAAAGAAAAAUGCUAUUCUUAAUACUUCCUUGAAGGUUCUUGAACUUGGAAAACUUGAAUUCGUGAUUUCUUAGGGAAAAUGAAUUGAAUUUCUAUUCUUGGGAAAAGGGGAGGAUUUUCUUGAUAUGGAUUUGGAGAAGAAGCGCAAAUAAUGCCCUAAAUAAUGUCCCAAUUCGUGUUAUGGACGGUUUGGGUUAAGUGGAAAAGAACCAACUGCCCCUCAACCAUUUAAAUUAAAAACUGGACGCAACAACAUCACCGCAAUGUGGUCUAAUCACGGUCGUUGAAUUCCCUCACCACGAAAUGGUAAACAUGAGUUUGAUACUAUUGCUGCAUCGCGGGCUUAUCGCGGUAACCCAUUGGUUUUGUGAUCCAAAAUGGUUUCAAAUUUAAUAAGGACCAAUAUAUCGGGGACUGAGUUUUCUCUUCUUACCAAAUCUCUUCAUUCCCUUCAUGGGCGAGAUUUUCAAAUAGACUAAAUCAACUACAUCAAACUCAAGGUCUCUUCUCCUCACAUUUGCAUAAGAUUUCUGACGGCUUUAGGUUGUCUUAAACCUCUCACUAAUCAACUGAACUUUCUUCAUCGCAUUAAACACUAAAUCUAUCCUUGUCAAAGCAGCCUCACCUACUUCAAACCAACCAAUAGGAGACCUAUAUCUCCUCUCAUAGAGAGCCUCAAAUAGAGCCAUCUGAAUACUGGAGUGAUAGUUGUUAUUAUAGGUAAACUCAAUUAAUGGUAAGUAUUCAUCCUAUCUACCUUUAAAAUAAAUAACACAUGCUCUCAACAUGUCUUCUAAGGUCUGAAUGGUCCUCUCAGUAUAACCAUCUAUCUGAGGAUAAAAAGUUGUACUGAGAUAAAUUUGGGUACCAAGAUCCUUCUAAAAAGCCUUUCAAAAGUGAUAGGUAAAUUCAGUACCUCUAUCUAAAAUGAUAGACAACAGAACUCCAUGCAACUUAACCUACUCUCUGAUAUAAAUCCUGGAAUAAUCCUCAGCUGAUUACGAAGUAUGAAUCGGCAAGAAAUGUGUUGAUUUCUCCAUCCAUCUACAAUGACCCAUAUUGAAUCAUGCUGACGACGCGUAUAAGGCAAACCUAUCACAAAAUCCAUGUUCACAACUUCCCACUUCAGAGUGGGGAUGCUGAACUCCUGCAAUGCACCACUAGGCCUCUGGUGCUCAACUUUAACCUACUAAUAAUUUGAACACUUAACCACAAACUCUGCAAUAUCUUUUUUCAUACCAUUCCACCAAUAGAUUUCCCUAAGUCACGGUAUAUCUUGGUGGAUCCUGAAUGAAUGAAAUAUCGCACACCAUGCACUUCUUCCUAAAAUUUGCUGCCUCAAGUCAUCAACACAUAGAAUACAUAACCUACCCUGGCAACGCAACACACAAUCUCCCCCUUGGGAUAAAAUCUCUACUUUCUGAUCUCUGACUGAUUCCUUUAAUCUAGCCAAACCGGGAUCCUUAUAUUGCUUUUUCUUCACUUCGGCAACCAAAGAUAAUUCUGAACCAUUCUGAACAUAUACUACCUCAGCUGAAUCAACCAACUGAACGCCAAACAUAGCAAUCUGAUGAAAGUCCCUGAAUAACUCCUUCUUAUUAUCCUCAACAUGAGCUACACUGCCCAUAAACAAUCUACUUAGGGUAUCUACCACUAUAUUGCCCUUGCUCGGAUGAUACAAAACACUCAUAUCAUAAUCUUUCAACAACUCAAGCCACCUUCUCUGACGAAGAUUUAAAUAUUUCUGUGAGAACACAUACUAUAAACUUUUGUGAUCCCUGAACACAUCAACAUGUACUCCAUAAAGGUAAUGCCUUUAAAUUUUCAAGGAAAAACAACGGCUACCAACUCAAGAUCAUGGGUAGGAUAAUUCUUUUCAUGGGGCUUAAACUGUAUAGAGGCAUAGCUAUGACCUUACCUUUCUACAUAAAUACGCAACCAAGACCAACUUUAGAAGUAUCACAGUAAACUAUAAACCCAUUUGAACCAUCUGGCAAAGUCAAUACUGGGGCUGAAGUGAGUCGAGUCUUCAACUCUUGAAAAAUCUUCUCGUAAGAAUCUAACCACUAAAAUUUGACUUUCUUCUAAGUCAAUCGAGACAUGGGGGAUGUAAUAGAAUAGAACCCUUCAACAAACCAUUUGUAAUAGCUAGCGAAACCUAAGAAACUCCCGAUACCUAAUGGAAAGAUAUAUCUGGGCUAGUUUCUUACUGCUUUAAUCUUUUGAGGGUCAACUCGAAUGCCAUCAUCGGAGAUAAUAUGGCCAACAAAAACUACUGAUCUUAGCCAAAACUCCCACUUACUAAACUUGGUGAACAACUGAUGAGUUCUAAGGGUCUGCAAUAUAAUUCUCAGACGGNNNNNNNNNNNNNNNNNNNNNNNNNNNNNNNNNNNNNNNNNNNNNNNNNNNNNNNNNNNNNNNNNNNNNNNNNNNNNNNNNNNNNNNNNNNNNNNNNNNNNNNNNNNNNNNNNNNNNNNNNNNNNNNNNNNNNNNNNNNNNNNNNNNNNNNNNNNNNNNNNNNNNNNNNNNNNNNNNNNNNNNNNNNNNNNNNNNNNNNNNNNNNNNNNNNNNNNNNNNNNNNNNNNNNNNNNNNNNNNNNNNNNNNNNNNNNNNNNNNNNNNNNNNNNNNNNNNNNNNNNNNNNNNNNNNNNNNNNNNNNNNNNNNNNNNNNNNNNNNNNNNNNNNNNNNNNNNNNNNNNNNNNNNNNNNNNNNNNNNNNNNNNNNNNNNNNNNNNNNNNNNNNNNNNNNNNNNNNNNNNNNNNNNNNNNNNNNNNNNNNNNNNNNNNNNNNNNNNNNNNNNNNNNNNNNNNNNNNNNNNNNNNNNNNNNNNNNNNNNNNNNNNNNNNNNNNNNNNNNNNNNNNNNNNNNNNNNNNNNNNNNNNNNNNNNNNNNNNNNNNNNNNNNNNNNNNNNNNNNNNNNNNNNNNNNNNNNNNNNNNNNNNNNNNNNNNNNNNNNNNNNNNNNNNNNNNNNNNNNNNNNNNNNNNNNNNNNNNNNNNNNNNNNNNNNNNNNNNNNNNNNNNNNNNNNNNNNNNNNNNNNNNNNNNNNNNNNNNNNNNNNNNNNNNNNNNNNNNNNNNNNNNNNNNNNNNNNNNNNNNNNNNNNNNNNNNNNNNNNNNNNNNNNNNNNNNNNNNNNNNNNNNNAAAAUAGAGAUAGGCUGGGUAUCUAGAAGAAGAUCUAUUCUGAAGUCAAUUUCCCUUUCAGGAGAAACUCUGGGAAGGUCUUUAGGGAACACAUCUGGAAAUUCCCUUACUACUAAAAUUGACUCGAGUCUUGGAGUCUCAGAACUAGAGUUCUAGACUCAAACGAGAUGGUAAACACACCCUUAUAUAUCAUUUUUCUUGCCUUAAGGUAAGAGAAAAUAUGACUCCUAAGCACAGAGGUACUACCCCUCUAUUCAAUGACUAGUUCAUUGGGAAUUUGAAAUCGAACGACUCUAUUUCUGCAAUCAACUGGGGCAUAGCAUGAGUGGAGAUAAUGAGUGGAGACAAUCCAUACUGAGAAUGACAUCAAAAUCAGCCAUCUCUAACUCUACAAGAUGAACUAAGGUAACUUUAUGAGAUAUUAUAACUGGGCAAUUUCUGUAUACAUGUAUGGCUAUAAUAGAUUUACCUACUAGGGUAGACACUGAGAAAGUUUCUUCUAAAGAUUUAGGACUGACACCAAAGUGGACAGCUAUAUAAGGAGUUACAAAAGAGGGUGAAGAUCUGGGGUCUAAUAAAACAUAAAUAUAGAAAUGAAAGACUUUUAACGUACCUAUAAAUAUAUCAAGAGAACUUUCCUGAUCAUGCCGGGCCUAGAGAGCAUACAAACUGUUUUGACGCUGCCCACUGGUUGUACUGGAGGUGUGCCCUACUGAGUCGGGCGACUUGCUGGAUCUGAUAAAUGAUUAGACUGACCUUAAUGUCCCGAAUCCUUUCACCUCUAAGCAACUAAAAGACAUUCUCAGAUCCUGUGGCCUAGCUUGCCACAUCCAAAGCACACAUCACUAUCAGCUCUACACUCACCCUAAUGAUUUUUACUGCAUCUCUACCAAAGCGGAUUAAUGCGACUACUAUUAACGCUACCCUAGGACUUAGAGCCUGGCACCCUAUAAAGAUUAUCUUGCUUGAACUUUUGCACUGGCGCACUGGCUGAAGAUAGAGCUGGGACUGAAAACUUUUGUAGGAACUGAGAAUGUUUUCCACCUUCUGACCUUAGCUGAGAAAAGUUAAAACUACUUAUUCUGGCCCUCUUAUUCUCUUUUUCCUUCUCCUUAAGCUUCUCUUCCUUAAUAUACUGAGCAUGAACCAUAAGUAUAGAUAAGUACAUCUUCUUAAUCAACAUGGAAGUCCUACACUCUUAAACACACUAUCAGCUAUACCAAACACGAACUUACUCAUUCUAGACCUAUUGUCUCCAAUCACAUUAGGGGCCUACCUCGCCAACUGAGUAAAUUAAGCGAGUACUCCUUCACACUCAUGUUUUCCCUUAUUUAAAUUAAUGAACUCCUGAAUCUUAGCCUCCCUUAAAUCUAAUGGAAAGAACUUGUCUACAAAAGUCAUGGCAAAUUCCUCCUACUCAACAAGCCCUGCAUCAGCACUACGGUCCUCCUUACACUGCUUAAACCAGGUGUGAGCUAUAUCCUACAACUGAUAUGCAGCCAACUCUACACUCUCACUCAAAUUGAUGCCCAUAAUAUAUGUCACCUUCUAAACCAUAUCAAAAAACUUUCACGAAUACUUUUCAGACUUAGAUCCUAAAACAAAUAGGGAUUCAUUCGCAUAAAAUGCUGAAUUCUAACUGCAGUUGUAUUUGCCACUGGAUUGGCUGGGGAAACAAUUUGAUAGUUAUUUUGAGUAGCUACUGAAUAGGCUAAGGUAGUAAAAGCAACUUUGAACUUGGCGUGAGAGACAUGUUUAUUCAGGGGAUCUUCCUGAAUAGGCGAAGGUGUGGGCUGGUCCCCAUUCCUUCUUCUGUUAUUCCUUCUGGGAGGCAUGGUCUGUAAACGGAAUAAAGGAUGAGUCAAAAAUAGAGUUUAAAUAGAGCUCAUACUCAUUCACAUGACAUGACUACUGAAGGAAAGGAAACUUUUCCUAAAACAUCUCGUAGCCUCUUGUCCAUAAGUGUGGCGCGCUCCACACCCAUACACAAGAAUUUACUUAAUGCAACUUUUAAACACCAUAAGACACUGUAAGACCUUAGGUUCUGAUAUAAGUUUUUUCAUGACCCGAGGCUACCCCCUAGCUAUGACAACAGUGCUUACAGUCACAAGUGACCACAAGCUAACCCAUGAUCUGGUACCUAUUGUGAGCACUGAAUAAAAUAAUAAUCAUACACGUGUACUGAAGAUAAACUACUGAAGUAAUGCAAAUCUAAGUACUAAAAGUGUGGUUCAACCACAACUUUGAAACAUCUUCUAAAAUACUAAAAUAUAACCGUCAACUCAAAACAAUUGAUAAUACUAAGACGACUGAUAAAUUGGAUAAGUGUCUAACUGACUGUCUAAUUGUUUGAAAAUUCUCUAACUGACUGAUGAUUUGAUGGGACAAGCCCCCAACUAACUCUGAAUGACUGAACAUAAUAAAAUACUAAAGUAUUGAAUAAGAGAUAAUAUGUCCUUGAUGGAUGAGGACUCACCACUACGGCUGCUAAGUAAUGCUGGCUAUCUAAUUGUGGUCGGGAAACUGAGCCUCCGAACCUAUGAUAUAAGACAUCAUAGCACAAAGAAGAGUAUGUGGUUAGUACUUUAAAUAUACUAGUAUAUGAGAUGAGGUCCUGCUAAAAUCCAUGGGGUACUGUGCACAUGAGAUAAGGACUAACUGAAUAAUAUAAAAUAACUGAGCAUGAAUGCAUAAAAACUGUAAUAUCUGAGAAUGCAAGACCAACCAUAUAUAUAUUUCUAAAAUAAUCUGUAAAUUGAUAGAUUGAAAUUUGUAUAACUGAAUAACUGUAAAUCUGUAUGCUUUGGUCAAGCAAAAACUGAAUAUACAUUAAAUACUGUACUGAGACUGUGGGAGGUAUCAUCUAACUGACAUGCCCCAAUCUAAGCUAAUCGGGGUCCAACCUAUAACCCUCAGUACCGUGCUACGGGUACUAACACUGGCUGUGUGGAUCCUCUAAACUGGUAUCCCCAAGGACAAAUGAGUCACCCUUAAUUGGCAGGUGCUCUAAUAAAAUAUGUUUCACCUUCAACUGGCAGGUAAACACCUUAUCAACCCUCAACUGGUAGGUAGAUAUCUCUAACCUACUAGCUACGUAGUUCUGUAACUCGAGGAUUGUUACUAAAGGUCACACCCUCUACUAUCAGGUGAGCCCUUAUCCCUGAGUUUGCUCAGUGCUAAAUCCUACUUCCAACUGAACUGACACUAAAACAGAACUAAACUAAGCUUGGCUGAACAUGAUUUUAUAACUUAAAAUUCUCAUCAUAAAUACAUCAACUGAGUAAAUAAUAGAAUUCAUAGUUUAACUCAAUCAUGAUUGAAAUGAUCUGAAUUCGUGUAAAAUACUUAGAGAUUGGGUAUUCAUAACCCACCAACACUGAAUGAUCACUUAAUGCAAUAACAAGCUAAAAAAACUGUAGUAAAUGAUCAUGGUUCAAAACCCAUAAGCAUAGACAUUCCAUCAAUUAUGUGGGAAUCAUGAAUUUAAACAUGAGAACGCUUUAAAUAGGGGAAAACAACAUGAUUACAUGACUGGAUUCAUAAAGUUACGGAUUUACAUAUAAUUCACUUGAAUAAAGCAUAGGAAACUCAAAUUCAUAGCAUGAGGAAAUUCAAAAUCUUGCAUGGAAUCAUACAUGUGUUGAAUUGAAUUAAAAUCACCAUGAAAACAUGAAUUAAAUCCAUUUUAAGCAAUAUACCAUAAUAAUAGAAAAAUUUAUUCUUUAAUUAAAAAGAGGGUUUUUGGGCUCCAUGGAUGAAUGGGACCCAUGGAUGAACACCUCACACACCUUAAGCUUUUAACUUGAAAGGAAAAAUAUUAUUCUUGAUACUUCCUUGAAGGUUCUUGAACUUGGGAAACUUAAAUUCUUGAUUUCUUGGGAAAAAUAAAUUGAAUUUAUGUUCUUGGGGAAAAGGGGAGGGUUUUAUUAAGAUGGAUUCGGAGAUGAAGGGCAAAUAAUACCCUAAAUAAUGUCUCAAUUCGUGUUAUGGACAAUUUAGGUUGAGUAGAAAAGACCCAACUGCCCCUCAACCAUUUCAAUCAAAAUUUGGACGCAACAACAUCACUGUGAUGUGGUCUAAUUGCGAUCGUUAAAUUCCCUCACUGCGAUGUGGUAAAUAUGAGUUCAGGACUAUUGCCGCGUCGCGGGCUUAUCGCGGUAACCCGUUAGUUUCAUGAUCCAAACAUGCCCCAAACUUGUCCAAAAAAUUCAAAACUUUCCGAGACAUACUUCUAAUAUCCCUGAACAUGACUUAACUUAAAAACCAAAGGCUUGGGGUCUGGAAGACCAAAAAUAAAAUUAUCGAAUGUUUAGGGGUUUUGAAAAUGACUUAGUCCCCAACACUUAGUGAAAUUUGCAGGCCUUAAGCCUCCUAUGCAUGCAACUAAGAGAUGAAUCGAACUAUGAAUAGUAUGGGGUAUUACAAUUACGCAAAUGAUUUAUAAUAAUUAAUUAGAGGUGAUACAGUAAAAACAUGAUUGAAUCAGCUGAAGUAGGCGGCACAAGCAGACAUCCCGACCUACUCUUGCUUCAACAGUGAAACUUACAUUAUGUCUUCCUUUAAAUACGGAACUAAUAUAAUUUUGAUAGACAAUGAAAUUUUUUAUGUUGAUAUAUCAUUUUAUGUCCAUGUUACUUUUUUAGGAAAUAUUAUUAAUUUUUUAAUGCUUAGAUAACCAUAAAAAUUAAUUAAGGGUGAUAUAGUAAAAUCGCAUUUGAAGCAGCAAAGCAGACAUGCCUGAAAUAACUUAUAAUAACUAAUUAAAAGUGAUAUAGCAAAAUUACUAUAAAAAAUAUUUGCGAAAAAAAAUUAAGUGGGCCUCAUAUAAGACAUCAAAUUAAUUUUAAACAUCAAGAGUUAAUUUACCAUUUUUUAUCUAUUUUACCUUUGUUUAUUAAAUAUUCAUAAAUUUUUAAUACUAGACGACGUAUAAUAAUUAAUCAGGGUUGACAUAGUAAAAUUUUGAUUGAAGUAACUGAAACAGACAUGUCAUAAAUGUCAAUUUUACUUUCUUUUAUUAAAUAUUAUUAAUAUUUUAAUACGUAAAUGACCUAUAAUAAUUAAUUAGAGGUAAUAUCGUAAAAUUAUGGUUGAAGCAGAUGAAGCAGUUAGUACAAACAGACAUGUUGACCUUGUGCCUUCUUAAGUAGCUUAACUCCCUCUUAUAAUAUAAGAGAAUACAUCAUGUGAUUAUUAGAUUACGUAAAGAGGGGAGUAUAAUUGCUACACCAAUGCACCAAACUUGGUGCCAAAAUAAGCCAAGAUAUGAACAAAGUGACCAAAAUAAGUCACCUCUUUAAUAAGUUAUCAAAAUAGGAUAAACGUAAUAAAUUAUUACGUUUUAUUUUUUUUUAUAACAGUUCUUUAACGGAGAUCUAUGUUAAAAAAAAUUGUAAAAUGUAAGAAAUUCUUAUAUUUUACAUUUUUUUGUAAAACGUAAGAAUUUCUUAUGUUUUACAAAAAAAAUAGUGUGUUGUUAAAUCAGCAACUUUAUCUCAGAUUUAGUCAAAUCGUGUGAACUGUAAUAGAAAGUUAAAAUUUAUAUAAAUUGUAACUUUUUAUUACAAUUUAUUAAAAAAANNNNNNNNNNNNNNNNNNNNNNNNNNNNNNNNNNNNNNNNNNNNNNNNNNNNNNNNNNNNNNNNNNNNNNNNNNNNNNNNNNNNNNNNNNNNNNNNNNNNNNNNNNNNNNNNNNNNNNNNNNNNNNNNNNNNNNNNNNNNNNNNNNNNNNNNNNNNNNNNNNNNNNNNNNNNNNNNNNNNNNNNNNNNNNNNNNNNNNNNNNNNNNNNNNNNNNNNNNNNNNNNNNNNNNNNNNNNNNNNNNNNNNNNNNNNNNNNNNNNNNNNNNNNNNNNNNNNNNNNNNNNNNNNNNNNNNNNNNNNNNNNNNNNNNNNNNNNNNNNNNNNNNNNNNNNNNNNNNNNNNNNNNNNNNNNNNNNNNNNNNNNNNNNNNNNNNNNNNNNNNNNNNNNNNNNNNNNNNNNNNNNNNNNNNNNNNNNNNNNNNNNNNNNNNNNNNNNNNNNNNNNNNNNNNNNNNNNNNNNNNNNNNNNNNNNNNNNNNNNNNNNNNNNNNNNNNNNNNNNNNNNNNNNNNNNNNNNNNNNNNNNNNNNNNNNNNNNNNNNNNNNNNNNNNNNNNNNNNNNNNNNNNNNNNNNNNNNNNNNNNNNNNNNNNNNNNNNNNNNNNNNNNNNNNNNNNNNNNNNNNNNNNNNNNNNNNNNNNNNNNNNNNNNNNNNNNNNNNNNNNNNNNNNNNNNNNNNNNNNNNNNNNNNNNNNNNNNNNNNNNNNNNNNNNNNNNNNNNNNNNNNNNNNNNNNNNNNNNNNNNNNNNNNNNNNNNNNNNNNNNNNNNNNNNNNNNNNNNNNNNNNNNNNNNNNNNNNNNNNNNNNNNNNNNNNNNNNNNNNNNNNNNNNNNNNNNNNNNNNNNNNNNNNNNNNNNNNNNNNNNNNNNNNNNNNNNNNNNNNNNNNNNNNNNNNNNNNNNNNNNNNNNNNNNNNNNNNNNNNNNNNNNNNNNNNNNNNNNNNNNNNNNNNNNNNNNNNNNNNNNNNNNNNNNNNNNNNNNNNNNNNNNNNNNNNNNNNNNNNACGCUAAAAUUUUGAACCAGCUCAAUACGCCAAAUUGUUCCUCGACAAUGGCGCUAUUUUUGAUAAAGCUCAAACUAUUCUCUAAUGUGACAGUGUAAGUGAUUGUUGUCAAUAUAUAACCCAACUAGGUUGGGGUCAAAUCUCAUAGUAAAUAUGCUAUGAUCUUAAGUCAUUUGCUAUUUAAUCAACUGAUAGUUGGAUGUUUCCUGAAAUCAAAAUAAGUGUCGCCCUUUCCUUAUUAAACAACUUUUUAAAGACACAAUUACCCUUUUACCUUUAUUGGUCCCACUUAAUUAAAAAAAAGAUAUUGACAUAUUUUUUGAUAAAGGAUAAUUUGGUAAACUUUACCAAGUCUUUCUUUUUUUCUUAAACUCUGUGCCUGAUCAAAUGGCGACACAUAAAAUGGAAUGGAGGGAGUAAAUAUAUUUUAUCAUGUCAUCGUGGACUCAUAAACACAUAAACACAGUGAGUUGUUAAAGUCGGAUUCUUGUGGUAGGUAGGAACAACAGAUUAUCAUUGUCGAAUUUAUGCCUAUAUGUCUUUUGACCUAAUGAAGCAUUUAACUACCUAAUUCUCUCAAAAUUAAGGAGUUUAUAUUUCAUAACUGGAUGUUAUCUAAGGUUAAUUAAUCUUUCUAGAACAUUAAUUAUUAAACAGAAGGUUGGUAGCUUCCACAUCCCUAUUGAUAAUCCGCUUCUUAUUAGGGUUGAUAUAUUAGUUUAAGCAAAUCACUAAUAAGCAGGACCUAUUGUUUGCAACCAAUAGACAAAGUGUAAAUUAGAGGGAUUAGUAAGAAGUUACUACCACUGUUAGAAUCCUCAAUACUUAGUUGCAUUGCAAACCCAAACCCAUAAAUCCUAUAACUCGGGUUAAGGAGUUUAUCUACUCAUACUGUAAAAAGCAAUAUAGCUUGUUGAAUUCAUAAUGCUAUGGAAUAAUACUUACAACAACCGUAAAUAGCAACAGUUGUAUCUCGGAUUAAAUUUUAGUAGAAAAAUCCUAAAAAAUAAUAUGAUAUUCUCUCCUAGGUUAAAUGUAAACUUGUAUCAAAACUAGAGAGAAUACACGUAAAGUUCAAGUCUAGAAUGUCGAGUACCAACCCCCAAGAUAACCCUAAACAAUACUUUAAAUAGUUCACACUAAUUACGAAAAUAAAAUCACAGAGUUCAGUAAUUUCUCAGAUAGGUGAUGACAUUUUGUGAUGCCUUAUCAGGAGUCUAACGACUUAUCACAGAUGUCGUCAUCUCCUCUUUGCUUUUGACAUUCGCUGCCUUAGGCUGACGAUCAAGCGUGAUGGAUUAUCAUAUCUUUGAUAACUUAUCACAAAUGUCAUCGAUGAUUUACUUUAGCUUUAAUGUUCUUCCUUAGGCUAACAACGAUCUUGAUGGAUUAUCACAACUCUAAUGGUUUAUCACAUGUCGUCGUCACUUCUUCUAGUUGAAUCCCAUUCUCUGUUUAAGGCGGCGAUAUUUAAGGCUAGAGAUGAAGCUGAUAACUUAUUAGAGUACUAAUGACUUAUCAGGAAUGUCGUCAGCCAUACUUUUCUUUCUAUUUGCUUCAGAUUUCAACUCUUUUACUUCCAUCAUUGUUGGUUCUCUUGAUCUUGACUUCCAUUGUAAAAUCAAAGAUAAAAUAAUCAAAAAUGAUAAAAUUUGCUUAAGACUUUGCAAUUAUUCUCAGUUAAAAGUCUCAAAUAUGUUAGCAUCUACUCACACAUCAUGCCUCUGCCAUAGUUGAGGCUAGAUAACUGAUCUCAAGAUUAAUUAUCAUGGGAUAAAAAUCAUUACAAACCAAAUAAAACCUUAGGGUAUGUUGAACCAGUUGAUAUAGGUACAAUUAUACCUCCAAAAUUGCCCUAAGGGACAAAAUUUGAUAUUAUAACCACAAUGAUCCAUUUGUUAAAUUUUAAGGGAGUGUUUGCUGGUUUUCCUACUUAUGAAGAAAACACGUACCUUAUGAACUUUAUAGGUAUUUUUACUUUGUACAAUCAACCUAGGUUGAAUCAAGAAGCUAUAUGAAGAAGAUUGUUCUCAUUCUCUCUAACAGGAGAGGCGACUUUAUGGUUAAAUAGCUGCUUCUUGGGUAUAUUAUCACUUCGAAUAAGUUGAGAAUGUAGUUCUUUGACCAAUUUUCCCACCCUCUUGAAUGUUGAAAUUAAAGGAUGAGAUCUAAAAUUUAUGAUAGUUACAUUCAGAAACUCUAUAUGAGACAUGGUUGAGGUUUAAGAAGAAGUUGAUAUAUAUUCAAAAUCAUAGAAUCAUGGUUAAAACUUUGCUUGAGAUAUUCUAUAAAGCCUUGAAUGCAAAUACAAAGGUUGUAGCUGAUACUAAUACAGGUGGAGAUUUUAUGAGUCUUUCUUGGGAUCAAACUUCAAAAAUCAAAGAUUGGUUUAGUAAAACCAAAAAAAAGUGUCAUACUUAGAAGGAAAAUAGCUUAGUUGAUACUUAUGUGAUUAGUGGUUCUAGUAAUAAAGAGCAUUGGAUGAGAUAGUAGAUCAACAGGUAGCAUAAUUAAGAACUACAAUUGGCUAACUUACAAAGUAGUUUGCUGUAAUGAGAUCAUAAAAGGUAAAUAAAGUCCGUACUUAUUGUAAGGCUUCUUGAUGUGAAAAUUUAGAUUCUUUUAGAGAAAUUAAGUAUCUAGACUGAGAGAUAACAUUUUUCUGAACCAAGGACCAAGGGUAUAACAAAGAUAAUUGGAACUUAAGGCAAGAGAAUCAAGGUCAAUACUAUUAUAAAGAUAGGUAUUGGGACAUGAAUUGAGAGUGUCACGGUGACAUGAAGAGGAAAAAUGAUCACAAGGAUAUGAGUGGCCUUUAUGCUCCACUAGGGAAUCGUAAUGUUGAGUUUGGAAGUUUGAGUAUGUAGGAAUUUCUUAUAAAGCUUUUGAAGGGUUCAAAGACCCAAGAGAGUUGACAUAAUGAAAUUAAGGAUGAUAUUUUAGGGUUGAGCCAAAAGUUAGAGUUGCAUGCAGCCACUAUUAAGUAGUUGGAUUGCUAGUUUGGGUAGAUUUCUACCUCAUUUAAUCAACAUCAAUAGGCACUCUUACGAGUAACAAUAUUUAUAAUUUAAAGAAAGACAAUUACUACAUUUCUAUUACCACUCAAAGUAGUCAGAACACUAUUGAUCUACCUAUUUUUGUGGUUGAUGAUAUGGGGAAUGACACUCCAGAUAUUGAGGAUAAAAGCAAAAUUAAAACAUAAAAGUUUGUGACUAAUGAUGAAGCAUCUUAGAAACCUAUAGAUGCUGAGAGAAAAGAGAUGAUAAUUAUAAAGGGAAAGGUAAGAAGGUCAUACCAGUAUUGAAACCCAUAUGACCUCCUUUACCUUUUCCCUAAAGGCUGAAGAAUAAGGCUAAAGAAGGAAAACAUUAAAAGUUUAUGUCUAUGUUGAAAGAGUUAUAUGUGAAUAUCCCUCUUGUGGAUGCUUUGGAGCAGAUGUUUAGUUAUGCAAUGUUUAUGAAGGAUUUGGUAACCAAGAAGUGGAUGGUGAGUUUUGAGACCGCUGAUAAUAUGCACAACUAUAGUGCUAUUGUCUCACAAUCUUUAGUGGUAACAAUGGAGGAUCUCUGAGCUUUAAUUAUUCCUUGUACUAUUAGGUCUUUUAACUUUCACGAGCCUUUUGUGAGUUAGGAGCUAGCGUUAAUUUAAUACUGCCAGUGGCAUACAAAAAUUAUGGUUGGGGUAACCUAAGCCGACCUCUAUAAGACUAUUGAUGGCAGACCUUACUAAGAAAAAAUGGUUGGUAUAUUGAAUGAUGUGUUGGUGAUGGUGGCUUCUUUAUAUUCUCAGCUGAUUUUAUGAUUUUUAAUUUUGAGGUUGACUUAGAUGUCUCUAUCUUAUUUAGACAGCCUUUCCUAGCAUUUGUAGGGAAUUAUUGACAUAGAGAUGGGGCAAAUAAAAUUCAAACUUAAUGAUGAGCAGGUCACAUUAAAUGUUUUUCAGUCAAUGAGGCAGCCAAAAGAUAUACAGGUAGUUUUUGUUAUAGAUAACAUAGAUUAAGAAGCGUUGGUUGUACCCAUUAUAGGAAGGCUUGGUGUAGAGGCACUCAAAAAUAUGAUCAUGAACUUUAAUAGUGAUGGUAUUGAUUAACAUACUAAGUUAGUGAGUCAAUUGUCAGUCGAGGUUCAUAUACUUAUACGCCAAAGAAAUUUAACCUUGAUCUUAAAAAUAGAGUUACCUCGCCGGUUAGGCCAUCUAUUGAGGUGACACCAGUAUUAAAAUGGAAGGCCCUUCUCUUUGAUUUACAUUAUACAUUAUUGGGGACUAACAGUACUAUGCUGGUUAAUAUUAUAGUAAAUUUAUUAGGAUAGCAGGUUAAAGCCUUGAUAUCUAUUUUGUAGAGGUCUAAAAGGGCUAUUGGUUGGAGUAUUGCUGGCAGCAUUGAAAUUUCACCCAAAAUUUGUAAAAACAAGAUUCAUCUUGAACUAGAAUAUGUGCCUAGCGUUAAGCACAAUCAUUAAUAAAAUCCAUUAAUGAAAGAGUUGGUAAUGAAGGAGACCAUUAAUUGGUUAGAUACAGGUGUGGUUUAUCCUAUUAUCAAAAGUAAAUAGAUAUGCUCGAUUGAGUCUGUUCCAAAGAGGUGUUGGAUUACUGUGGUCGUCAAUGAAAAAAUGAGUUAGUUCCUGUAAGAUAAAUCAUUAGAUGGGGAGUUUGCAUGGAUUAUCGACAGAUGAUUACUUUAACCUAGAAGGACCAUUUUUCUAUGCUAUUCAUAUAUCAACUAUUAUACCAUAGUGUGGGUAGAGAAAGUUAUUAUUUUAUUAGUAGUUAUCUAGGGUAAAAUAAGAUCACUAUUUCUCCUGAGGACCAAAAUACAUUCAUUUUCACUUUUCUAUAUGGUACGUUUGAACUUAAGGCGAUGACCUUUGGUCUUUGUAAUGCUCUUGCAACCUUUCAACGUUGCUUAAUGUUCAUCUCUUCGGAUGUAGUGGAGGAUACUAUCGAUGUCUUCAUGGUUGAUUCCUCUAAUGUGGGAAGUUUAUUUUAUGAUAGUUUAGCUCAUGUAUCCAACACAUUAGAAUAAUUAGCAAAGUGAAAAGUAGUGCUAAAUUUGGAAAUGUUUCACUUCAUAGUUAAGAAAGGUAUAUUUCUUGGGCAAAUAAUUUUGAAGAAGGGGAUAGAGGUCAAUAAGGCUUAAUUUAUGGUGAUUGAAAAAUUUCCCCCACUAAUUUUUGUGAAAGCGAUUUGGAAUUUCUUAGGUCAUCCAGGUUUUUAUAGGAGAUUCACCAAGGACUUCUCCAAAAUUCUAAAUCCAUUGUGCAAUAUUAGAGAAGAAGGCAAAGUUUUUGUUUUAAGAUACUUAUCUCAAGGCUUUUGAGAGCCUGGAAGAGAGGUUGAUUUUAGCUCCUAUCAUCUUGUCUUUGUAAUGACCCUCCAGUUCAUUUUCUCAAUUUAUGUUAAUUUCUAGUGUUUUGAGCCUUUCCACAACAACUACAAGUCAUUUAUGACUUGCCAGAAUUGUAGGGUUGGUGACCGACCAUUUUGUUUGACUUUUAGGCUCAUCUAUUUUGGAUUUUUUUAUUUUUAGGAUUUUUUUCUCAGACAAAAAGUCCUAGUACAUGAAAUCGAAUGAGAAUUUUGAUAGCACCAUCAACUCUGGAACAUCAAUUUUAGACUAGAUGGACUCUUGGUUCAGGUACUGAGACACUGGACCUCAUUUAGAGCUAUUGGAGAGCAGAUAAAAAAAUAGAAAUUGGUCGUGAGACCUAACUUUUAUUGAAACCACAUUGGAUAGGAAUUUUGUCUUUUUCAUUGAGUCUGCAACACCAGAAUUGAUAGGGUAGCAUGGUUCAUUUUCAUAUACAAGAUUCCAUUGGGUCUUCAUGGGUUUGCAGAGACUUCGAAAUUUCCAAGUCUCAAGUAGUGCUGGUACACUAUUAAUCGCGAGCCAUAGAUCAAAUAGCGAUCCAGAAGCCUUACCAAGAGUUAUGAACACGACAUUCUUUGAUGUCAAUGCGACACUCUUGGCAGCAUUACUGACAUCGCUGAUAGCAAUGACCAUGUCGCAAAUGUGACUUCUAGCCCUUUAGCUGUGCGUUGUGAAUAGCGAUCAACAGAAAGGAAGUGUGACUCCCGCUUACCUGGAAAGGGUAUAAAUACCUUUUUUCCUCAUUUUUUAUCCAUUUAAAAGAUAGUUAAACCUUAGAAUUAUGAAAGAUAGGGAUUGAAUCUUGUAGGUGAUUUCAGGAGCGUGGAUAAUGAUUUUUUUAGUGAUUUCGUUUUGAAUUCAUGGUAAGAUUCGUUCAAUUACAUGUAAAUUCUUAGAGCUUGGGGCUUUGAAUUCCUAAAAUUUAGGGGUUGAUUUGAGACUCAAUUUGUGUUCUAUUAGAGACAACUUUUGAGCACACAUUCCUUAUCUUUUUAGGGACCCAUGUCGUGUUCAAUUUUAGAUUCUAUUUGUGGGCCCAUUCUUGACUUGAAAUUCUACUCAACCCUUAAUAUAAAAAUAUGGGUCUUAUUUUCUCUCUAUGAAAUGUAGAUUACUAUUUUGAUAGCAUGGCAACAUUUUAAGAUCGUGGAGUGAAGAUGAAAGAUUUGUUAGUGAUUUAAGGAUUUGCUGUUUAGCAUCGAGGUAGGAUUCUAUCUACUCUUCUUCAUGAGAUAGUGUAUUUUAUACAUUCCAAGUUGGAUAGGGAUGUUAGGAUUAAAUAUUAGGUAGAACACCAUGAUUUUGCCUAAUUUAUAAGUUUGGGGACGAUAAGAUUAAUUGGCUUGUAAGGUGAAAUAUUUAUUAUACUUCUAGGAACCUAUUAACCUAGGUUACUAGCACAUUAGGUAUAGUUGAGACUAACGAACUAUUAGUAUUAUGGUUAAUAUGAUACUUGGUGGAUUGUGAUGGUUCUCCCCAAUUAUGAUGUUAUGGUUAUGUCAAUUAUAUAUAUUAUCUGGCCCAAGGCCAUGUUAUAACAUUUAGUGGAUUUUGGGAAAUGGAUAUCCUUGUUAAGGAUGAGGCUACAGUUUAUAGAUAUUUUGAUGCUUAUAAUCGUAUUAUUUUGAUAAUGGUGAUAGAAUGCAUAGAUUCAAUGUGUUCAUGAUCACUAAAAUGGUAAAUGGUACGAUUCCAACUAGAAUAUGGUUGUCUACUAUUUUCCUUAAAAAGAGAGUAAAUCACCCUUUCUCACCAUUAAAAUAGAUUUCUUUAUAAUAGGAAUCAUACUAUCUUAAUGAAUCAUUCGUGUUCUUUUAAGAAUAAAAUGACUUUUUAAAUAAUUAACUGGGAAGGACUCAAGUCCGUGAAUUUAUACCAUUAUUUAGUUUGAUCAUGAGAGAUUCUCGACCAUUUCGACACUCCUAUGAUCAUUUAGUCUCGAGUUUACCCUGGGCAAUAAAUUUAUGGGAUUACACUUUUAAGCCAUAGUUUGAUUCUGUACAUUUGCUAUAUAUGUAUAUACAUCUCUCUGAUACUGUACUAAGAAAGUUGAUAAUGUUGAUGAUGACAAUAAUUGGAAAUCCUAUAUCUAGAAAAGGUCAGUAUAUAUGGGUACUCCCAAAGCCCUAGGGACCCCUUCGUCUGUGCGCCAUCUUGGAAAAGAAUGGAGGUCGUCGUAGGUCCUGCCUUUGUGAGCUAUCAGGCUAGAGGAGGUAUAUACACUGAGAUACUUCAUGGUAUUUGGAUCAGUUAUGGUAAUAUGGUUUAUAUCUUGGCAUUCAUUCUUGUAUGCACAUAGCUUAUCACUAAUAUGCACCUAUAUCUAUCAGCAUUAUGGGGGGUUGUAUAGGUAUAUACAAUGAGUAUGGCUUAUUAAAUAUUGUAUGUUGUUUAAACCUUUUGGGCCUAUGGCAGUGGGAAUUUAUAAAAGGCCCAACUAGUUAUUGUUUGCCUAGACUAAAUGAUCGCCUACAUUUUCAUUGCUAUUGUUAUUAUUAUUAUAAUCAAAAUUAAGCCUAAUUUGUGAUAGCUUGGUUAAUGAUCAGGUAUUGAGAUUCGAGGUAUGAGUCUAAACUCUUUCUCUUAAAUUUAGUUUGUUUUGCAUGACCACCCAUGGUUAGGCAUUUUAGAUUUAGAACCUAAAUAUGUUAACACUCAUUCCUAUUAUGAUAAUGAAGACCUAGGAUGCUUAUAUGAUGAUUUAGGUUGUACCAUGAAUUUACUGUGUUUAUAUAUAUGUAUAUCUAUAUAUAUGUAGCUAUGGAAUUAUUGUAUAUCCCUUCCUUCAUUUAUUUAGGAUGUAUAUUCAUUUCUUGACCCUGUAUACUAUUAUAUAUUCUGUUUUCACUAAUUAUUUGUAUGUUGGAUAAUGGUAUAUGAUAUAGUAUUGAGGUUCCUGAGAGUGGUUGGAAUAGGAUUGUAAAUUCUUAAUACCUUCUUAUCCUUACUAUGUUAGUUUCUUGGAUUUGAGGAGGAUAGUUUAUCCCUAUUGUCUUCUGAGCUUUAUGAUGUAUUUGUUGGUAUUUGGUAGCAGUUUCUAUUUCUCCUUAUAUGAUAUGUAUAUUUGUGUUAUCUUUGGAGAUCGGUCGGCAGAUGCCUACUGAGUACCAUGUGUUUGGUACUCAUACUAUACUUUUAUUGCCUGUAGAUCAUUGUACGGGUUAUCAUUAUUGUUGUCUAUGUCGUGUGGAGUUGCUAUGGUUCCUAGACAUAGGAUGAGCUCUUGACAUUUAGAUUAUUACUUUCCUCCCUCUUAUGUACUAGACUAAUCUCUAUGUUGUAGUCAGAUAUGGUUGUAUCUGUAUAUUCAUUUAGUACUUUAUUUGUAUCCUUGUUCAUAGUUGAAGAUAUUGUAAUGAUUCAACCAGGUAUUAGGACUAUCUUACGUAUUUUAGUCUUUUACAAUAUUUAUUCUGCAUUAUUUCCUCUAUUUCUCUUGGUAAACUAUUUUAGUAGUUUUGGACUAUAAGUUGGCUUUCCUACUGGUAGAUUAUAGUAGGGGCCACCAUGACAUGAGAAAUUAGGUCGUGACAAUCCCCUCAUUGGACCUUAAAAUUUGCAGUGAUGUGUGACAAUAGUGAUAUGGCCCUAGGAGAAGUCCUAGGACAAAGACGCGAGAAGAUACUUCAUCCCAUUUACUAUGCCAGUAAAGCACUCAACCCGCAUAGAAAAAUUAUAUGUAGACUGAAUAGGAAUUACUUGCAGUGGUUUUUGCUUUUGAAAAAUUUUGAUCCUACUUUAUUGGAACAAAAGACAUUGUGCACAACAAUCAUGUUUCUCUUAGUCAAGUUGCAAACCAUCUUUGUUGCCUAGAAGAGGAGGCAAUGCUUAAAAAGGGGAUGAUCUUGAGAAUGAUGAUACUUUUCAAGCUGAGCACGUCUUGGCAGCAUCACUAGACUUAAUCCCUAGGUUAGCUGACUUUGCAAUUAUUUGGCUAGUGACCUCAUCCUAGAAGACAUAUCUUACAACAACGAAAAUAAUUUAUGCAUGAGGUACAAAAAUUCGAUUGGGAGAAGUCAUACUUAUUUUGGGUUUGUAGUUAUGGUGUGAUUUGGAGGUGUAUUCAUGAGGUUGAGAUGAUGAGUACUUUGGAGUCCUGUCAUUCAUCUCCAAUUCAGGGUCAUCAUAGAGGUACUCACACUGCCCACACAACUCUACAAUAUGGUUACUCUUUACCGACUCUCUAUAAGGGUACAUAUGACUAUGCUUUGGCUUGUGUCCAAUUCCCAAGGCAGAGCAAUAUCUUGUGGAACUAUGAGAUCCUUAUGACACACAUCCUUAAGCUUGAUUUGUUUGAUGUUUGAUGUAUUGACAUUAUGGGCACAUUUAUGAGUCCACAUCGGAGGAAGUAGAUGUUGGUGGUAGCCCACUAUGUGUCUUCAUGGGUGGAAGCAAUUAUACUUCCCAACUAUAAAGGUAAGAGUGUCAUGUUGUUCUUAAUGAAGAAUAUUUUGUCUCAAUUUGGUUCUCCAUGAGCUAUCAUCAGUGAUGGUACAUAUCAUUUUUGCAAUCAUCUAUUCAAACUUGAGAAAUAUAGUGUGAGCAUAAGGUGGCAACACCUAAAAAUCCAAAUAUAAGUUAGAAAGUUAAGGUCUCCAACCGGGAGAUAUAGUCUAUUUUGGAAAAAACUGUGAAUGUCAAUACGACUGAUUUGUAAAGAAAGUCAGACGAUGUACUUUGGGCCUACCAGAUAACUUACAAGAACCCUAUUGGUUCAUUUCCUUACCAGAUUGUGUAUGUCAAGGCAUGGAACUUGCCAUUUGAACUUGAGCACAAAGAACUAUGGGCUUUGAAGAAGCUAAAUAUUGAGUGGAGUUAUGUCGCACUCUUGAUAUUAGGGAAAUAAAUGCAAUGUAUGAGUUUCCUCUAUUGCUUAUGAGAGUUUAGCCUUGUAUAAGGAUAUAAUAAAAGUGUACCAUGACAACAGAAUUGAGAGGAGGGAAUUCCAAUCGGGUGAUUUGGUUUAUUAUAUAAUUUAAGAAUUUGCUUAUUUCCUGUCAAGUCGAAGUCUAGGUGGUCUGGACCAUUCACCAUAAUAAGAAUAUUUCUAUCCAAGGUAAAUAGACAUCAUGUUAAGUAUUUUAUGCUAAAUAUGGAGGAUAUAAAAGUUUGUGAGCAUGAGAUCCUUGAUGAUGUUUGAGUAGUCAAGGGAGUUAAGUUAUGCCGCGAUAUUAAAUCAGGUGCAUAAUGGGAGGCAGCCCAUGGGCUUAUUGGUGAAGUCUAAGUACCCAACAUAGCCAUGUUGUGCAUUAAAUCAAGAUCUUCUUGGGAGGUAACCCAAGGUUUUAGUGUUAACUUUGUUUUGUAUUGCAGGAUAGAAAGCAUGAGAAAAUUACUGGCUUGAGAUAAAAUAGAAAAAUGUUAGACAAACCCAGUUUUGUUGACUCACGAGUCCUACCCACAGAGAAAAAGUCAAUCCCAUGAAUCAUGAGUUGCUUUGUGGGAAUCUUAAAUCCCCAGAAGAUAUCUGAACUCAACCCAAGGACAAUGAGUCCAACAUAUGAUUCAUAGAAGGUGUCAUAAAAAUUAUAUACAAAAUAUUAGUUGCGGAUCUUGACUCUGGAAUUCAACACACAAGUUAUGAGUCAAACCAAUAAUUUAUGGGUGGUGUCGUCAGUCCUUAAAGUUAAAAUUUUUAAUUCAAAUUUCUUGGGCCCAUGUCACCCAACCAAAUCGGCCUUUUCCCUUCACUUUUAACCUAAAGUCGAUCCACUCCUUACACUAAUCAUGUACUGAUCAAAUUUAAACUCUCCUACCAUAUAAUAUUCAAAACUGACACCGCUAGUCAAAUUCCAUCCAAAGUAAAACCCUAUAUCCCAUCUGGUGGAUGUGCGAAUCCUACUGUUUUCUUUCUUUGACUCUAACAGUAACAAGAAGUAAAGUCUCUAAUUGUGUUUAUUAUAUGUGUAAUCAUUCAUUCUCAAAGAUAAUUAGACAAUAAUCUGUUUCCUGCCAAUACUUAGGCUGAUGAAAACUGAUUGAAACCCUAAAAUUAUAAAGUUGAACCUACAAAUGUUGAUAUGAACUAAUUUGAUCAGAAUUUCACUAAUUAAGCCACAUAUUGUGUGAUUUGGAAUUGAAAUCUGAGAAAAAAUCAGAGUAAACCACAGGUUUGAACCUAUGAACCUAACCUACGACCCAUGAGUUAUACUCAUGAGACGUGGAUUGGACUCGUGUAAAUCCUAUGUGAGGUUUUGAAACUCACACUCAAGAUAUAAUACCCAUAAGGGAAACUUAUGACUUGUAACUUUAAACCUUAAGUCAUGGAUUGAACUCAUGGAUUUCCUUCUUAAUUAAAGAGUCUAGCCAAUGAGUAGUGGCUUGAACUUAUGGGUUGGACCUACACUUAGCCUUAUUUUUUAUUUUUUUGAUUAAUGUUCUUUGAUCAAUGAAAAUACUCUAUAAAAGCAUCAUGGAACUAAAAGCAACACAAAGAAGGAAUGUAGUCCAAACAAAGAGACGAGUCUCUCGAUCGGAUUGGAUUCAUGGACGAGUACAUCAUUAAUAAUACACCCUUUGUACAAUGCCAAACCCGAUACUUGACCUGAAGAGAUAAAACAACCAGGGCUACCAUUUAGUUAGGUUCUUAAUGUACACCACAACCAAUAUUUUUGUCUAGGCUCAAGGCCUCACCAGCUCUUACUGUGAUGGGUAGACCCCAGAUAAAGGCUACAUGAAUGUCACCACCUUACUCUUUUUCUCCUCUAAUUAUAAUAAGAAAGAAGAGAAAUCUAGUUUAGGUUAGAGUGAGAAGGAGUCAAUCAUCCUAUAGAUUGAGGAUGGGGUGGAUUCUAAGUCUAGUAAUGGAGAUAGAAAGAUAGACAUGCCCAAUUCUGAUAAAAGUAUAAAGGGUAGUGAGGAUGCCUCUAGUUUAGCUCUAGUCACAGAGGUGCAAGAGCCCACACACACCCUUGCUAUACCAGCAUCUCAAGUUAUUCUAAGGUACUAUAUGGAGGAUAUAAAAAUCAUAUACGAUAAAUAUAUAGAGAUUAAUGAUCAAGGAAGGACUCAGUGGAACAUAGUUAAGGAGCCUCACAUUAGACUAGCAGCUUUGGUAUAGAUUUCAAACCUGAAGGCCACAUUUUCUAGAUAUAGGCUCGAAUAGAUAGGUGAGCCUUCUAGAUCUUAUAUCUAGAGGAGGUGUGAUAGUUCUAUACAUCCUAUGUCAUAUCUAUGAUUUUAUCACACUAGCAAGGAUAACAGCUCAAGACUAGCCUCUAUUGGACCACACACUAGUCAUGGGUGCUAGAGUUGACUUAUCCUAGGAGAUAAUCAGUAGAUUCGUAUUUGAGCUGGAGAUUGAGAGGAUAGUUAUUAUAGCUAAGUUUAACAAUAAGAUGGGGAUAUAGGAGUAGGAGGAAAAUAAGGAACCCUACCAUCAGGAGUAGAGGAGAGAGUUAUUGAGAUGAGUGGGUCAGUAGAUUAUUGAGCUUGGUGUUGAUGCCCCUUGGUCGAGGGGAAUGCAGAUAUAAAUAGGCCAUCUUUGCAUUUCACAGCUAUGUUUUAGUGGUCCAUAGUGAGGCACAGUUUGAGCUCCACUAGUAUGGAUAAUGCACUCACAUUAGAAUUAGCAGUAUUGGUUGCCAACAUCAUUACUGAUUAUAACAUAGAUCUCACCCGAUGGAUCCGAGAUGAGAUUCAUGAAAGAGCUUUUUAUGAGAUCACUAGUACUCUUUUCCCUUUAUUGAUCUAGAGACUAUGUGAUGUGAAAUAAGUAUCGUAUUACCUAAGAUUUAUCAUCGUAUUAAGGUUAAACAAAUGGCUAAUGUAUGGUUGAUUUAUGAAGAAGCUAACCUAGCUACAUUGAAAAAGGAAAAACCUUAUACCUCUUCUAGGGCGGCCCUAUCCGAGACUAUGUUGGUUUGUUUGUUACGUUUUAUGUGUUCUUUGUUUGACUAGGAGAAAAAUAAGGAACCUUGGUGCAGUCAAAUCUUUAUGUUUUUGUGUGUUUUAUAAAAAUGAUAGCCCGCCUAAAUUUUGAGAAUUUUGUAUAUAUGAGGUUGUGACAAUUUUUGAAUCUUGGUACGACGUAGUAUUAGGGUCAAAAUUAUCAUAGCUUAGCAGUGCAUAAACCAAAUUGAUAGUGUAACGCCCCAAAAAUGGGUCCCAAGACAUCAUACGGUGCUUAGGACCUUAAGUGAUCCUAAGUUAACCCUUAACCCUUAUAAUGGCAUAACUCAUGAGAAACUGAAUAAGAUACAUAAACCUGAACAAAAUAAGUGGAAGAUAACUUUUCCCUGAAUCUGAUUAAUAUAAAACGGAAUUCACACAAUUACAAAACUACUUUUACAAAGAAACUAAAACUGAAUACAUUAACUUUACUGACUGUCUAUGAAACCUCUACUUAUACUGACUAUAAAUAGUUUGGAACCUACUCGAACUAUCACUAAUAAAUACAUAUGAAUAAGAAGGUAAAGAAUAUAAAUAGGGGUAACUGAAGUCCCCGAAGUAGGAGGACUCAUCAUCUCAGAGGCUGGAAUCUGCAACUGCCCGAAUCUGAAUGUGCAUAUUGAAACUUGUACCUACAUUAUGAGACAAUGUAUCACAUUGAUGUAUAUGUGGAUUAGUACUUUGGGAAUGUAAUGAGCAUAUGGGGGUGAAUGCAAAAGUAAAAACAUAUCACAUAAUCAUCAUUUAUGAAACAAAUAAAGCUAAAUGUAAAUGACUCACAUAGCUUGAGAAAUUUGAAAUAUAAAACUCAUAAAUCAUGAAUAAUGAAACAUGUAGUAUAAAUCUCGUGAGUCAUUACACUUAGUUCUAAAAUCAAUAAUUUUAUUCCCUUCUCAAAAUAUAUAGACUAAGUAGUAAAGUGCUCACCUCUGUAUCUGAAAGCUAAGACUGUAACUUUGAAACUAAAUCUCAGGUAAAACAAUAUUGGAAUAAGCUUGUGAGCCUUUACAAUUAGUACCUAAAAAUCUUUACUACGAAGGAAAUCUUUCAAAGCUUUAGGGAAAAUAACUCAUCUCAAAGAAACUUACUUUAGGAACUACUCUGAAAAUCUUACUAUUACGGAAAAAUACUCAAAAACUGUUUAUUAACUUUAUACUAGUAGGGAGGUUCUCUUAACCGACAUAAACCAUGCGAGCUACAUGGAGUGCGACAUUUUAUCCUCCUAAGGACAAAACCUCACGUUGGGGAGAAGUAUCAUACUCUUUCCAGGGAGUAUAACCUCAACUCAAUGAUCACUAUCUCGACCUCAGGGCCAUUAAUCUCAAUCCUACGGUGGCACGUAGUUCUGGGGUAUGAAACCAUAGUAACUUACCCAACUCGGUGCUAAAUACUACUCCCUUUAAUUAGCUACACUCAUCUCAUUGGAAAUCCACUAUUAAAAAAAUAAUCUCAUGCUUUAUAAUGAUAACCAAACUCAUAUAUAUUUUGUAUUCUGAAAUAAACUGUCAAAAGUGGAUUCCAAAACUCAAUUGGGAUCCGAAGAUCAAAUACUUUGAUUCAAUUUAUAAUAUACUAAUCUCAGGGAGUUCAAAGCAUAAGUUCUUGAAAUAUAAAUACUCAAAUUAGGGCCUAAUAACCAUUCUUCAACUCAUGUAAAUUCAUAGUAACCAUGCUUGUUAAUUAACUCAAUAAUAAUUUAACUCAAAAUCUGAAAAUCUCUGCCAUAGGCAUGAAAAUAUGAGAAUAGACAUGAAACUUAUCUUCAAAAUCUCUCAAAACUCAUAAUCUUGUAAAUAGUGAUAAUGGGUAUGAAAUCUCAAUUUAGAACUCAUGUAUAAACAUUAAAAAUUUUAGCAAAACAUAAGGAUCAAUAUGCUUCUUGAAUAUACUUCAACAAUAUGAAUAUAAUAAGAUCAAGAAUCUCAAUAUCAUGCUUAAACUCAAUUGGGAAAUCCAGAAAAUUGCAUUACGCGCAUAAAUACAUGAAAAUAGUCAUGCAAUUCAAUAUUUAUUCACCUGUAAACUCAUAAUCAUCAAAUACUUAUAAUUAGGUAUGCACCCUACUUUCAAAUAAUAAGAUACUUAAUGAAAAAUAGAAUUUUAUGCGCAAGGAUGAAAGGAAUGUCCUUGUUCAUAACCCCAGAUACCUUAAUUUUUGAUCUUAGAUGAGAAAGCUUGAAUCUUUGAUUCCUAUGAUAAAUUGAAUGUUAAAGCUUGAACUUUGAACCCUUUGGAGAUGAUUUUAAAAACAUUUUUGAAGUUCUUGGAUUAAGAACCCUAAAUUCUUGAUCUUUUGGUUGAAGAGAAGAAGAUGGAAUUGACGAUUAUUGAGGGAAUUGACUAGGGUUUUUCUUGAGGGAAAAAUUGGAGAAUGGGGGCAAAUAAUGCCACAAUUGAAGCCUUAGAAUGUGUUUUUACGACCUGGGUUGAGGUGGGAAAAGACCCCAUUGUUCCUUAUUAAUUUAAAGCAGAAAUUCGUAACCCACAUCUCGAUUUACCCAUUAACGCGAUGCUCUACCAUCAUGGCAACCCACUGUCUCACAAUAAAAUGGCAAUAACUUUUCCCUCGAAUACCGGAUUUUUGCAAAAUUCCUAUCGUCGGAAAACUAAUUUAAUUAUCUAAAAUUUGGUUGGUAUUUUGAUGGAAAAUUCCAUGUAUAUAAAAUUUUAUAUAUUUUUAAAGUAGACCCUUUUAGGAUUGAAUGCCAAAUUUUGGUCGAAUCUAAUGUUCUUAGCUCCACUUGGCUUCAAGUUACUUCUAUGAACAUUAUUCACCUAAUAAGGACUUCACAUACUUGGGAUUAAAUUCAUGCCAUAAUAAUUUGAAUUAUGGAUCAAGAGUUUGAUAAUUACACCUUCACCGCGAUGCGUUGAAAUCGUGUUAAGCUUCUGCAAAAGUACAAGUGCGAAUUUGUACUCUGGCAUGACACGGUGCUAUAACAUUGCGCCACUAGAAAUUGAAAAUUAGGAAUUUGGACCUCUCUACUAUGUGCCAAUAUCAUAAAGGUCCACUCUAAUGUGACAAUUUCCAUUUUGGUAUCACCGCGAUGCGGUGAGUGCCCAAGUGGGAUACUGCAUUAAUAAAAAUGCUCUAACUUCUUUACCGAGUGUUGGAUUUGGGCUAAUUUGAUAUCGAUGGAAAGCUUAUUCAAUUUCCCACACAAUGGAUGGUCUAAAUAUGGAAAAUUCCAUAUGAAUUAAAGGUUAUUCCUUUUGGAAGAACAUUCUUAACAUUCUAGGAAUGAAUUUAUAGCUAGGAAAAAUAGGGAGCAUUACAAUAUCUCUCCCUUGGGAACAUUCGUCCUCGAAUGUGGAUAAUUAAGCUAAAAAUACUGAAUAAUUCGAGGUUAUAAGCUAUCAUGCACAACUGAAAUAAACUGAAUAACUAAAUCCUAAACAUAAUAAGUUACUGAACUGAUCUGUGAAUGCAUGAAUUCUCAUGAAAAUAGCUAAAUGGCUGAUAUAGAAAGAAGGGUGUCAACUUAUGAGUAACCAUUACUUUAGGCUAGCUCUGAUUUCAUGAGAAAAUGAAUGAGAGUUUUAAGACAUUAAAAACUUGGGGUAUUACAAUAUCUCCCCUUAGGGAUCGUUCGCCCCCGAAUGAUACUGAUUUGAUUGAAAUACUAGAGAAAGACUAAGAUGAAGAAUAGCAAGCUCACGAGUUGAAACAUGACUGAUUAUCUACAUUCUAAAACUGAUUCAUAAACUUAGCUGAAUUCGCAAGGUACGCUAAGUAAGAAAAUUUUUUCUUAGAAUGAUAUGACUAGGUGGGAAGAUUAAAAACCGUAGAAACUUGUCCGUAUGACUGCUAGACUGAAUUACUGGCUAAACGGGUUAAUUCAUACUGUACAUUCCACUUCAAUGACUAUAUUUAACCAUUUUCUAGGAUCUCACUAACGUACAAUACAUCCAUCUACAUAUAUAAAAACAUGACAUUCAAGCCUAUCUUCAUAACCACGUAUGCACUUCUAACACACACAAAAAAGCAUCUUUCUCAUAUUCUCCAAUACCUUUAUCAAUAAAAAAUUCCAUUCAAUAUUCAAUUCUUCGGAAGACACACAUAAAAUUUUUCCUACUAACCAAGUCAUACAGAAAAAGCUUUACCUCAAUAUUCCUUCAUUUACAGACCUACAUAAUGCAACAUCUGAUUUCAUAAGUGUAGGGCAUCUAAAUACAACUCUAAAAUACUAAAAAAUGAAUAAUUGUCAUUGAAAAUAAUUAAAGACAUCUAAGAUAGGUAAGAGGAGGUUCGAGGUUAGCUUUGCAGCCCUAAAGCAUGCCAAUACCUUGAUCACCACUCAGACAAGCAUGAAAUUAGCUACCACAUUGUCAUGACCCAAACCCGAGCUUAGCCAUGAUGGGUAUCCCAAGCCAACCAAGUCUGACUAUAAUCCCCUUUUGCCUUACCUCAAGAGCACAAUAGUAAUAUACUGUAAAAAUAAAUCAAAAAAUAAGAAGAUAUAUAAAUCCAAAGGAAGUUACUAGAGUCAAAUAAGACAACAAAGACAUCCCAAUGCUGUCUACAAAAGCCUCUAAUUUAAAAAAAUACCAACUAAUUCAAGAUGUGCCCUCGACUAUAAUAAAUAAAAUCCAUAAAUACUAGAAUGAUAAAUGAAAACAAAGAGAAUGACCAUACCUUUCGAAAAAUGAAGGGCUCACCACUUCAUAACUGAUCUGGAUGAAUAUCAAACUUCUUAAUGCUUCACAGGGUCACACAAAAAUUCCUCAAAACCUACAUCCUAAAAUGAUGUAGUAUCCGAGGAUGGAAAAUGCAACGAGUACUGGCAUGUAACCCAAGAAAAGGGAUAAAACAUGUAUAUUUAACAAAAAUCUAUUCAUAAACCACAUGCAGAACAUUAUACAUAUAUAUAUAUAUAUAUAUAUAAAACUAGUCUCCUUCCAUUUAGAAACUGAACGGUACUACUAAUCACACACAACACGUAAUAAUCGUCAAAAAUAAUGCACCCCAUUUUACCUUAGGCAUACUUCUACAUCAUACUUAAAUACGAAUCAAGUAAACCCUAAGAUUUUGCAUACACUGUUCAAGCCUAUUAGAUCACUCCUAUAUAACUAGUAUCAUUAUCCAAGAAAUCAUUACAUCAACCUUUAUGACCACCAACCAUUCAAACUUAAUGUCUAGUGCUCAACAUGAUUUAUAUCCCAAUCUCACACACAGUUCUUAGUUGGAAACUAUAAAAUAAAAUAUCAAGAAACACUAACCUACUAGAACUUUAUAACAACAAUAAUCGAUCAUAAUCAUAUGGCCUACCAUAUUCGCAAUCCAUUAAAUAAUCCUACUUCUACACAUCAUUACUAUUUACCCAUUUUAUAUAUCUAAAUUAUCAUAUAUGUCAAUAAAUUUUAGCUAAACUCCUUUCUAUAACCUCAAGGAAACAACACCAAACCACCAAGUAUUUUCAUCAAUAACCUAUACUUUUCUAACACAAAAAAUAUCAUCAAUAACUUUUCAUACUUCAAGAAAACAAUAAUUCUCCUUAACUAAUAACUUCUUCCCUACCUUUCACUAAAUUAACAAACAAGGGCAUAUCACUUCAUUACUAGCCCAAUCAUAUGCAAAAAAGAAAUUCAUCUUUACAUAAAUUUUCUAUAAAUUGCCCUUACAAUCCUUCUUAUCACUACACCUCUAAAUCCCAGUUUCAACCAACACAAGAACAACAAGAUGAAUAACUACUUGCUAGUGAAUCGAGAUAGGCCUCACAAGGCUUCACUAAGCUUUGAUUUUUGUGUUUUGAACAAGAAAAUGAGACUAAUAACAAAGUGACUAUGCUAGUGAAUUGAAAGAGCCCCACACGGCUUCACUAGAAUUUUAGUAUCAACAAUACAAUGAUAACAAGAUUACAAGAGAUAGAAACUUGACACAUAUUUUUAAUGAUCUAAGGAUACACAUCUUACUCAAUCUUAACUGAACGACUCAUAAGAAUUAGAACACAACUUUAAACUUAAGGGGAUUAUAACACACUAGAAGACUCCUCUCAAAACGCUUUAUGAGACUCCUGAAACAUCGUGCUAGCAAGUCUGAGAGCAUUAUCAGGAGAGGAAAUUGGAACUUACUGAUCAUGCUAUCUCAAGAUUAAUAGAUAGAAAGGAAAGUAUAUAUUUACAUCAUGAAUUCUGAGGCAGAAUCUGAAAGCACAUCUGACUUGGGCAUAGUGCAUGAUUUUUAUGAACAUGAAUAAAGCCCUUCAUUUUUUUUUCAAAACUCAAAAGCACUGGUGGGAUACUUUCUAUCCUUCUUAUAAUCCCACAACUAUCUAUGGAGAAGUAAGCUUGACUGUUUCUGAAAACUUAAAAAUAUGGCAAAGAUAGGAUGAAUAGAGCAAGAUAAGAAUCUGUAUAAGCUUCUUGGAGAACCUUUCUAUAGCACAAUCUGAGACUUGAAAGAAUGGAGACAUUUUCUAAAUGCCUUGUAACCUCUCAAAGAAAAGUACAGACGUCUCCGUACCAUUCCGCAAAACUCUACUAAACAUGGCUUCACAGACACCCUAGGACACUUGAACUCUAUGCUUUGAUACCAAGUUUGUAAAGCCCCUAAAAUGAGUCUCGAGGCAUCACACGGUGCUUAGGACCACAAAUGAUCCUAAGCUAACCUUUAUAUUGGCAUAACUCGUGAGUAACUGAAUAAGAUACAUAAAUCUAAGCAAAAUAAGCAAAAGAUAACUCUUUCCUAAAUUUGAUCAAUACAAAGCUGAAUUCAUACUAAUACAACUCUACUUUUACAAAAAAACUUAAACUGAAUACAUUAACUUUAUUGACUGUCUAUGAAGCCUCUACUAAUAAUGACUACAAAUAGUGGGAAGCUGCUCCAACUAUUGCUAAUCAAUACAUAUGAAUAAGAAAGUAAAGAAUAUAAAUAGGGGUAACUGAAGUCCCCGAAGUAGGAGGACUCAUCAUCUCACAUGCUGGAAUCUACAACUAUCCAAAUCUGAAUGUGCAUACUGAAACUAGUACCUACAUUAUAAGACAAUGCAGCACAUAGACAUAGAUGUGGAUCAGUACUUUGGGAAUAUACUGAGCAUAUGGGGGUGAAUGCAUAAGUAAAAACAUAUCUCAUAAUCAUCAUUUAUAAAACAAUGCAUUCGAAAUGUAAAUGACUCGCAUCGUUUGAGAAAUCUGAAAUCUAAACUCAUAAAUCAUAAAUAAUGAAGUUGUAGUAUAAAUCUCGUGAGUCAAUACACUUAGUUCUAAAAUUUGUAGUUUUAUUCCCUUUUCAAAACAUAUAGACUAAAUGAUAAAGUGCUUACCUCUGUAUCCAAAAGCUAAGACUGUAACUUUGAAACUAAAAUCUCUGGUAAAACAAUAUUUGAAUAAGCUUGUGAGCCUUUACACUUAGUAGCUAAAAAUCUUUACUGACAAGGAAAUCUUUCAAAGCUUUUGGGUAAAUAACUCAUCUCAAAGUAACAUACUUUAGGAACUGCUUUGAAAAUCUUACUAUUAGGGAAAAAUACUNNNNNNNNNNNNNNNNNNNNNNNNNNNNNNNNNNNNNNNNNNNNNNNNNNNNNNNNNNNNNNNNNNNNNNNNNNNNNNNNNNNNNNNNNNNNNNNNNNNNNNNNNNNNNNNNNNNNNNNNNNNNNNNNNNNNNNNNNNNNNNNNNNNNNNNNNNNNNNNNNNNNNNNNNNNNNNNNNNNNNNNNNNNNNNNNNNNNNNNNNNNNNNNNNNNNNNNNNNNNNNNNNNNNNNNNNNNNNNNNNNNNNNNNNNNNNNNNNNNNNNNNNNNNNNNNNNNNNNNNNNNNNNNNNNNNNNNNNNNNNNNNNNNNNNNNNNNNNNNNNNNNNNNNNNNNNNNNNNNNNNNNNNNNNNNNNNNNNNNNNNNNNNNNNNNNNNNNNNNNNNNNNNNNNNNNNNNNNNNNNNNNNNNNNNNNNNNNNNNNNNNNNNNNNNNNNNNNNNNNNNNNNNNNNNNNNNNNNNNNNNNNNNNNNNAAUCAUGCUUGUUAAUGAACUCAAUAAUAAUUUAACUCAAAAUCUGAAAAUAUCUGCCAUAGGCAUGAAAAUAUAAGAGUAGACAUGGAACUUAUCUUUAAAAUCUCUCAAAACUCAUAAUCUUGUAAAUAGUGAUAAUGGGUAUGAAAUCCUAAUUUAUAACUCAUGUAUAAACAUUCUAAAUCAUGGCAAAACAAAAGGCUCAAUAUGCUUCUUGAACAUAUUUCAACAAUAUCAAAAUAAUAAGAUCAAGAAUCUCAAUAUCAUGCUUAAACUCAAUUUGGAAAUCUGAAAAAUUGCAUUAUGCACAUAAAUACAUGAAAAUAGUGAUGCAAUUCAAUAUUCAUUCACUUGUAAACUCCUAAUCAUCAAAUACUUAUAAUUGGGUAUGAACCCUACUUUCAAAUAAUAAGAUACUUGCUAACAAAUAUAAUUUUUGGCACAAGGACGAAAGGAUUGUCCUAGUUCAUAAUCCCACAUACUUUAAUUGUUGAUCUGACAUGAGAAAGCUUGAAUCUUUGAUAUCUAUGAUAAAUUGAAUGUUAAAGCUUGAACUUUGAAUCCUUUGGAGAUGAUCUUAAAAGCAUUCUUGAAGUUCUUGAAUUAAGAACCAAAAAUUCAUGAUCUUUUUGUUGAAGAGAAGAAUAUGGAAUUGAUAAUUCUUAAGGGAAUUGAUUAGGUUUGUCCUUGAGGGAAAAAUUGGAGAAUGGAGGCAAGAAAUACCCUAAUUGAAGCGUUAGAUCAUGUUUUUACGACCUAGGUUGAGGUGGGAAAACACCCCAUUGCCCCUUAUUAAUUUAAAGUAGAAAUUCGUAACCUGCAUCCCGAUUUGACCCUUUAGCACGACGCGCUACCAUCGUGGCAGCCCACUACCUUACACCAAAAUGGCUAUAACUUUUCCCUCGGGUACCAAAUUUUUGCAAAAUUGGUAUCGUCGCAAAGCUAAUUCAAUUAUAUAUAAUUUGGUGGGUCUUAGGAUGGAAACUUCCAUGUAUAUAAAAUAUUAUAUACGUUUAAAGUAGACCCUUGUAGGAUUGAAUCCAAAAGUUUAUUCGAAUCUAAUGUUCUUAGCUCCACAUGCCUCUAAGUGACUUCUAUGAACAUUAUUCACCUAAUAAGGACUUCACAUACUUAUGAUUAAAUUCAUGCCACAUUAAUUUAAAUUAUGAAUCAAGAAUAUGAUAAUUACAACUUCACCGUAAUACAUUGAAACCACAUUAAGCUACUGGAAAACUACGAGUGCAAAUUUGCACUCUGGUGCGACGCAGUGGUAUCGUGUUGCACCACUGAAAAUUAACAAUUUGGAAUUUAGACCUCUCUACAAUGCACCAAUCUCACGGAGGUCCACUUAAAUGUGAUGAUUGCCAUUUUGGCAUUCACCGCAACGCGUUGAGUACCCAGGUGGGAUACUGGAUUACUAAAAGUGCUCUAACUUCUUCAUCGAGUAUCGAAUUUGGGCAAAUUUGGUAACGAUAGAAAGAUUAUUCAAUUUUUUCACAUAAUUUAAGGUCUAAAUAUGGAAAAUUCCAUAUGAAAUAAAGGUUAUUCAUUUUUGAAGCACACUUUUAACAUUCUAAAAAUGAAUUUAAAGCUUGAAAAAACAUAGGGUGUUAUAGAUAGUAAUUGACAAUGUAACUGUGUGACAUAUGUGCGUGAGGUGUUUACUUAUUUCACUAUAUUUCUAAUCCUAAACUUUCCUUACGAGUAUUGACUAUAUUGUAGGAUAGUUUGUUAGGACAUGUUCCUAGGCCAUGUUUGGAUAAGUCUACUCUUAGACUAAAAGACCGACCAAAUGAGAAUAAGUAUCCUUUGAUCUCUAAUUUGAGAUUAAAAUGACUUAUUUUCUAGUUUUAUCAUUUUCACCUUCCUGUUUUAAUUACAAUAAACCUGUUUUAGUUCUGUUCUCUCCUUGGACAUUGUGUAUCUCAAAUCUGGCAAAUUGUCUAUGUUGCGGGUGGCUAUCAUAGAGCGCAUAGUUAAAGAUGGAUAUGGAGAAGAUGUUGAAGAAAAGAAAAGAAAGUAGGGUUGGGUUUAGUAGAAAAGUGUGUAAAAGAAAAAUGAAAAAAGAGAGAAAAAUGAAAGAAAAAAAUAUAUAAUAAAUGUAAUGACUAGAGAAAACCGAACCUAAUCUGAAAAUAAAGAAAUGAGAAAAAUGGAGACUAAAAGAAGCAUAGUUAAGUAGUGGAGCCAAAUAUGUAAGGGUAGUGUCAUGUAGGAUAAGUCACUAUUUCUCAUAUGUACCAUACCUGCCCCCAGGCCUAUAUUACAAGGUGAGAAAUAUCCUACAGUGAACCUAGUCCAAGUGUCCAAAAAAUUAAGGAAUAGAAAAUAUGGUUAGACGUAUGGUAUUUCAUUUAUACUAUUUGAACAUCUUUAUGAGCAUGAACAUUUUAUGGUAGUCCCUGUAUUGAGAUUCUUUAUGAUAAUGUGAGAGUUAGGACUUCUUUGUGGUAAGGAUAGAUGGGUUGCAUUGUUAGCUACUUAUUUCUUUUGGUAAUAUCAUUUUCGGACAUGCUUAGUUUUUUUUUUUGCUAAUCUGAUGCCAUCACUUAAUUCCUUUUGUGUUAUGCUAUUGUACUACAUUGAUACACAUAGCGGUUUCCAAAGUUAUUAAUAGAAGGGGAUGAAAAGUUUGAACAAAAAUGAAUAAAUUGACUGCAGUAGGUGCCUUAGGUUUCAUUUAGUUAAGCACCGUGUUUGUUUUAGUAUGUGUAAGUUUCCUAAAGACAUGCAAACUUUUUAAGUUGAGGGUGUUGAUGUGCCAUGGUUUUAUAAAACUUUCGAUGUUUAAAACAAAGAAAUUGUGUAGGAACUUAGGUAAUCUUGUUAGAUAAUGUACAUUUGUGUUAAUUUGGAAAAAAAAAAUUGAUUUGAACCGAAGACAAUAUAUGAAAAGUUACUAAGAGUUUACCCACGAGUCAACCCACAACUUGUGGGUAGGACCUACGGAUCGUGUGUUUAGUUUUUAAGGUGGUAUGCUGAGUUUUAUUUCUAUGAUUCCACCUACAACUCGUUGAUGCAAAUCAAGGCUCAUGGAUUGCAACCAUAUGCUGAGAUUCUGAAAUAUUCAAAUAUUCUCUGAUUCUCACGAUUUGAAGGCAUGACUAGUGGGUUUGACAGAUGACCUAAUCCACAAUUCGAGAGUUGAUGCCGACCUUAAUUUCCUAAACUUUUUAAGAUAGGUUUCAUUUUUAUCUAUAAACACUCCAUGGAUGUUUUAUUAUAACUUUACACACUAUAUAUUUUUAUGCUAUUUCGAGUUCUAGAUAUAUUAUUGAUCUUGGGAUUACUAUUCCUGGAUUUUUAGGGAUAAUAAAUGAUUUGAGAUUUUUUGGUUUCCAUCUUAUUCUUUGCAAGUUCAUUAUUAUACAUUCAUCUAUGGAAUCAUCCUUUGAUAUUAAAACUACUAGUAUCUAAACUUUAUAACUAGGGUUGUGGGAACCCUGAUGAAUUAAGGGAACAGGUUAAGGGCGAAGCCAUUAUAGAUAUGUAAUCAUGCAUGUGUUUAUAUUUCCUUCAUUUAGAUUGCUUUCAUAAUGGGUGCACCCAUUAGGAACGUGCCACUAUUUGAUACUUGCUCGAGAAGGAGGUAGACAUUAUGAAAAGAAGAUAAUAAUAGUAAUUUGAAGGUAUUAAUCUUCAUCUUAUUAACUUGAGCUGUAAAUGUGAUAGUUAAUUUGAGAUCAUAAAAUAAGGGUUAGUAAUGCGACGUUUUGAGAUUGAGAGUAGAUGAGUUAAAUUCACCCAAAAUAACAUUGAGAAAUGGUUAGGUGAUACAUAACAUGUUAGAUUUUACAGGUAAGACACCGAUAUAGUCAUACAUGCAUGAACAGUCUGUCGAGUUAUGUAGUCGGGGGGAAUAAAAUCCAAGUUCUCAUCUUGCAUUGAUCAAAUCCUUAAUUUCCCAAAAAAUUUUACUGUUACUUUGAUUAUUUCAACCCCCCUUAUUAUUUAUGCAUUUUCUAAUUACGUCAGCAAGCUCUUGAUAUAUUUUUGGACUAUUUACCAUAGGAUCAGCUCUAACUUGGUUGGGUUUUAUUUCUAAUUUAUCAAUCUCUCUAUACAUUAUUAGAGGUGUAAUUUGGGUAACAUCACUAGCUAUGCAUAAUAAACUUUGUGACAAGCAAGUAAGAUUAAAAUUUCUAAAAUGCAAAAACCAAUAUAGAAAACUCGCAUUUAGUCCCAAUAUAAGUUUUUUGAGAUGGAUUAAGUGCCUUGAUAGCAUAAUAGAUCACAUAUAGAAUCUUCUCUCGCCUUUUCCCUAGGACUACUCCUUGUUCCAUAACAUACAUAAGGGAUAUGCAAUUUUAAAGAAAUCCUUGAUUUUUCUAUAAUAGAACACAGCAUGCCCUAAAAAUCUUCGAAUACCUUUGACCAAAAUUAGUGGAGGCAAUUUAUAAAUCCGCUCAAUCUUUUUCAUUCAACCUCAAUCCUUUUUUUUUUAAAAUCAUGUGAUCGAGUGUUGUUCCUUCUGUCACCACAAAGUGGAACUUCUCCUGAUUUAUCACAAAUUGCAAUCUUCAUAUCUCCUAAAAAAACUAGCUAUAUAGGCCUUGCAAUUUUUAAGCAAAUAACCAAAAACUGAGAAGUAAUCGAUAAAUACCUCAAUACUGUCCUCCACCAUGUCAAUAAUGAUGGACAUCAGAUAAUGUAGAAAAGUAAGUACCAUAUUACACAAUCUUAAAGCCAUCCUUUUAAAAGAAGAUGUAGCAUAUGGAUAAGUAGAAGUGCUCUUCUCUUGGUCUUUGAGACUAAUUGAAAUCUGAUUGGAACCCAUGACUAAUAAUAAAACAAUACCAUCCUCUACAAUAAGACAAUCUAAUAUCUGAUCUAUGAAAGGUAUUGAAAAGUGAUCACUUUAAGUCCAUUCAUUUAACUUUAUAUAGUCCAUGCAUACUCGCCACGAGUGAUCAACCUCAUCAGAAUAAGGUUAUUCUUAUUUUUGGAACUAACGUAAUUCAAUCACUCUCCAGCACACGUUGAAUAGGGCUCAGCCAUUUUUUAUUGGUGAUAGGAUAAACAACUCCAACAUCCAACAAAUUAAUGAUUUUCUUCUUGACUACCUCUUAUGUAGCGAAUUAAGUCUUUAUUGAUAUUCAAUACUAGAAACACAAACUAGCCUAAGUUAGAUUUUUUGUGUGCCAAUUCUUUGUAGAAUCCUAAUGUUAUCAACUAUGGACCAUCCAACAACCCUCUUGAACCCUUGCAAAAUAGAAAUAGGAGACUCUACUUUCUAUUCAACCAAUUCAACUUCUAUAAUAAAUGACAAAGUGUUGUUGGCUCCCCAAAGCAUAGCGGAUAUAGGAUAAAAGGUGUUUGAGAUCCCAAUAGGAGGCUUCUCAUUAGAAGGCUUAGUCGGUAGGGUAACUCCAUUCUUUAAAUAAAGAUCUAAUUUCUGUGGUGCAAACUUGUAGAAACCCAAAAUAUUAAGUGCACGCACCAUCUCAUCAUACUUAUCAAUAUCAGCAUACUCAAAAUUCAGAAGAACUGUUACAAGUGUUUUGACUCUAAGCCUUUCUUGAAUAGCAAAUACCAAAGCAUCAUAAUCAUCUAUAUAUAGAAUAGAGAUCAAGUACAUGUCCUUUGGUUGCUUCAUGGAUUGGAAUGCAUUGAAUGUCAGUUGCUUAUGAUUCAACCAAAACUUUAGCUGCCAAAUUUCUAUACCAAUCAAUAUUCUUCUAGUCUUAAGGAAUUGUCUUUCUAAGAUAAUGGUAUUAUCAAAAUCAACCUUAUAGUCAAGGAUAAUGAAAUAGACAAGAAAUAUUAAGGAACCAACCCUCAAAAAAACAUUACAAAAAACCCUCAAUGGAUUCUUCAAAGUGCGAUAAUCCAUAACAAGUCCCUUCAAAGUAGGUUUAGGUGACCCCAACCCAAAUUAUCAAUGUACUACUAUUGGAAUUAGACUAAUGAUGGCAUCCAAGUCACAUAAAGCUUUUAAAAACUUGAGAGACCCAAUUGUACAUGGAAUCGUGAAUACUCCAAGAUGUUCCUUCUUCUUAACUAGUGACCAAGAAUUUAUUGCACUAUAAUUAUGCACAUUUUAGCAAGCUCAAAACUCAGUUUCCUCUUUUUAGUCAACAAAUCCUUCAUAAACAUUGCAUAAAAUAACAUUUUCUCAACAACCAUAACUAAAGCGAUGUUAUUGACAACUCUUUCAUCAUCUAGAUAAACUUGUAAUACUUACCUUCUUUAGCUUCUUUUUGUAUUCUUAGUGGAUAUAGAAGGAAGUCAUGGAAUGGGAGCCAUACUAGUGUGACCUUCUUUUCCUUCACCCUUCUACCUUUGGCGUUUUUAUAGCAACUUGAAGUGAAUUUUUAGCCACUUUCUCAUCAUCAAAUUGAUUCUUAGAUUUGGCUACUUUACCAUCAGCGGUAAUUAUAGGCUCAAUAUUAUUCUCAAUGACCAUAGGCAUAGGUAGAUCAAUCGGCAUCUUACAACUCCUAAUGGUAAUCUCCAAGAAAUAGCUAAUAUUUUUUACAUUUUGGAUGAUGUUUCUUAAAAUUUCACCUUCUUAACAUUGAUUUAGUAUGGAUAAAAUCAAACCAAAUUACUGCUCAAGUGUUUAAUGGCGAUAAUAUAUGAUUCAUCUUUCUUACUUAUCCUUAAAAUAUCUGCUCUAAUUUUCUUAAGGUAAUCAUCAAUUAUCUUUACCCAUUUAAACAUUUUAGCAAGAAUUUCUUUUAUUCUAAAAUUUCUCGAAUAUGCAUCAGAAUUCACUAGUGGAACAUAGAGGCAACAUUUAUAUUUAUAGUAAAUCUUUCUUUUCUAACCACCAUCUUUCCCUUGAUUCCUAUAUUUAUAUAAAGAAUAUUUAUAGGUUUUAUCCAUUUUACAGUUUUGACCUUGGUUUCCUUGACAAUAACUCUGGUUGUCUUAAUCAUACCCUUGGUCUUUUUCUCAAAAACACGACACAUGGUCAUCUACAUACUAGCCUCCUUCUUAGAAACAAACUCAUCAUGUACAGGUCAUUAACUUGUGAACCAAAUACAUUAACCAUUUUCCCCACUGCUGCAACCUAUUUUAUGAAUAAGCUAAAGUUUGUCAUCAAUUUUGGUAACUCCUGGGCGAUCCAAUCAUCAACCAUUCAUUGUUCUGAAAAUGCUCCUAUCCUAUAAGUGUCUACAAAUAAAUUUGACUCUCGCAUACAACAAACUUAAUAGGUUAUAGUGAUCUAGUCAAGAGUUGCAAAAGCCUGCUCCCAAGGUAAACUCAUAAAUCUCCUCCUCUCAUAGCGUCUGCUAUAGCCUUAUUAUUUGCAUUAGAACUUCUAUAGAAUAUCUCAAGCAGACUAUAAUUAGAUAUCCUAUGAUUAGGUACUUGUUCCUUUUUUUGUUAAAUCUUAACCAUAUUUCACACAACAUCGUCGAAUGUAGCUAUCAGGAAAUUAUAAAUCUCAUCCUUUAAUUGCAAUAUUUUUGAAGGUGAAAAACCCGCCCUAGAAAUUAUCUCUUUAACUCUUGUCAAUUGGUUACUCACCCUUUUGGCAACUCGGUUAACCAAAAAAUAGAUUCUCAAGUCUAAGAAAAGGGAAUAAUCAGAGCUUGAUAGCAUCUUUACUCAUGCUAGUUAUGUUGCAGGAAGUGCAAAUUCUUACAAAGUUGAUUAAGUAAAAGUUUUCAUCAGCAGUAGCAAGGCUUACGAAUACUCCCUUCAAGCUUAAUAAUUAUAUCAUAGCGCUAGUGAUACCGAACUUAGUUCUUGGUGGCAGUAAGGGCAGAAUAAGAACACAUAUUUUAGUUGCAUCUAGCAAGUCAAGAUCAUCAUCUGUACUAUGAAUCAAAGGAACAUAAUAUUUUAGAGGUUGUUGUCCCUUAUUCCUGCUUAGCCUUUUUUGUUUUACAAGUGUGCCUAGACAAUUGAUUUUUGUCAAUCCCUUCCAGUACUUCCUUUCUAGCAACUUCUAAUCUUAUGUUUUCUUCAGCAAGCAUAUGAUAAGUGGUUUGAUCUACAAUCUUGUGAAGUCCUUAGUUCUUUAUUCCUAAUUCGAAAACCCCCUCAUUAUGAACCACGUCAAAGCCAAUCUUAUUUUAGAUCUCAGACUCCUUUUUAUUAUAGGAUCAAAUAAAAUUAGGGGAUUUCCUUGAAUUCUGGUAUUAGGCAUGCAAUGUUGUUCUACAUUAAAAUAAUAAAAAAAAGUAAAAUCAAGAAAUAAUAACCAAUAGUCAGACAGACAAACACAUUCUAUUAAUAUUGUAACCGUACUCCCCAUUGCCGAUGCAAAAAUUUUAUGUUUCCCAAGCUACACCUCGAAGAAAAGUGGAAAAUGGUCUCUGAUAAAUAUAGAAUCCAACUAGGUUUGGAUUUAUCCGCUAAAGUAUUGGUUGAAACCUCUAUCGAUAUGUUUAUCUAAUCAAUUAACAAAUAAUUUCCAGUACUUGGAGUUUUGAAUUCUGAUUUCAAAUAGUGACAAUUACUGAUUUAUUAAGUUUUUCAUCAAUAUCGAGUUGGACUAAGAUUAUGUUUCCCAUAACUUCAUAAUUUCGUAGGUUCCUCAUACUAGUGAGCUCUCCCAGUGCUUGGUAUAUAAAAUAGAUAGAUUUUGUUCAUCUAAAUGGCUUUCUACAUAAAUCUAGGUGACUAUCCUUAAGUACAUUUUAUUAUCUCCUAAUUUUGCACUACUAAUUCCUAUCUUGGAUCCCAGAUUAGCUUUCUUGAAUUAUCAUCCAACUUAUUAAUAUAAAGUUGAUAGCACCAAGUCUUAGUUAUCUAUUCCCUUUUUUCAUCUAUUUCCUCUCUUUCUAUCCAUUGUAAAGAUAAGGUUAGGUAUAAUAUUUACAACUAUUGAAAAGUAAUCAAACUAAAUGGAACAACAAUACACGCCCAAACAUACUUUGAGAAUCAUUCAUACUACAAACACUACUUUAUUAAUCUAUCAUGGUCCGCACGGUCCAAGUUGUGGUGUUUAACUACUUAUUACCAUAACACCACAACAAUCAUUUUGAAAGAAAGCAUAAUUUUGACUAACAAGGAAUAAGAUGAAUAAACACUAAAAUAGAUUUUUUACAACUCUCAAGAAUACCUAUAUUCCUUAUAGGUAGUAAUAGAAUGUAAACCAACAUAAUAAACCUAUUAGGAAUAUAUAUUAACAUAAAAGAAUCAUAUCUUAACAAAAAUAGGAUUUGUAGAGUCACUGCCUAGAAUUAAGGAUAGUAUGAUGUGGUUUCAUUACAUGAUAAUUACUUGUUCUUAUUUCAUAAUAAUGAAUUUUUGAUAUCCUUCAAAUAUUUUUUGGGAUGAUGCUCAAGACAAGCUCUUUAUUUGAAUGGUUGAUUAUUGUAUCCUCUUAUUAUAUCUCCUUUAGAUAUUCAUUAUUUUAGAUUCUCCUCCUAUAAUUGAUCCAACUAUCAUUACAUCUCUGGACAAUCAUGGUAAGCAUUAUUUCAAUAUUCUCGUAUUUUUCAUUCUCUUUUUCAACUAAAGAGUACAUGAGACGACUUUUGUCAAAUCCAACGAUCAUUGAAUGGUUUGUCUGAUGCACUUGAGUCCUAUUUACUUUAAUUUACUUCUUCAAACUUGUCUAACCUAUGAUUUCAAUAAAAACACAUCAUAUCUACAUAAACUUGCCUUUGAACUAGGAAAUUUCCCUUAUUUUAAGCAUUGAAGGUGUUGUAAGUCUGCCACACAUCAAUAUUAAGUCAAAAUCUAGUUCGUCAUUCCUUGUAAACAAAUAGUAUCCACUAACACAUAAAAUAAAAAGUAUUCUUAAAGGUCAAUUUACACAGCUUGUAAUACAGACCUUAUUAAACAAUAUUCAUCAGUUACACUUGGAUCAAAGAUCAAUCCUCUAGUUAUUCAAAUAAGAAUUAUCAAACCUAAUCAUCAAUCACAAAUAUGUCCAAAUACCAAGUUAUCGAGUAUGUAUUUUAGGAGAACACAUUCCACCAAUAUUAUUGUUGAAAUUCUAAUUCAACAUGACUAGUUUAUCUGCCAAUAUAACCCUCUUUUAUUUCGAUAAAAAAUAAUAAAUUCAAUAUGAACUAGUAACCUUUACAUUCAAGUCGUCACUAUGUUCAAAACACAUUCCAUUAGCCAAUUAUUCAACCACUAAAUUAUAUUCAUCUUAUAAUUUUAGCUUAAGUUAUAAACCAUUUGACAUCUUACUUUCUAGAACUUAGCCAAACUUUCAAUUCUUAAGCUAUGAUACCACAUCUUCUAAUCACUAGAAAUUCUCCUAACUAUUUUUUAAAAGGAUAUCCCAUAUUUACAUACAAUAGAAAAUUCACUUGUUAAGUUAUUAAAGAUGACUUUGAUAGGUUACACGAUCACUCGGUCUACUUAUCAUCGUUUAUAUUUAUAUAAUUCAUAUUUUAGUCCCUCAUGGAUUAAUAAAUACACAAAAUACCCAUCAAGGGAUCAUACAAUAACCUAACAACACCAUUUAUUAGAUUAAUUCUAUGUUAUAUCCAAUUCCAUGCCUGCAGGCCAAGAUAUAAAGUAUCCCACUAAAACUAUAGUUAUCACACAUACCUAACCGAAUUCUAAACCAUAUUAAACCAUAACUACCUGAACUGAUGAUCAUAGAACAAGUAAGCCACACCAAGGUUGCUUUUUUCCUUUCUUUCAUGCCUCUAUUAGUCCAAUCAUCUAGAAAUAAAAUAAUUAAAACUGUACUUGAUAAAUUACUAUUUGAAUAAAUACAUUGUAAAUUCAACCCUUUAAUUCUAUCAUUAUUCAUAGUCUAAAACAUUAACCAAGGGUCAAUUAACAAAUACUAGUUCUAUUAUAUCAAACCAUCUCAAUUAAUGUAGUAUUAAAGCUAAAGAUUCCAUCUUUAUUGAAUUCUAUGAAUCUAACCAUAAAUAUUCAUGCUACAAAUUGUUAAUAAUCAAGAAGUAAUUCUAGGUGAUAUUACCCUAGCCCAUAGGUUUUUUCCCAAAAUCUCAUGAACCUAGGGCUCUGGCCCUCAAUUCUAUUAUAAAGAAUCAUUCUAAUAAUUUUAAACAAUUAUUAGAUUAAAACACAGAGAAUAUGAAGGAAGAACUUACCUCAAUAAAAGAUUUCCACCCUAGUCAUUGGAAAAUUACCCCUAUAGGGAUUUGGAACAAAGUCUUUAAGUUAAAAACCUAAAUACAAUAAAAAUAAUCAAAAAUACUUCCCAAGGGUCACUGCUGCUGCUAACUCCCGCGGUAAUAGUCUUAACUUUUUAUCAUGGAUAGUUUUAGUAAAACAGUCAUAACCUCUUACUACAAUAGUAGAUUAAUGGAUGGCUGGAUUAUUUGGAAAUAAGAAUGAAAGAUCUUUAAUUUGGUGGGUAUUGGGACCCAUAACUUUAUAUAUACUAGGAACCUGCUCAUUUGAAGUUUAACCUUGUUUAAACUUACACAAAAACACAAUAUAUAACGAUAUUUUUUACGUAACUUUGUUCUAGAGGUUUUGUGUUACCUCUAUUCGCGUCUAAUACACUCCCAUACUAAAGUAGUAAACAUAUAAAUUACGGUUACUGAGAUUCUUAUGUCUUUACCAUAUAUAUUUUUAGUAAAAAUGGAAUGAGUCAUUAUAUUCAUAGACCAAGAACGAGUAGAACUGGAUAGAAAAGUCAAAGCCUCAGUUGAAUGUCGUAUUUGGAUGAGAAUAAAAGGUAGUUUAUGGUUAAAAUCAACAGUACACUUCUCUUGAAUCAACUUUUAUAUAUUGAGUUAGAUAAUUGUUAUAGCUAUUAGCAUGCUUAUGAUUGUUGGUUAAAUAGAUGUUGUGGUUAAAUUGAAAUGUUAAAUUGAAUGUAAUAAGAGUUGAUAAAUAGAAUUUGAAGUUGAUUUUUGAUAUAAUCAUGAUUUGAGCAUUAUUAUUGAAAUUUUUAUACCUAUUUUGAAGUAUCUAGUAUUUAUAUACAGUAUUUUUAAGCAUUCAUUGAUUGGUUGCAUUGUGCAUUUCAUCGCUUGGAUGAUUAUUGCUAACUAGAUUGCUUAAGUGUAAAUGAAUUAAUAUGAAUAAAUUAAGAAGAAUUGAUAUAAAGAGGAUAGUCAGUAUUUUUUUCUAAAUUAAUGUAAUUUUUAAAUAUGUAUUGAAAGGUUUGUUGAUAAUGAGUUAUGUCUUGGUCACUUCAUUAUUUUGUUUAACUUAUAUAUUUCUAUGGUGCUAAGUUAUGUCAGAAAAUGAUGUCUAUCAGUAUAUAGUGUUUUGUAUUGAUAGUACAUGUGAUACUUUUUUUUGUUGAGUAGAGAGGAUAUUCUAUUAUUUGCGAUUAGACAUAGAUUCAAGGGAGGGUAACAUGUCUUGGCAACCAUUGGAUCUUCAUCAUAUUCAUGUCCUCUAUACUAGACUAUGACACUUUUUUUUUCAUUUUUGAUUUUUGGAUAUAAUUCUAGAUUUUUUUGUUGAAUAGUAGUUCUUUUAGAGUGACCUUUGGGCUCAAAGAGAUGUAAUAGUUAGAGAUAAUUUUUCCCAUAUUGGUAUUUCUUGAGUUAUCUAAGACUUUAGACUCAUGUUAUGGAUUACAAAGAUAUUAAGUUAAUAAAUGAUGUUUAGGGAGAGGGCGUAGCAAAUGUUAAGCUUAAUGGUUUAAGUGCUUGUUCUAAGGGUUGGUUUAAUUGGUUCUCCCAUCAUAGAGUAAGAGUAGGUGCCACUUACAAAAAUUUGGGAUAUGGUAAUAGAGCACUAAAUUUGUUAAUCUCAUCAUAGAAGAAAGAGACUAGUAGAGUCUUGUAGAAUGAUAUGGAUAUGUAUGUACAUUACUUCGAGAGGUUAUAAGACUUUAGGAAAAAUUCUCACUUCUUUCUUUCCUUCAUGCUAGUACUUAAUUCUAAUUGGUAUUUGGUGAUCCAAACUAUAUCUAACCUCCUUCAAUCUUGUUUCACAUAUAGUGAAUAUACACGCAGCUAGAGCAAUAAUAGUAAAAUAACAACUGAGUGAACUAUUGGGAUCACCUCUUGAGGUAGAGUGUGGGUAAAAAGAUGGGUCAUAAGAAGGGUGGUAUGCUCAGGUGCAUAUGUCCUCAAAGUUGAUUUAGUAGGUGUUAGGAUUUUUGAGAAGUUUAGCUAGAAUUGAUUCUACUCAAAAAGUUACAGCCUGUCAACCUUUAGUUGUGUAGCAUGACACUAUUGUAGCACCUCCAAUGGAUGAUGGUCUUCAGAUGGGAUUUGUCCCCGAAAGGUUUUAGGUUAUUUUAUGAUGUCAUGACCCAAAAACCAAGGUUCAUAAUUGUACUUCUCACGGUAAGCCUUGACAAGUAAUCCUAUCACCUAAAAUGAUAUAAAAUUAAAGAUUUCAUUAACAAAACCCAGGGCAAGACUCCUAGAGUCGAAUCAAACCAUACACAUAUAUAGUAAAAGCAGAAAUACAUAGACAAUGAUACAAAACAAAAUCCCAAAUUCUAGUAUCAUAGUUUAAGAACAUAACUAGUACAACUCAAGACCAAAUACAUAAGAUAUCCAAAACAUGAACAAUAUGGUCUUUGAAUACAAAUAAGGAUAUAGUCUAGUUAAAGGAAAGGAAGUAGUCAACCUAGACACAUGAAAUCAGCUGCUACCUCAAAAAGCUUCAAAUGACUCCUGAAUCAACCACCGUGAAGCGCACUCAAACUUGGAUCUGCACUAAAAACUGGAGGAGGGGUGAGUACGGUCCACUUGUACUCAGUAGGCAUCAUUAAUUUACUUAGUAAAGAAGAAAAUAAGGCAUACAAAAUACAUACUAAUGGCACGUCACCUGCAAUAUGAAAAUUUCACAAACGGUAGCACACACCGUCUCCAAUAAUAGAUCUAUAAUAUUAAAAUACACCACAACAACUCAAAAGAGAAUAACUACCAUAUAUGUAUCACACGUACGAAUACAAAAGAAGAAAUACGAAAAGACAUGUAUCACAUCAAGGAAAAUGAUACAUCACAGAAAUGUACAAAGUAAAUAUUAAUGUAAUAGAGAUCAUGAUAACGCUAAUAAUGAUGAUUAUGAUAAUGAUAAAGAUGCCUAAGGUUGUUGCAAAACCACCAUAAAAGCAUAUGGAGAUAAAGCUUUCCAAUGUAGGAUCCAUGAGGGUUCGUCGUGUGCAACUAAUAUUUAUAACUCCACUUUGGCACAUCUAUCGAUAGAGGGUUUUAAAGAUGUCACAUUCCUAUCAUAAAAAGCCAGUGUUCCCAAUAUUUUCUAAAUUUCCACGAUGGUACCAAUGUUUCAUGAACGAGUGUGAUGUGAGGAUGUAAUGCUCACAGUCAACCAAGAUGAUUAUUUCCAUAUCUAACCACUAUACUAACAAAAUGAGCCAAAUAUUUAUUAACUAUUUCAAACCACCCAUGAAUGCCAACAUAAACCAUAUUCCAAGACAAUGAAAUAAAAUUAAAUACACCAUUGAUACCACAUUAGGUCUUUUCAUUAUACAAGACUUAGUUAAUUUCAUGUAUUCACAGCCAAGAAUGUCAUAUAGACACCAUACUAUCGCACAUAGAAAAUAAUAUUCAAAAAUCACCAAACACAAUAAUAUAAAGGCCCCAACAUGGGCUCAACACAAUAAUUAUAGCCAUUUUCAUUAUUAUUUCCCACACCCUUAACAUGUUUUUGUAUCGACAUUAACUACCCUACCUAAUCUAUAGAAAGUUAAGCCGUGACUGGUUUGGAAGCCUUUAAUACGUGUCCUUAAUCCUCACGAAUAGACUUGAAAUCAACUAAAACAUAGAAAUAUAUAAUAUACACAACAAAAGAGAGCCAAUAAUACCCACACUACGUAUUUUUGAGUCAUCAAAAUGGACUCCUAAAAUACGAUUUUGGAAAAAAAGUGUAAAAUCAUAACAUUGUUUUUGAAACACGUUCUACAUAGUUUUAGGAGUGUGCAGAUGAAAAGCCAAGUGAAAAUGAGUUCCAAAUUUAAGAAAAACCAUGUUCAAGCUUUACAUGUAAAAAUCCCUGAAUUCAUUUUAAAAUCAAGAAUUGAAGUUGUUUUUGAGAUAAAAUCAGAAGAAAAGUGAUAGUUAUAUGAUUAGAAACUCACCCAAGUGAAAAUGAGUGGAAAUUAAAAUUUAAAUAGGAGAGUUAUAAUUUUUAUGCCUUAUGGGACAAAAUCCUCUUUGUACCUUUUAAUCCAUGGUUAAACAAGAAUUACAUGAUAAAAUAUGGAGUAAGUAGUGAAAGUAGGUGUUAUGGAGCUUACCAAAGUUUAAAAGUGGAAAAAUUUGCUCCAGAUCAGGAAACCUUAAGUUCAAAAUCUCAAAAAGGCUGAAAAAUGGCGAAACAUAGGUAUAUAAAGAACUUAGACAUUGCAUACUCGAUCAUUGUGUCUCGUAUGCAGUAUCUAGACUACUGGAAGAUAUCGUAUUUGUGAUUUGGUCCUUGCAUAUUUGGGACUCACGAUUGCGACCAAGGUAUUGUGUAUGUGAUAUUUGUGCUAAUCAGUUAAGUCACGUAAGCAACUAGUCCAUCGUGAAAGAGAGUGUACUAACUGAUUGGUGCACCAACUAAGACUUGGAAGAUUCAAAGUCUUCUCGACCACCUCGGGAUUUAUCAAAAAUUCAUGAACACAAAUGAUCUAUGCUACCAUACCAAUUUGAUGCUUCAGACUCAAUGGGCAUAUCAUAUUUUAGAAAAAUGAUGUAUUCACAAAGUUGACCCUGAAACCCAAUUUCACAACUUUUCGAACUCAAGAUCAAAAUGAGAUAUAACUACUAUAAAUUUACACCAACCAUGUUACCACCCUAAAGUUAGCAUUUUGGAUCCGCUGCCAUAAUCCAUUUUUCCAUCUGAUGAACUGAUUAGUGAAUGUUGAACAAAAACAAUUAUAAGGGUUUUCAAGCAACUAAAAACCAUAAUUUAAUCUAAAUCACACCGAAAUACAUUGGGAAUCAUGCCAAGCAUCCCCAUAUCCUAGAAAUAUCACAACCUAACUAUGGGGAGAGGUAAAAUGAUCAAAUCAUAUAGAAAUGAAUAUUUGACAUUAAUCAUCUAAAAUUAGGUCAUUAUAUCAUCCACCACUCAAUCUAGUUCGUCUUCCAACUAAAGGAAAGCAAAAAUACCUAAAUUAGCAAAAAGAAAGGGAUGAGAACUACGCAUAUCAGAGUGGACCUCCCAAGUAGCCUCAUAUACAAGUCGAUACUUUCACUAGUCCUUCACCACUAGAAUAACUUUUGAACAUAAUCGUCUAAUAUCUCUAGCCAAGAUGGAGACAGGCUCCUCAACAAAGACAAUCUCUUACCUAACUGAACCAAAUCCCAUCAAAUGAGAUGAGACUCAUCCAAAUAUAACGGCAAAGCAUGGAAACAUGAAAAACUAGAUAAACAACUGAUUGAGCUAGGGGUAAUCAAACUCAUAAGCUACAUCAGCUACUAUUCAAAGAAUCUCAAAUGGCCUAAUAUAACUGGGGCUAAGCCUGUCCCUCUUCCCAAACCUCAACACACCCUUCUUGGGAAAAACUUAAAGAAAAAUAUGGUCACCAACACUAAAACUCAAGGCAUGAAGUCUAUGAUCUGCAUAACACUUUUCCCUACUCUAAGUCGCUCAAACUCUAUCCUUAAUGAUCCAAACUCUAUUUGAAGACUCACAAAGCAAGUCUGUUCCUCGAGGUCUAACCUUAGAAACCUCAAACUAACCAACUAAAAAGCAACAACUCCUAACAUACAAGGCCUCAAGAAGAGCCAUAUAAAUACUUGAAUAGUAGCUAGUAUUAUAAAAAAAAACUUUGCCAAAGCUAGAUAUUACACCCACUGUCCACCAAAGUCCACAACACAAUCAUAGAGCAUAUCACUAAUAAUUGUAUUGUCCGUUCUUACUAUCCAUCAGUCUGGGGGUGAAGCAUUGUACUAAAAUCAACCCGAGUACCCAACAUAUCCUGAAAAUCAUUCCAAAAGUGAGAUUUGAACAUUGAACCUUGAUCUGUAUGAUAGACACAGUCACACCAUGAAGAAGCACAAUCUUACGAAUAUAGAUAUAGGCUAAUCUCUCAGCACUAAAAAGACCUAAACUAAUAUGAAAUGGGUAGAUUUGGUCAAUAAAUCCAUAAUUACCCAAACACUAUUAGAACCAUGUGAAGUACAAGGCAACUUACUGAUGAAGUCUUUAGUAAUCCAUUUCCACUUCCACUCAAGAAUAGGUAACCUUAGAAACAAUUUGCUAGGCCUCAAAUGCUUGACCUUUUAUUAUAGGCAAUAUAAACAAUGAGCUAUAAAAUUGUAAGGCCCUGCAAAGUUCCCCCGUAGCUUGAGCCAUAGGGCGUGUCAAGUGAGGCAUGAUUUCAGCCCUAAAGGAUUGAGAAGUGGCUUCCUAAGUGAGUAUCAUGUUAACCAUAUACUAUUUCCCUAAUUUUCACUUUUUAUCACAUGAGAAAUCUAUAAUCUUUCCAUCGAUAUAAUAUUUGCCAAAAUCCAAUACCCGAGUAAGAAGUUAUAGCAAAUUUAAGCCUUAGUCGUAAACAACAUCAUUUAGGUACUUGGCGCAUCGUGGAGAGGGUUAAUUUAGCAAUUGUCAAAUUCUAGUGGAACUUCACGAUAGUCGCAUGUCGUACUGAAGUAUCAGGUCCUAACCUGUGGGACAAUGCAAUGGCUCCGCAUCGCGGGGACUCUCAAUUUCCCAAUUGUCAAAUCCAGUAAGCCACCACGAUAAGUGGUGCGUUGCGGUGGCCUAUGAGAUUGGGUUCCCAGUUCAAUUUUUCCACCUUCACACAGAUGUUAAAAAGGAACUUGGAACUUUUUCCAAGCCUAUAGAACCGAGUAAAUACCAAUUCAAAGUCAUUUGCAAGAUUCUAUGAGGAAUUUCUCAAGUUUUCUCUUAUAAAAAACCCUAAGUAUCCAAAACCUCUUCCAAGAAUCUCAAGAAUCCACCAUGGAUUUUCUAAAUUGAGUCAAAAUUCAAGGUUCCCAAGUAAAAGGCCUCAAGAUCCCUCAUUCAAGAGUACGAAUAGAGUUCCAAAAGUGAGAGUUCAUCCAAAGCUUUUAAUUCAAGGUAUAUGGGGUUUUGAAUUUGAAUUGGAGUUUUUCACCAAUUAUUAUUGAAUGCAUUACCGUGAUAUUUCCCGUGAAUUAAGAGUCUAAUGGCAUGAUUUAUGCAUAUUUUAUUCAAAAUUUAUAGUUGGGUAUAAACCCCAUUAUUUUACUCCUUGAGAAGCUAAUAUUUGCAUUAUUUAGAUAUUGAAGCAUAUGACUAUAUUGAUCUUUUGAGAUAAAUUGCUGAAAUUCCCAGAUUUCCACAUAAUUUAUGAAUCUAUAUGCUAUAUAUUAUGCUUUUGAUGAACUUUAACUUGGGAUUGAACUAUGGGUUAGCCCUAUUUGAGACUUGUGAAAUUAUGAGCUCUAAUGCUAUAAGCACCCAUGAUUAGAGUAUUUUAAGAUGAUUGAGAAAUAAAUUGACCUAAUGGUCUGAAUGUUUUGAAAUCCACUUCAUCAUAUGAGAUUAUCGAUUUGAUUAUUGGGUUCAUGGUAAACCAUGAUAUAUUCUAAAAGUGUUGUUUUAUGAGAUGAGCACAGAUAAUCUAAAAGGAGUAGUAUUUAGCACCGAGUGGGUAAGUCACUAUGGUUUCUUACCCCAAAACAACGUGCCAUCGUAGGCUGGGCCUGAGCCCAAGUUUAUGAUUAUUAUGAUUGGGACCGAGGAAGAGUUUAUUUUAGUGAUCACUAGACCUUGGUUAUACUCCCUGGCAAAAGUAUGACACUUCUCCCCAACGUGGGGUCUCCUCCUUAGGAGGAUAAAAUGUUGGACUCCAUGUAACUCGCAUGGUUUAUGUCAGUUACGGAACCUCCCUUGCCCUUUUAAAGUUUGAAAAUUUGAUACUUAUUUUCCCUUACUAUGAGUUAUUUUCCUAAAUGGUGGAAUUGCAAAGUUGUUCCCUAAUUAAAGUUCUUCCUUGAGGUAGGUUAUUUCCCUAAAUGAAAGUAUCUUCCCUUGAUAUAGUACUUUUCAUAAAUCUUUGAGAUAAGAUAUUUCCUUGAGCUAGAGUACUGUUCCAUUUGAGAUCGAAUAAUUUUCCUAAAGAUUGAAAUGACAUUUUUCCUAAGGUGAAUGAAAUGCCUUCAAAUAUGUUUACAAGUCAUAUGAUUCCAAAUUCCAAGUAUAUGAGUUCUAAAUAAAUAUUAAAUGUUGGGCAUUAAAAAGGUUUUACUCUCCAUGAGACAUAUGCAUGAGUUGAACGUAUUGUUCAAAAUCCCUUAGUAUUUGGGUAUUUAGAAUAAGAGAAGAUUUCUGAUUUUUAAGGUUAAAAAGUGAUGAAUCACGAGAUUUGUGUUGCAUGCCUCAUUCUACAUGAUUUAUGAGCUUUAUAUUUUAUACUUGCUCAAGACAUGUGAGUCAUCUCAUUUUGCAUACAUGAUUUUAUUGAAGAAGAUCGGUACUAUUUUUAUACAUAUGCAUUCACCUCCGCAUACUCAGUACAUUGCAAAGUACUGAUUCACAUAUAUGUCUAUGUGCUACAUUGUCGUAUAAUGUAGGUUCAGUUGUUCAGUCCUAGCCUCAUCCAUGAUUUUUUGACUACCUUGCCUACGUUUUCUACAGUGGUGAGUCCUCAUGGUUUGAGGACCAAUCUUCAGAUAUUUUUUGUAUUUGAGAGACUAUGUUUUAUCUUCAGUUCAUUUCGAGUCCAUUGGGGACCUAUCCCAAUGGCUCUCUAGUUUUCGAUUCCUAGAGGUUUUGUUAGACUAGUAUCAUACUUGUGAUGUGUUGAGGGUUCAAAAUUGUGGUUUUAUUGAGGUUUCUCUAUAUUAUGGUCAUAUGGAUCGAGUAUUUUUCUUGUAUUUCGUUUCAUGUGGUAUAACUAUCAGAGUGUUGAAUCUAUUUCAUCUUGAAUUGAGUGUUAUUGGUAGAAAAUGGCUCUAAGGGUUAGAUUACGGCUACUUGUAACCUUAAGCACCAUGUGACAUCCUGGGAGAUGAUUUCGGGCCAUUACAAACUUGAUAUCAGAGCCUAAGGUUUCUAAGGAGUCCUAGGGAGUCUGACAAGCUGCAUUGAGUAGAGUCUUGAUCAUCGGUGUGUAGCAUGGCACAUCUAUGAGAAAGAGGCUACGAGAUGUUUUAGGAAAAAGUUUUUUCUUCUUUCAGAUUCUAUCAUGCCCACAGUUGUCCCUCUUAUCUAAUGGUCCAUGCUCUUUUAUUUUCACAAAAUGCCUAUUUGAAGAGUAAAUGUCCGUGGGAACAAUGAUGAGAAACCCCUACCUGUUGAUCAUUUGAAUGAGAUGGUGUUCUAUGCUGAGUUUAGGGCAACCUUUCAAGUGUUAGCCCAAGUGGUCACCAUAAAUAUUUGAGCUAAUAAAUAGGCCCCAAUUGUUAAAUAGCAGGGUGGUGAUGUAGCCACGGCUAGGAUUUGUGACUUUAUGCGGAUGAAUCCACCUAAGUUCUAUGGGUCUAAGAAGAACGAGGACCCACAGUUAUACUUGAAGGAGGUGAGGAAGAUCACUGAUGUGAUGCAUAUUUUAGAAGAAGAAAGUAUUGAGUUGGCAUCCUAUAAACUGAAGGAUAUUGCUUAUGAUUGGGUUGUAUCAUGGAAGAAUUGUAGAGCUGAGAAUGCCGCUCCUAUGACUUAGCAAGUAUUUCAAGAUGCAUUCUUGGACCGAUUCUUUCCGCUUGAGAUGAGAGAGGAAAAUAUUUACUUGUUUAUGAACUUGAGGAAAGAGCUCUAUGAUUAUUAAAUAGUAUUGUUUGAAGUUCAAUCAGUUGGCCAAGUAUGCUCCUGGUUUGAUUUUACACACUCAAGCUGGUAUGAAUAAGUUUAUCACCGGUGUUACUAGGAUAGUACUGAAGAAGUGUAGGGCUGAGAUGUUGCAUAAGGUUGUGGAUCUGGUUAGGUUGAUGAUUCAUGCCCAACAAAUAGAGAUGGAUAAGCUUUGAGAAAGAGAUUGAAUGAGGGGUAGAGAUGGAUAAGCUUAGAGAAAGAGAUAGAAUGAGGGGUAGAAAAAGGGCUAGAUUUGAGCAGAAUAAGUUUAGUCGGCCUAGGUUCCAUAGAGGGAACUGCCCCUAUAUUCAGACGUGACUAUCUAUUCCAGUGCCUUCAUCAGCUAGUGAUCUCAUGCCUAGAGGUAGUCUAGAACAAAGGAGCAGGUAUUUCAUGUCUGGGUCACAGAACAAUGUUGGUAACCGGUCCCGUUAUCCUCCUUGUGCUAAAUAUGGUAGGAAUUAUCUUUGGGAGUGUUUUAGGGAUGUGAUGGGUUGUUUUGGUUGUUACAAGCAAUGCCACACACUUAGAGAUUGUUCCCAUGCUAGAUAAAGGAAUAGAGAUGCCCGACCUCAGGAACAGGCUGCUAGUGCACCAGCUCCAGUACUCCAUUCCGCUCUUGCUCAGGGCACUUUUUCUAGCACCGCUGGCGGUCAGCGCCAAAAUAGGUUCUAUACCUUGCCACCUUGUUGGGAGCAUGAGGACUCUCCUGAUAUUCUUAUUGGUAUGCUCCGUGUCUUUUGUCUUGAUGUUUAUAUGUUGUUGGACCCCGGGUCAAAUCUUUCUUAUAUGACCCCACUUGUAGCUGUGAAUUUCAAACUGAGUCCCAAAAAGAUUCCUGAGCCUUUUCUAGUUUCUACUCCAGUCGAAGGGUCAGUUAUUGGUAAACAAGUGUAUAGAGGUUGCCCUGUUACUGUGCUUCAUAGAGUCGUACCCGCUGAUUUGAUAGAGUUAGACAUGGUAGAUUUUAACCUUAUUCUGGGUAUGGAUUGGCUUUAUUCUUGUUACUUGUCUAUAGAUUAUCGUACCUAUGUGGUCAAGUUCUAUUUUCCUGAUGAACCAGUGAUUGAGUGGUCCGAGAGUUUGGUAUCUCUGAAGAUUCAUUUUAUCUCCUAUAUCAAAGCCAGAAAAUAAUAUCUAAAGGUUGUAUUUACAACCUAGUUAGAGUCAAAGACACUCAGUCCGAGGCUCCAACUAUUCAGUCAGUCGAUAUUGUUAAUGAGUUUCCAGAUAUCUUUUUGGAAGAUCUCCCAGGGGUACCUUAGGAUAGAGAGAUAGAGUUCAGAAUUAACCUUCUUCUAGACACUCAACCUAUUUCUAUUCCACCAUACUAUAUGGGACCCACAGAGCUUAAGGAGUUGAAGGAGCAACUGAAAGAUCUCUUAGAUAAAGGUUUUACUAGGCCUAGUAUUUCUAAUUGGGGCACACCUGUAUUGUUUGUGCGGAAGAAGGACGAAUCUUUGCUAUGUGCAUUGAUUACCAUUAACUGAACAAGGUCACAGUAAAAAAUAAUUUAUCCCCUUCCAAGGAUUGACGACCUGUUUGAUUAGUUACAAGGUGCAAGUUAUUUCUCCAAGAUAGACCUUAGAUCCGGCUGUCAUCAACUUACAGUGAGGGAAUGCGAUAUUUCAAAAAUGACCUUCUGAACCUACUUUUGUCACUUUGAGUUUCAAGUCAUGUCUUUUGGGCUAACCAAUUCCCCAGCAGCUUUCAUGGACCUUAUGAAUCAAGUGUUCAAGCAAUACCUUGAUAUGUUUGUCAUUGUAUUCAAAGAUGAUAACCUUGUGUACUCUUGUGAUGAGAAUGACCAUGUGAAUCAUCUUAGAAUUAUCUCCUAAACUCUUAGAGAUCACCAAUUAUUUGCCAAUUUCAGUAAGUGUGAAUUCUAGCUAAGGUAUGUAGCCUUUUUGGGUCAUCUUGUUUCGACCGAAGGGAUUAGAGUCGAUCCCCUAAAGACAGAAGCUGUGAGAAAUUUGCCUAGACCAAUCUCUCUAUCCGACAUUAGGAGUUUCUUAAGUCUAGUGGGCUAUUCCCUUUGUUUUGUUGAGGGUUUCUCUUCCAUUGCGUCUCUUAUGACCCAGUUGACCCAAAAGAAAGUUAAAUUACAGUGGUCUAAUUCCUGUGAGAAGAGUUUUCAGGAGUUGAAGACUCGACUCACUUCAGCCCCUGUGUUGACUUUGCCUGAUUGUACUGAUGGUUUUAUGGUGUAUUCUGAUGCCUCUAGAGUUGGUUUAGGUUGUUUGUUGAUGCAGAGAGGUAAGGUUAUAGCCUAUUCCUCUAGACGGUGGAAGCCGCAUAAAAAGAACUACCUGACCCAUGAUCUUGAGCUAGCUGCUGUGGUCUUUGCUUUAAAAAUCUUGAGACACUAUCUUUAUGGUGUCCAUGUUGAUGUGUUCACUGAUCAUAAGAGCCUGCAGUGUUUGUUCAACCUGAAAGAGUUGAAUUUUAGGCAGAGGAGGUGGUUGGAGUUAUUGAAAGAUUAUCAUAUAACAGUGUUGUACCAUUCGAGCAAGGCCAAUGUAGUGGCGGAUACCCUUAGCAGAUUAUCUAUAGGUAGUGUUGCACAUAUAGAGGAGGGUAAGAGAGAGUUAGCUCAUGGUGUGCACUUUCUGGCAAGGUUGGGAGUUAGAUUGCUUGGUUCAGCGGAGGGGAGUACGUUGGUAUAGAGUAGUUUCGAAUCUUUUUUAGUUUCGAAAGUGAAGGAGAAGUAAGAUAGAUACCCUAGUUUGGUCAAAUUAAAGGGGUCAGUUAAGGACCAAAAGGUAGAGGUUUUCUCCUAAGGGGGAGAUGGUAUGUUGAGACUGCAUAGUAGGUUAUGUGUCUCGUGUGUUGAUGAAUUGAGGCAGAGGAUUAUGGCUAAACUGUAUGGCGCAUGUUAUUUCAUUCAUCCUGGCACUACCAAGAUAUACUGGGAUUUCCAGGAAUUCUAUUGGUGGAAUGGUAUGAAGAAAGACAUAGCCGAAUUUGUAUAAAAGUGUGCAACUUGCCAAUAGGUUAAGGGAUAGCAUCAAAGACUGGGUGGUAUGAUGCAAGAGUUUAGUAUACCUACUUGGAAGUGGGAGAUGGUGAAUAUGGACUUUAUGAUCGGGUUGCGUUUUUCACGCCGUCAUCAUGAUUCCAUUUGGGUUGUUGUGGAUAGGUUGACUAAGUACACACAUUUCUUGCCCGUGUAUAUAUCUUAUACGGCUGAGGAUUAUGCUAGAUUAUAUAUCCAGGAGUUGGUUAGGUUGCAUGGAGUUCCCUUGUCUAUCAUUUCAGAUAGGGGUACUCAAUUUACUUCCCAAUUUUGGAGGGCAUUUUAGCAGGGUCUUGGAGGUUCUUCUUAGUUCCCCGUUUCACUGGUAAACAGAUGGUCAGGCUGAGAGGACCAUUCAGACCUUGGAGGAUAUGUUGAGAGCAUGUGCCCUUGAUUUCAAAGGUAGUUGGGAUAAGCAUUUUCCAUUAAUUAAGUUUUCAUAUAACAAUUGUUUCCAUGCUAGCACUAAGAUGGCACCGUUUGAGGCCUUGUGUGGUAGGAGUUGUAGAUCACCCAUGGGUUAGUUUGAAGUGGGUGAAGCUGCCGCAAUUAGGCCUGAUGCAGUAUUUGAAGCUAUAGAGAAAGUUAAGUUGAUCAGAGAGAGGUUGAAAAUGGCUCAAAGUCAUCAAAACUUUUAUGCCGAUGUAAGGAGGAGAGAUCUUGAGUUUAAGGUGGGUGAUUUGGUGUACUUGAGGAUUUCACCCAUGAAAGGGGUGAAAAGGCUUGGUAAGAAAGGAAAGCUGAGUCCUCGUUAUGUUGGCCCGUAUAAAGUCUUGACCCGUGAUGGUAAAGUGGCCUAUGAGGUUUAGUUGCGCUCAGAAUUGUUAGCCGUUCAUCCUAUCUUUCAUGCCUCCAUUCUCAAGAAGCAUAUUGAUAAUUCUGUUGUGGUUGAUCCUUCAGAGAGUGUUGAGAUUCAGGAUAGUCUUUCCUUCGAUGAAAUUCCUGUUGAGAUCCUAGACUUUCAAGUCAUUAGGCUGAGGAAUAAAGAGGUUCCCUUGGUUAAGGUGUUGUGGCGGAACCAAUCUGUUGAGGGUGCUACUUGGGAGGCAGAAGCAUACAUGUGAGCCAAGUACCUGCACCUCUUUUACACAGGUUCAGACCAAGCCAAAGGUACUAUUCUUCCUUAAUUCAGCCAUUCUAGUCUAAAUUUCAGCUAUGCAUCUAUCCUUGUAUGAGUUGUUACAUUUUCCGGAGUAUUCAUGAAUUUAGAAAGAUCUUGAACCAUUUAGAAAUUGUUUCAGCUAUGUGUACUCUAUUUUUCCUGUAUUCCUAGCCUAACUAGUGACAUUCGAGGAUGAAUAUUCCGAAGGGGGAGAUAUUAUAAGGCCCUACAAAGUGCCCUCGUUGUUUGAGCCGUAGGGAAUGUCAAGUGAGGUAUGAUUUCGAACCUAAAAUAUUAAGAAGUGGCUUCCUAAGUGAGUAUCAUAUUAACCAUAUAGAACUUCCCUAAUUUCCACUUUUUAUCACGUGAGAAAUAUGAUAAGAUUUCCAUCGAUAUAAGAUUAGGCCAAAUCCGAUACCCGAGUAAGAAGUUAUGCUUAAUUUAAGCCUUAGUCAUAAACAACAUCAUUUAGGAUCUUGGCACAAUGCGGAGAGACUUUUAGGAAAUUGUCAAAUUCUAGUGGAACUUCACAAUAGUGGCGCGUCGCACUGAAGGUGCAGGUCCCAAGCAGUGAGACAACGCGAUGGCUCCGCGUUGCUGGGACUCCCAAUUUCCCAAUUGUCAAUUCCAGUGAGCCACCACGAUAAGUGGCGCGUCGCACUGACCUAUGAAAUUGGGUUCCCAGUUCAAUUUUUUCAGCUUCAUACAGAUGUUAAAAACGGCUCUUUGGACUUUUUCCAAGCCUAUAAAACCGUGCAAACACCAAAUCAAAUGCAUUUGCAAGCAUCCGAUGAGGUUUUUCUCAAGUUUUUUCUCAUAAAAAACCCUAAGUAUCCAAAACCUCUUUCGAAAAUCUCAACAAUCCACCAUGAAUUUUCUAAAGUGAGUCAAGAUUCAAGGUUCCUAAUUCAAGGGCCUCAAGAACCCUCAUUCAAGAGUACGAAUAGAGUUCCAAAAGUGAGAGUUCAUCCAAAGCUUCUAAUUCAAGGUAUGUGGGGUUUUGAACAAGGUUAACCCUUUCACCCUUGUGCCCAAAAGGCUUAUUUACAUCAUAAAUUUCCUGAAAUAUAUGAGGUUUUUACAUGAAUUAGAAUUGAGUUUUUUCACCCAUUAUAAUUGAAUGUAUUACCUUUAUAUUUCCUAUGAAUUAAGAGGCAAAUGGCAUGAUUUUUGCAUGUUUUAUUGAGAAUUUACAGAUGGUUAUAAACCCCAUGAUUUUACUCCUUGAGAAGCUAAUAUUUGCAAUGUUGAGAUAUUGAAGCAUAUGACUAUAUUGAGAUUUUGAGAUAAAUUUCUGAAAUUCCAAGAUUUCCACAUGAUUUAUGAAUCUAUAUGCUAUAUAUUAUGAUUUUGAUGAGCUUUAGCUUGAGGUUGAACUAUGGGUUAGUAAGCCCUAUUUGAGACUUGUGAAAUUAUGAGCUCUUGUGCUAUAAGAACCCAUGAUUUGAGUAUUUGGAGAUGAUUGAGAAAUGAAUUGACCUAAUGGUCCGAAAGCUUUGAAACCACUUCAUCAUAUGAGAUUAUCGGUUUGACAUUUGGGUUCGUGGUGAACCAUGAGAUUAUUCUAAAAGUGGAUUUUUAUGAGAUGAGCGCAGAUAAUCUAAAGGAAGUAGUACAUAGCACCGAGCGGGUAAGUCACUAUGGUUUCUUACCCCAAAACUAUGUGCCACCGUAGGUUGGGCCUGAGGCCGAAUUUAUGAUGAUUAUGAUUAAGCCAUAGGACGAGUUUUGUUUAGUGAUCACUAGACCUAGGUUAUACUCGCUGGCAAGAGUAUUACUCUCCUCUCCAACAUGGGGUCUCCUCCUUACGAGGACAAAUUGUUGGACUCCUUGUAGCUAGCAUGGUUUCUGUCGGUUACGAGAACCUCUCUUGCCCUUUUAAACUUUUAAAAUGUGAUACUUAUUUUCUUUUCCUAUGAGUUAUUUUCCUAAAUGAUGGAAUUGCAAAGUUGUUCCCUAAUUAAAGUGCUUCCUUGAGGUGGGUUAUUUCCCAAAAUGAAAGUAUCUUCCCUUGAUAUAGUACUUUUCAUAAAGCUUUGAGAUAAGUUAUUUCCUCCAGCUAGAAUACUUUUCCAUUUGAGAUAGAAUGAUUUUGCUAAAGCUUGAAAUGAGAUAUAUUCUUAAGGUGAAUAAAAUGCCUUCAAAUAUGUUUCCAAGUGAUAUGAUUCUGAAUUCCAAGUAUAUGAGUUCUAAAUAAUUAUGAAAUAUUGAGCAUUAAAGAGGUUUUACUCUCGAUGAGACAGAUGCAUGAGUUGAAAGUAUUGUUCAAAGUUCCUUAGCCUUUGGGUAUUAAGAAUAAGAGAAGAUUUCUGUUAGAUUUCUGUUUUUUAAGGUUAAAGAGCGAUGACUCAUGAGAUUUGUGUUGCAUGACUCAUUCUAAAUGAUUUAUGAGCUUUAUAUUUUAUAAUUGUUCAAGCUAUGUGAGUCGUCUCAUUUUGCAUACAUGAUUUUAUUGAAGAAGAUCGGUACUAUUUUUAUAUAUAUACAUUGUCCCCCGCAUACUCAGUAUAUUCCAAAGUAUUGAUUCACAUAUAUGUCUAUGUGCUACAUUUUCUUAUAAUUUAGGUUCAGGUGUUCAGUCCCAACCUCAUCCGUGAUUCUUCGAGUACCUUGCCUACGUUUUCUACAAUGGUGAGUCCUCAUGGUUUGAGGACAGAUCUUUAUAUAUUUUUUCUAUUUGAGAGACUAUGUUUUAUCUUCAAUUCAUUUCGAGUCAGUUGGGCACCUGUCCUAACGGCUCUUUAGUUUUAUAUUCGUAGAGGUUUUGUUAGACUAGUAUCAUACUUGUAAUGUGUCAGUGUUCGGUAUUAUGGUUUUGUUGAGGUUUCUCUGUAUUGUGGUCUCAUGGACCGAGUAUCUUUCCCAUAUUUCUUUUCAUGUGGUAUGACUAUUUGAGUGUUGAGUCUAUUUCAUCUUGAAUUGAGUGUUAUUGGUAGAAACCGGCUCUAAGAGUUAGCUUAGGGCUACUUGUAGCCUUAAGCACCGUAUGACAUCCCGGGAGAUGAUUUUGGGUUAUUAAAAAAAUAUGGUGUGUCUCAUCUCAUACCAUCCAACCAGUAAUGCUGCCUCAAAUCAUGAAACAUCUUAGUCACUCUUGAAUAGAUGGAAUACCUGAAUUAAUGAGCUUCCUCAAAAAUCAGUCUAGUUUAAUCACCCACUCUCGACACCCAAAUCUGACUUCCAAUCCUCAAACCACCAUCUGAAUCGCGAGAGGCUUCUAUAGAGUUACUAAAAACACCUUAUCCCAAACAAAUCUUAAUACAACAUCUUCAAACUGAUAAGCUCUAAUAUACUCCAUCAAAUAAGACCUAGCCUCCAUAAAUGUCAAAACACAACAAGACAUUGAAAUAUCAUUCCUAACCAUUUGGAUAGCUAAAGACCAAACCACUAAUUCUGAUGGCCUCUCCAAGGUCAAAAGAUACACCAAGCUACCUAUGCUAUUUAACUUUUGGCGCAGGUCAUCUACAACUACAUUAGCCUUGCCCGGAUGAUAGAGAAUAGUUAGGUCAUUAUCCUUAAGAACCUAAAGUCAACAAAGAUGGCUCAUAUUAAGAUCUCACUGGGUGAAAAAAUACUGAAGGCUAUGCUGAUAUGAGAAAAUUUCACAAUGGUCUCAAUAAAAGCAGUGCCUCCAAAACAUCAAAUAAAAAAUGAUCGUGCACAACUAAAAAUCAUGGGUAGGGUAAUUCUUCUUAUGGGUAUUCAACUGGAGAGAAGCAUAAAAAUCACUUUACCCUCUUGUAUCAACAUAUCACCUAACUCAACACUUGAAGCAUCAGAAAACCUGAUAAAACCCACGCCUUUCUUGAGUAAAGACAAAAUAAGAGAUGAAGUCAACAAAUCAUUAAGCUUUUGGAAGCUCUCCUCACAAGCAUCUAACCACUAAAAGGAAAUCUUCUUCUUAGUCAACUUGGUCAACAAAGAUGCAACAAAGGAGAAACCCUCAACAAAACAUCGGUAGUAACCUGCAAAUCCAACAAAACAUCGAAUCUUAGUGGGCGAAGUAGGCCUAGCUCAUUCACGAACUGCUACAAUCUUGGUUAGAUUAACCAUAAUACCUGUAUUGGUAGCCAUAUGUCCCAAGAAAGAGACAAAAUCAAACCAAAAUUCACUCUUAGAGAACUUAGCAUACAACGACUCACCUCUUAAUCUUUGAAGCACAAUCCGCAAAUGCUCUUUAUGAUCUUCCUCACACUUGGAAUAAACAAGGAUAUCGUCAAUAAAUGCAUUAAUAAAGUAGUCGUGAGACAAUUAAAAUACAAGGUUUAUCAACUCCAUGAAUGUGGCUUGGGCAUUUGUUAGACCAAAUAACAUGACUAAGAACACAUAAUGACUAGAUCGAAUCUAAAAUGCUAUCUUCAGAAUAUCUAAAGCUCAAUUCCUCAACUAGUGGUACUCAAACCUCAAAUUAAUCUUUAGGAACACUGGAGAGCUCUAAUAUACUCCAUCAAAUAACACCUAGCCUCCAUAAAUGUCAAAACACAACAAGACAUUGAAAUAUCAUUCCUAACCAUUUGGAUAGCCAAAGACGAAACCACUAAUUCUAAUGGCCUCUCCAAGGUCAAAAGAUGCACCAAGCGACCUAUGCUAUUCAACUUUUGGCUCAGGUCAUCUACAACUACAUUAGCCUUUCCUGGAUGCUAGAGAAUAGUCAAGUCAUUAUCCUUAAGAACCUAAAGUCAACAAAGCUGGCUCAUCUUAAAAUCUCGCUGGGUGAAAAAAUACUGAAGGCUGAGUUGAUAAGACAAAAUUUCACAAUGGUCUCAAUACAAGCAGUGCCUCCAAAACUUCAAAGAAAAAAUAAUCGCGCACAACCACAAAUCAUGGGUAGGGUAAUUAUUCUUAUGGGGCUUUAACUGGAGAGAAGCAUAAACAAUAACUUUACCCUUUUGCAUCAACAUAUCACCUAACUCAACACUUGAUGCAUCACAAAAACUGAUAAAAUCUACGCCUUUCAUGAGUAAAGACAAAAUAAGAGAUGAUGUCAACAAAUCAUUUAGCUUUUAAAGCUCUCCUCACAAGCAUGUAACUACUAAAAGUAAAUCUUCCUCUUAGUCAACUUGGUUAACAAAGCUGCAAUAGAGGAGAAACCCUCAACAAAACGUCGGUAGUAACCUGCAAAUCCAACGAAACAUCGAAUCUUAGUGGGCGAAGUAGGCCUAGCCCAUUCACGAACUGUUAUAAUCUAGGCUGGAUUAACCACAAUACCUGUAUUGGUAACCAUUUGUCCUUAGAAAGAGACAAAAUCAAACCAAAGCUCAUGCUUAGAGAACUUAGCGUACAACGACUCUCCCCUUAAUCUUUGAAGCACAAUCUGCAAAUGCUCUUAAUGAUCUGCCUCACACUUGGAAUAAACAAGGAUAUCAUCUAUAAAUGCAUUAAUAAAGUAGUCGUUGGAUGAUUGAAAUACAAGGUUCAUCAACUCCAUGAAUGUGGCUUGUGCAUUGGUUAGACCAAACAAUAUGACUAAGAUACAUAAUGACUAGAUCGAGUCUAAAAUGCUAGAUUCAGAAUAUCUGAAGCUUAAUUCCUCAAUUAGUGGUACUCGAACCUCAAAUUAAUCUUCAGAAACACUGGAGCACUCUUAAGAUGGACAAAAAAAUCAUCGAUACGUGGAAGAAGAUAUUUAUUCUUGACUGUCAACUUGUUCAACAAUCACUAAUCAAUACACAUAUGCAUAGACCCAUCCUUUAUAUUCAAAAAUAGGAUAGCCGCACCCUAAGGUGAUAUACUAGGUCGGAUAAAUCCUUUUUUCAACAACUCCUGCAACUAAUCCUUUAAUUUCUUUAACUCGACUGAGGCCAUCUUAUAAGAAUGAAUAGAAAUGGUCUUGGUACCCGACUCAACAUUAUUAGCAAAAGUCAAUAUCAUGAUCUAGAAACAUAUAAGGCAAAUCCAUAGGAAAGACAUCCACAAACUUGUGAACCACAAGAACAAAAUCCAAAGAAUAAGGUGAAGCAACACUAGUAUCAUAAAUAUGAGACAAAUAAGAUAAAUAUCACCUCUCAACCAAGUAAUGAUCCUGAACAUAAGAUAUAACCCUUUUGGAGCCCAAAUAAAGAAAACCCUUCCAAGCUAUCCUUAGAACACCCAGUGAAGCUAAACUCACAGUCUUAGCAUACCAAUCUAGGAAAUCAUGGUAAGGAUCCAAGGAGUCCAUACCCCAGAUGAUAUCAAAAUCUAACAUAUCAAAUACAAUCAGAUUCACCUAGGAUUCAAACCCGACAAAAGUUACAACACAAGAUCGUACACCUAAUCCAUCACUAAAGAGUCUCAAGAAAUUUGUUAACAAUGGGGACAGUUGGAAAAGAAGAAACCAUAGAGCCAGAGUCAUUAACCCAAACCAAAGGAUAAAGACACCCAUUGGAAAUCAACUUUCUGGCUCCUAUUCACUUAUCGAUUUAUUAGGAAAUUUAAGACUAAACUUUUUGGUCCUACAAUCCAAAGAGGCAUACACGAAUGGAGUCAAUCUAUCCCUAAUUUUAUAUCGUAAUAUACCAUAUCAAGAUCUACAAAAUCCACUCCCUAUGAAAGAUAUACACUAUACAAUCUCUAUAGAUUUUUCUAACCAUAAUAGAAUCACCCGUCGAAGUGGACACAGAGAAGGGGCAAGAAAUAUUUUCAAGACCAAAACUAAAGUGCAUAGCCAUAUAAUGGGUCACAUAAGAAAGGGUAGACCCCAAAUAAAGAUAAUGAUAUGCAUCACAAGAGAAGUGUUGAAACAUCCCAGUGGCAACAUCAAGAGAUACCUCAAAUUCCUAAUGGGUGGCAAGAGCAUAAAGACGAUUUUGGCCUAUGCCUGUACCAGAGGUUGCACCCUUUGAAGCAGAAGCCGAAGAUGUGGAAACUAAAACCUUUUUAGACCUAGUGGAAAUAUUAGGUACAAUAUAGUUCAUCUGUAUAUGCCAAGCUGAUCGUAAUUAAAUCAUAAGUUCCUCCCCUCAUCACACUAAUUAUGGUGAAGGUGUCCAUAAAAUCUACAAGGAGGAUAAGGUAGGGCUGACUGAGCUCCACUAUCCUGACACUGGGCACCCUAUUCCAUAAAACCACUGCUAACCUAAUAAAGACAAUAACCGAAUGGCUUGGGAUAAGAAUCACUUGCCAAAUAAUAUGGACUAAAAUUUGCCCAAGUGUUUUUCAUGCUUCACUGUCUAAUAUCUCUUCAACUAUUCUAUUGAUUCGUGCCCUACUAAGAAUACCUGAACUUCUUAUUCUGCUUCUCCCUUAUUUCCACCUAUUUUCUCUUUUUAUCUUGAGACUGCUGCAAAUAAACCACAAAACUAGAGAUAUCCAUAUGAUUAUUCAACAUUGCAGCCUUAAAUCCCAAUACCAAGUCAUGAGACAAACCAAUAUCAAACUUUCUCAUCCUAGCCCUCAUACUAGAUACUAACUACAGAUCAUAACAAGACAACUGAUGGAACAUCAGGGCAUACUCAAUCACACUCACACUACCUUGCCUGAAGCAUACAAAUUCUUUAUCCUUGGCCUCCCUCAACUCCUAAGGAUAGAACCGAUCAAAAAGGCAUAAGAAACUCCUCCUACAUUUCCCACUAAACAUCAUAACCCCUUAACUACUCUUACUCCUCAUACAACUAAUAAGAAAUAUCCUUUAACUAAUAAGAAGCAAAAUCCAUACCCUUUGUAUUAGUGGCAUGCAUUACUUAAAAAAUCCUUUUUAUCUCAUCAAUGAAUCCUUGACGAUGUUUCUUAACGUUUGAUCCUGUAAAGGUUGGGAGGUUUAACCUCACAAAUGGACCGUUCUAACUAACCUCAGAUAGAACCACACUAGAACUAACAGGACCAGACUGAAAAGACUAGGAGGUAACCAAUUAGGUAAGCAAAUUAAUGGAUCGACGAAACUUUGCAUUAGAAAAAUCCAUAUGAGGUCACGAAGAAUUAGAGUCACCAGUCGUUAAAUAACCAGUUGGGACCGGUAGAACCCCAAGUUGAGCACUAAAAUCAAGAGUAGGAAUCCUAGAUCGAGUCUGUACUUCAUAAACAGGACAAGUCCCCUCCGCAUUCUCCUUAGGCACGGUGGAGGUCCCAAAAGAAUUUCUACGAGCAUUAGAUUUUUGAGGAGGCAUAAUCUAAAAUGCGAGUAAGUUAGAGAUUAGAGGAAUUUCAAAACACCAGACUUUGUAGCCUGAAAUAAAACACUAUAAAGGGAGAUAUUCGUAAAUUCCUUAUAAACCCCCUUAGAAGUGUCACACGUAACACACUCAUAAAAGGGACUCUACUCAAAAUGGCUUUAUGGACACCCCAAUACCCUAAACCUAGCUCAGAUACCAUGCUUGUAACAACCCAAACCAAGGUCUAGUUGUGAUGGGUAUCUCAAGUACACCGAGGACAAGAGACCACCACCUUAGCCUAGCAAACUAGAACACAAUAUGAAUAAAAAUAAAAGAUAACCAAACAUAUAACCAAGAUAUAUAAGUUAACGAAAAGGGACUCUAGGAGUCUAAAACAAUAAUUACUACCACACUUUGUCACAAAAACUUCUAAACAAAAUACUAAGUUAGGUCAAGAUAUGUCCCUGACUAUAGACAAAAAGGGAAUCCAAAAUAUUAAUCGAUAUGAUUUUGAUACCCAUAGAGAAAGUAAUCAAAUAUCUGGCCUUUAAAAAAAUAAAGAAUUACCUCUUUAACAGAACUCGAUAGGCAUGCUAAUCUAUAUAACGAUGAAAAGGGGUAAAAAACGUGUCUUUAAGCCCUAAAUUAUGGAAUAGUAUAGCAUCCUAGGAUGGUUAGCGGUGUGAGCGCUAACAUGUAACACAAGGAAUGGCUAAAAUAAAGCCAAGAACAAAUCAUUCCAAAAACCAAUAUACACUCAUUCAUAUACGUAUAUAUAAGAUACCAAGAUAGGGAACAAUUUUUAGCAUGCGAUUUAAAACCAUUAAUAUACGUAUAUAUAAGAUACCGAGAUAGGGAAUAAUUUUUAGCAUGAGAUUUAAAACCAUUAACUUGGACUAUGUAGCUCUAAUCAUCAUAAGGUCACCCAAGGAGUAUAUCGGUUUAGCUCCCCCUCUUAAAAGGUUCCCAACAUGUGAUAGCCGCACAAACUAGGAAACUCUGACGAAAGGUCAGGGAAUUCGAUGACCCCAGUCAUUAUAAUAUAUAUAUAUAUAUAUAUAUAGAUAUAUAUAUAUGAAGUAUGAACUAACCAUAUGGUAAACAAGACCCUCCUUCCGGUAAACAUUAUAUCCAGUAUCAUUCCCCCCGGGACCACUACUUUUAACGACGAGCUACUCAACCACUUUAAGCCUAAAUUAAAAUAUUUUUACAAAACGCAUCCAUUAAAGAAAGUAGUCAUCCAUUACACAUUUAUCAGAUGGUAUCAUCAUACCAAUAGAACUUUCAAGUCAAUUCUAUUUAACCAUUCCAAACCAAUUAGCCAAAUAGAUUCCAAAGUUCCAAUUUAGAAACUAAUUCAUGGCCACCAAGGCCAUUUAAAACCACUUAUAACUAAACCAUGGUUACCAAGUCCUUCUAAAACCGUUUUUAUCCAUUUAACCAAUAAUAAAAUGCAAUAGAUUAGAAAUUGAACAAGACCAUAUAAUAAUUUUAAUUAAAAGAGCAUAAGAUAAAGCAUGAAUAAUAAUUCUAAAACAAUGGGAAAACCAACCAAGUAGUAAUCUUCAAAAACACUCAACCCAUCAUUCGAAACCCAACGUUUAAAUUUACAUAUGCCAUUAUUAACUCAUGUUGUUAUAUAAAACCAACUUAGGUAAGAGAUAUAUGUCCGAGAAUACCAAGAAUUUUUUAAAAGAAACCACAAUUUGAACCUUAGUUGCUUAAUCUAUCGAAAACCUUGGUUUCUUUUACUUUGGGAAAGUUUAAGAGGAGAAAAAUAUGUUUAGAUUUCUAUAUGGAUGAUAAUGAUACCCUAAAAGUGUUUUUAUUUCAUGCGUAAUGAGUUAAGGAUGGUAAAAGAAAAAAAUCCCCUUCAUAACAACAUGUAGAAAAAUUAUCACAAGUCAUUACGGGUCAGGUGACGACUCAUAAUGACUUACUAUGAGUCUUUUCCAGGACACAUAAUUUGGGUAGAAACAUUAGGUACCUAUAAUUUUAGGAUCACAAAUACCUCCCCAUUACUUGUGACCAGACCUUACGACUCGUAGGGUCUUAGUCGUGAUCUAAACAGAAACAUUAGCAAUCCUCACUGUUUAAAAUAUGAUAGGAACUACACGAAUCGUAUAGAUGACUACAACUCAUCUUAUGAGUCUUAGUGUAUAUAGUGACUUUAAUCACAAGGAAAAUUUUAAAGUCCAAAACCUGGGGUAUUGCACCUGGCUUACUGACAAGUAUCACAUUUGCGAUCUUUUCCUCCCAAAUGCAGGACUCGCAAUUAUGACCAAGUUUUCACAUAUACGAAACUUGUACUGUAUAACUUUGUCAUAUAAGAGACUAGUCCAUUGUGAAAGCAAGUUCAUCAACAGAGACUUGGGAAAUUUUAAGUCUCUACAAACCCCACGAGAUUUAUCUAGAAUCUGGUGAAUUCAAAAAAACUAUGAUACCCUACCAAAUUCAAUUAGUCAAACUCAAUGGAGAUAUCAAAUUUUCAAAAUUGUUGUUUUCACAAACUUGACCCCUACUAUCACAACUUUAGGAACUGAUGGUCAAAAUUAGUUAUAAAAUCCAUAAAACCAUACCAACUAGGUUAUCAACCUAAAAUCAAUGUUUCGGAUCUACUUGCACAGUUCGUUUAUUCAUCCAAUGCAUUGAUAAAUGAAUGUUGACCAAGGCCAACUAUAAGACUUUUCAAGCCAUCAAAAACCAUUAUUUUACAAAAAUCAUAUGAAAAUGAAUCAAGAACAAUGCCAAGUAUCCCCAUUCCCCAGAAAUACCACAACGCAACCACAUGGAGGGGUAAAAUGGUUAAAUCCCACAUAAAUAAAUAUUUUACAUAAAUUAACAAAAUUCAGGUCAUUACAUAUGACUGGGGAUAAAGAUGCUUUAAUUUUUAUGUUAUUAAAAAUAAAAUUUGUAGUGUUUUAAGGUGCCAAAUUGAAGGAUGUUUAUGGGUUUUUGAUUGACUUUUAUGAGACUCUAGAUAAGAUGGGGUUUUUGAGAGUUAUGACUUUUCAGUGUUAGGGAUAGGCUAAGUUAUUGUGGAGAAGUUUUUUUGAGUGCAGGGUUUGUCUACCUUCACUAACUUAGUCUCAAAUUUACACUAUGAUUUUUGAGAAAUAUGUUCCCAAUACUUUGUGGAUAAGAAGAAAGAUAGGUUUAUUAGGAUUGAACAGGUGAUACAUUAGUCGUGGACUGUAAGGCUAGAUUUCAUACAUUUUCUUGGUAUGCUUUACAAUUGUUACCUACUAAAAAGAAUAGAAUAAAAUUGCACUAUAAAUGACCUUUUUAAGGAAAACUUUCCACGAGAUAAGGGAGUUUGUAAUGAAAGUUGAGGGGGAGAAGGCGAAAGGUUGUAUUAGAGAAUAUGAAAAGAGAGACUAAGAACAAAGUUAUUUCAAUGGUUCUUACUUAUGCGGACAUAUAUAAUUUACCUACUCUUCUCUGUUGAUUCAUUCAAUGGUUUCUUUGUCUAUUAUAAACCCAACAAGGGUCAGUUAGUAACCUUUAUGGAUAGGUAGUUAUACACCUUCAACAUAUGCAACCCAGUAGUAUGCCCUAUAUCAUAGAUGCUAUGAGUGCUAAGGAGUAGUUUAUAUUCAAAUAAUUUUUCUAGGUCUUAUUAUCACAAUUUAGGUGACUUAACAAUUAACUUCUAUUGCUUUAGUUCAGAUAAGUCAUAGUGAGGCAUGAAAUGGUAGGGGUUAUCCACCGAGUGGGCAUAGUAGUAACAGUAAUGGUAGAGGUAUAUAUAAGUUCUACCAUGCUGUAGGACACAUUGGUCAGGGUAGCUAUAUAAUACCAACCAUGGUAUAGGCCAUAUUUAUUAGAGUAGCACAUAGUAUGGAAAAGGUAGAGGUCAGGCUGCUGAUAAGGCAGAUUUGUAUAUAUUUUUAGGUCUUCCUAAAGAUAUGGCUUCUAAAAUAUUGUGUUCAUAGGUCCCCUUUUUGUUUGUGAUCAUAUGUUAGUAUUAUUUGAUUUAAGGACCACUAUUUCCUAUAUGUCUGUUAAGUUUGCAUUUGCUUGGGACUUAAUUUGUGAAAGGCUUGAUACACCAAUUCAUAUAACUACACUAGUUAGGGAUUUUGUAUGUGUUAAUAAGUUUUACUAGUCUUUUCAUGUAGAUUUUAUGAGGUAAAAACCUUUGACUAGGUGAUUUUAGUCAUGGUGGAUUUUGAUAUCAUUUUAGGGAUGAGUUGGUCUAUUCCAAAAGUAAAGAGGAGUAUAAAUUUUAGUUGCACACUAUGUUAAGGUUGCCUAAGGAAAAACAACUAUGACUUAAGUAUUCCAAGUCUGAAUAUUAGCUAUCUUUAAUGUCAUAUUUGGGGCAUGUUCUAUCUAAAUAAGGGGCUAUGGUAGACCCAAAAAAGAUUAAGGUUGAUAGAAAUUUUUCUAGAAAGACCAAUGCGCUAGAGAUUCAUCGUUGUUUUUGGCUCAGUUAGCUAUUUUUUUUGUGUAUGAAAGGGUUUGCAUCUAUUGCUUAUCAUAUGGCAUAUUAGACUUGGAAGGAGGUACUAUUUAUAUAGAGUGAUGAAUGUGAUUCAACUAAGGAUUUUAUUAUGCAUUAUGAUGCUUCACAUUUUUGUUUGGGUAUUUUUCUGAUGCAGUAAAAUAAUGUGAUUGCCAAUGCUUUAAGAGAGCUAAAAGAUUGAAGAAACAAACAACCCUACUUAAAAUUAACAGUUAUCAGUGGUGGUGUACGCUCUCUAAAUUUUGAGAUGCUAUCUGUAUGAGGUUAAUUUUAGGUACUCACAAACAAUCCCAGUUUACUGCAUGUAUUUGAUUAGAGAGACUUGAAGUUGAGGUAGAAAAAUAGGAUAGAUCUACUAUAAAACUAUGAUAUUUUGAUUAUUUAUGAUUCUAUCAAAGCCAAUAUGAUAGAACAGAGAGGCGUAAACAUUAGCUAAUAGUUUUAUAAGACUAUACGUGACUAAUAAGGGGGGGGGUUAGCCAACAUUAAGGAUCGAUAUACCUUUCUUAGAUGGAUUAAAGAACAACAAUUUGAGGUUAAAAUUUGUGUUAAAGUAUUACAACGUGAUGCCAAGAUGGCCAUUCUUUAUUAGGAGGGUGUGUUAAGAAUAAGGGCGUGUGUGUGUACCUUGUAUGGAAAAACGAUUUGUACUGUUCUUGUAGAGUCUCAUCGUUAUAAGUAAACCAUAUAUCAAUAUGAAAUCAAGAUCUAUAAAGACUUAAUGAAUCUUUAUUGGUGGUGCUAGAUAAAGUAAGACAUUCUUCUUUUCAGGACUGAUCUUAGGUGAAUUUAUGUACCUAAGACUUGGUAUUCGACCUUACCUAGCUUUGUUUUGAGGACUUCUAGUGUGAUUAAUGGGUAAAUAUUCAUAUAACUUAUCAUAUAAUGUUCAAAUACUUGAUUAUAAUUUUAACACCCCGAUUCGCUGAACCGGAAUUCUACAUGGUGCUCAUGACCCCGAGGGACCACAAGCUAACCCAUGAAUGAUAUCUGUACCUGUAUACUACAAAUCAUGAUAUAAUAAUGCGGAAUACAUAAAAUAGCAAGGCCAUAGGUUCAACUGAAUAAAACUAUGUGGGUGAAAAUGCCCAAAUCAACUCAAUAUGAAAUCUAAGUCUGAACGUAAAUCUGAACAUAAAUUUGAAAGCCUCUAAACUACCUGAAUAAGGAGUCGAAGAAGCAUAUCUCCAACUAACUCCAUAAAACUGAACUGAAUAAAUAAAUAAAUGUAUCAAAUCAUAUUGUCCUCGAAUCAAUGAGGACUCACUAUGUCUCUACGAUUAGAAUGCUACCACUACUGCUGGGCUGGAGCUCGUAUCUUGGAACCUAUGGUGUAAUAUGAAAGGAAAGCACCAUAGCACAAAUGCAUCAGUAUAACUGAAGUACUGAGUAUAUAAGGUAGGUAGGCUGGACAUAAAGGGUUUCAUGCAUGAACAACACUGACUGACUAAUAUGAACGUGGGAGUGCAAACACUUAUAUAUAGAAACUGGGACUGUGAAUACGUGAUAGCAUGACUUGUAAGCUAUUAUAUGGUUUACUGAUAACUGUCAUCACUGAUACUAUAACUGAUAACAUGGACGACUAUAUAUAACAGUACUAUAUAUACUAAAAUCUAAAGAACGCCCUGAGUUCUUUUACUUAGACUGAUACUGAAACUGUGGGAGGUAGUGUUUAACCAACAUGCCCCAUGUCUACCGUUAUGGCUAAGCUAGGGUCCAAUCUCAGCCCCAUCUAGGGGGGUGUCAAUACAGUACCACGGGUAAGGAAAGCCUGUGAGUGACCCUUAUCUGGCAGGUACUUAAUGAGAAUGGUGGGAACCCUAAACGGACAGGUUAAGCCACCUCAUCAACCCUAAUUUGAUGGUUUAAGAUGUCUCAACCUACACUAGCUAUUUAGUUCUGGAACACAAGGAUGACUACUAAGAACACACCCUGAACUGGCGGUGAGUUCCCAUCCUUGGGUUCACUCGGUGCUAACCUCUACUCCCAUCUGGAGGGACUGGACAUGAAUAACUGACUGUGCAUGACUUAAUUUUACUGAAUUCUGUUGACUGGCAAAAUAUUAUUGAUAUCUGAUAGCUGACUAAGAUCAUGACAUUUUCCUGAGUCAAAUGACUGACUGAAGUCUAUGGAAUCAUAGCUUGAGUUCAGUUAUCGUGAAACAUAACAUUGCUCUACGCACACAAUUAUAGUUUUUGGGUACAAGUACCCCUAGGACUCGAUAGGAGGAAACCGACUCACAUGACAUGACUUGAUCACAAAAUUUGAGUCCACAAUUCACAAUAUCAUAAGUAGGGCUUUCAUGAUAAGAAUGAUUCGCAACAAACAAUCACAUGAUCGGGAAUGCACACAACAUGUGUAUAAUUCUAUAGCUUCAAUAACAUGGUCAUUCCAUAUCGUAACAAUAUCAUGAGCAUCUCGUACAACUUCUUCAAUUCAAGACAAUAGCACGGGGAUCAUGUUGAACAUAAACUUAGAACGUGGAGUAGUCAUUUAGGACUUAUUAUUUCAUAAAAGCAUGAUUUCUAUUCUCUUAGGUAUUUUCGCAAACACCUUACAUACACAUCUUAGGCAUAGGUGGAUUCAUCAAGAUUACAAAUAUUCAACCACUAAUUUCACAUAUUUAUACAUUAAAUACCACCAUAUCCUCACAAUAAACAUACAAAGAUCCCAUAUUAGGCAUCAUCAAACUCCAACCACGUGAACAUCAACCACCAACAACAUAAGCAUCAUGAUACAAAAUUAAGAAGAUAGUUCUAGAGCUUCAUGGACUAAAAGAGUUUAUGAAUUAACUCACGCACACCUUACAAGGAAGAUUCUUGAUGAUUGACGGAGGAAUUUCUUUGAAAUCGGAUCUUCAAGAUUAGUUAUGUAACCCUAGUUGUUUUUCUCUUCUAGUUCUCUUGGAUGAUGAGCUUUGAGAAGAUAAUAGGGUUGUAAUAUGUUUAGAAGUUAUAUACUUCGUAGUGUUAAGUUUAGGGACGUGCAAGGAGUGUUAAAAGACUUAAUUACCGUUAAAAUAACUCAAUACGGAGUGUUUUUGGCACCUUGAACUGACUUACCCGGUGCCCCAGUGAUUGCCUAAGCUAGGUUUCCGAUUGCCUAUGUUUGGUUGGGUGGCGCCUAACCAACCACCUAUCCUACCUGUCUCUCACGAAAAUGGGCAUAACUUUUUGCUCGGAUAUUGGAUUAAGGUAAAAUUGGUAUUGUUGGAAAGCUAAUUCAAUUCUCUAUAAUUUUCUAGGUGUAAAUCAGCCAAAAUACCACACUAUCAUCGAGUUAUACUAAUUCAAAGGUUACCCUUGCACAAUUGAACUCUAAAACUUGAUGGAUUCAAAAACUCUUAGAUUGUAUUACCUUAAGUAACUCAUAUGAACAUGGUAAAUGCAUCAUAAGCUAUCUUAUCACUAGGAUAUUCAUUGUAAGUCAUGUACUUAAGUAUGAAUCAUAGGAUAGGAGAUUUCAUACAUAGGAAUACUUAUUCACUUCCUAGCUUGGAAACAUGUGUGGUAUUACAAUAUCUCCCCCCUGGGAACAUUCGUCCUUGAAUGAGGAUUUACUGAGGAGGGAUACAAGACAAUCAAACUUGUACUGAACAUGAAGAACUGAAACUUAAUCUCAUGAUUGAUAUGAUAAACAUACUGAACUCGCGCAUAUCUAAUGCACGGACAAUGAACACAUGAAUGCAUGGCUGAGUAUGAAAUGGUUAAUAGGUACCAAGUUUAUACUUGAAAUAAGAACGUGAAACUGGAUAAGAUUAAGCAGAACUAUUACCUUGAGGUUGAGCUGAAUUAGCAGAGAAGAGGUGAGGAUACUUGGUACGCAUAUCUGCUUCUUCUUCACAAGUAGCUCGCUCAUGAGACUGAUUUCGCCAAAGAACCUUGACUAGAGGGACUUCCUUGUUCCUCAAUCUACGAGUUUGAUAAUCUAAGAUUUUGUCUGGAAUAUCUUCAUAAGAGAGGUUUUUUUGAAUGUCCAUGCUCUGAAUAGGGACAACAACUGCUGGGUUACCUAUGCACUUCUUUAGCAAGAAGACAUGGAAGACUGGAUGGACUGAUGCUAGAUCAUAAGGCAACUCAAGCUCAUAAGCUACCAUGCCGAAGCGACAAAGAAUUUUGAAGGGACCGACAUACCGGGGACUGAGUUUUCUUUUAUUGCCGAAUCUCUUCACUCCCUUCAUGGGAGAGAUCUUAAGAUAGAUAUAGUAAUUGACCUUGAACUCGAGAUCCUUCCUACGAACAUCUGCACAGGACAUCUGUCGGCUCUGAGCAUCCUGGAGUCUCUCUCUGAUCAGCUGAACUUUCUCUAAGGCAUCGAAUACUAUGUCAGGACCUAUGAUUGAGGCCUCACUAACUUCGAAUCAACCAAUUGGAUAUCUACAUAUCCUAUCAUAGAGAGUUUUUAAUGGAUAUAUUUGAAUACUAGAAUGAUAGCUAUUGUUGUAUGCAAAUCAAUCAAAGGCAAGUGGUCAUCCCAACUUCUGUUGAAGUCAAUUGCAUACGCCCUUAUUAUAUCUUCAAGAGUCUGAAUAGUUCUCUCUGCUUGACCGUCUGUCUGAGGAUAAAAUGUUGUGCUGAGAUGGACUUUGGUACUGAGACCCUUUUAGAAUGCUUUCAAAAAGUGAGAAUUGAAUUGGGUACCUUUAUUUGAAAUGAUAGAUAGUGGAACACCGUGUUACCUGACUAACUCCCUAAUAUAGAGUUUAGAAAAAUCCUCGGCAUAAUAAGAAGUACAAACAGGAAGUAAAUGAGCUGACUUGGUCAUUCUAUCUAUAAUGACCCAGACUGAAUCAUGCUGAUGAUGAGUUCUAAGCAAACCCAUCAUAAAGUCCAUGUUAACUUCUUCCCACUUCCAAUUAGGAAUGGUGAACUCUUGCAUGGAACCAGUAGGUUUCUGAUGCUCUAUCUUAACCUGCCGAUAUGUAGAGCACUUAGCCACAAACUCUGCAACAUCUCUCUUCAUCCCACUUCACCAAUAGAUCUCCUACAUGUCGAGGUGCAUCUUAGUGGCCCCUGGAUGAAUAGAGUAUCGCACACCAUGCACUUCUGCAAGAAUUCACUGCCUCAAUUCAUCUACACCUGUAACACAUAGAUGACCCUAACAACGAAGAACACUAUCUCCUCCUUAGGAGAAAACCUCAAAUUUCUGAUUCUGAACUGACUCAUUGAGCUUGACAAGGCUAGGAUCCCUAUCUUAUUUCUCUUUCACUUCGGAAACUAGAGAUGACUCUAAACUGCUAUGAAUACAUACACCACCCUCUGAAGAAUCGACUAAAUGAACGCCUAGUCUGGCAAGCUGAUGGAUCUCCUGAGCCAUCUUUUUCUUACUAUCCUCAAUGUGAGAAAUACUACCCAUGGAGAGUCGACUGAGAGCAUAGGCCACAACAUUGGCCUUGCCCGGAUGAUUAAGAACACUCAUGUUGUAAUCCUUCAAGAGCUCUAACCACCUUCUCUGGCAAAGAUUGAGAUCUUUCUGGGAAAAGACAUACUGGAGGAUUUUAUGGUCUGUGAAGACAUUUACAUAAACUCCAUAGAGAUAAUGCCUCUAAAUCUUCAAGGAAAAAACUACCGCUGCUAACGCAAGAUAAUGAGUAGGAUAAUUCUUCUCAUGUGGCUUUAACUAUUUGGAGGCGUAGGCUAUGAACAUACCAUGCCAUAUAAGGACACAACCUAAACCCACUCUGGAUGCAUCACAAUAGACUACAAAACCAUCUGAACCAUCUGGAAUAAAUAGAAUUGGAGCUGAGGUAAGUCCAGUCUUCAACUCUUGAAAGCUCUUCUCUCAAGAAUCUGACCACUGAAACUUAAUCUUUUUCUGAGUCAAUCUGGACAUAGGAGAUGCAAUAGAAGAAAAUCCCUCAAAAAACCAUCUGUAAUAGCAAGCCAAACCCAAGAAACUCCUAAUAUAUGAUAGAGAUACGGGUCUGGGCCAGUUUCUUACAGCCUCAGUUUUUUGAGGAUCUACUCUAAUGCCAUCACCGGAAAUAAUAUGGUCAAGUAAUGCUACUAAUCUUGGCCAAAAUUUGAACUUGCUGAACUUAGCGAAUAACUGGUGAUCCCUAAGUGUCUGAAGAACAAUCCUGAGAUGGUCUGCAUGAUCAUGCUCUGUGCAAGAAUAGACCAGAAUAUCAUCUAUAAAGACUAUGAAAAACAUGUCCAAGUACUGCUUGAACACAUGGUUCAUCAAAUCCAUAAAAGCUACAGGGGUAUUGGUAAGACCAAAUGACAUGACAAAAUAUUCAAAGUGACCAUACCGAGUAUGGAAAGCUGUCUUCGGAAUGUCAUAUUCUCUAACUCUGAGCUGAUGAUAGCCUGAUCUAAAGUCUAUCUUAGAGAAGUAACUGGCACCCUAAAGUUGGUCGAAUAGAUCAUCAAUCUUGGGAAGAGGAUAUAUGUUCUUCACCAUGACCUUAUUGAGUUGACGGUAAUCAAUACAUAUCCUGAGAGAACCAUCUUUCUUGUGCAUGAAUAACACUGGCGCACCCCAUGGGGAAAUGCUGGGUCUGAUGAAUCCCUAAUCCAAUAGAUCCUUCAAUUGAUCUUUUAGUUCCUUGAGUUCUUUUGGUGCCAUUCUGUAUGGCAGAAUAGAAAUAGGUUGAGUAUCCGGAAGAAGGUCUAUGUCAAAGUCUAUUUCUUUUUUAAGAGAAAUGCCUGAAAGAUCUUUGGGAAAGACAUCUGAUUCUUCAUUAACAAUAGGGACUUUUUCGAGGCUGGGAAAUUCAAAACUAGAAUCUUUAAUAUGUAUGAGAUGAUACACACACCCCUUAGAAAUCAUUUUCCUUGCCCGAAGGUAGGAAACAAGUUGACCCCUGAACACUGAAAUGCUACCCUUCCACUCUAGGAUGGGCUUAUUUGGGAACUAAAAUUGAACUAUCCUAUUUCUACAGUCGAUUGUGGCAUAGAAGGAAUGAAGCCAAUACAUGUCAAGAAUGACAUCAAAAUCAGUCAUCUCUAACUUCACUAAAUCUGCUGAUGUGGAUUUCUGAGAUGUCAUAACUGGGCAGUUCCUGUAUACCCACCGGGCUAUGAUGGUUUUACCCAUUGGGGUAGAGACUGAGAAGUGCUCUUCUAGGACUUCGAGACUAAUUCCUAAAUCGCCUGCUAUGUAUGGAGUAACAAAAGACAAAGAUGCACUUAGGUCUAGCAAAGCAUAAACAUGAACAUGGAAAAUAUGUAACGUACUAGUAACGAUAUCAGGAGAAUUUUCUUAAUCCUAUCGGGACUGAAGAGCAUAGAGACUGUUUGGACGUUGCCCACUGGUAGCACUAGAAAUGGCACCCAUCUGGUUGAGGCGACUGGACUGAGCUGUAGAAUGAUUUUGCUGACCCUGAAGACUUGACUGCAGACACUCCCUAAUCCUGUGGCCUGGCUUGCCACUACCAAAACAGACAUCACUACCGGCUCUGCAAAUACUCUUGUGGUUCUUACCACAAGUCUGACAAAAGGGAUUCGUUCGGGUACUGCUAACACUGCCCUGAGAUUUAGAGCCUGNNNNNNNNNNNNNNNNNNNNNNNNNNNNNNNNNNNNNNNNNNNNNNNNNNNNNNNNNNNNNNNNNNNNNNNNNNNNNNNNNNNNNNNNNNNNNNNNNNNNNNNNNNNNNNNNNNNNNNNNNNNNNNNNNNNNNNNNNNNNNNNNNNNNNNNNNNNNNNNNNNNNNNNNNNNNNNNNNNNNNNNNNNNNNNNNNNNNNNNNNNNNNNNNNNNNNNNNNNNNNNNNNNNNNNNNNNNNNNNNNNNNNNNNNNNNNNNNNNNNNNNNNNNNNNNNNNNNNNNNNNNNNNNNNNNNNNNNNNNNNNNNNNNNNNNNNNNNNNNNNNNNNNNNNNNNNNNNNNNNNNNNNNNNNNNNNNNNNNNNNNNNNNNNNNNNNNNNNNNNNNNNNNNNNNNNNNNNNNNNNNNNNNNNNNNNNNNNNNNNNNNNNNNNNNNNNNNNNNNNNNNNNNNNNNNNNNNNNNNNNNNNNNNNNNNNNNNNNNNNNNNNNNNNNNNNNNNNNNNNNNNNNNNNNNNNNNNNNNNNNNNNNNNNNNNNNNNNNNNNNNNNNNNNNNNNNNNNNNNNNNNNNNNNNNNNNNNNNNNNNNNNNNNNNNNNNNNNNNNNNNNNNNNNNNNNNNNNNNNNNNNNNNNNNNNNNNNNNNNNNNNNNNNNNNNNNNNNNNNNNNNNNNNNNNNNNNNNNNNNNNNNNNNNNNNNNNNNNNNNNNNNNNNNNNNNNNNNNNNNNNNNNNNNNNNNNNNNNNNNNNNNNNNNNNNNNNNNNNNNNNNNNNNNNNNNNNNNNNNNNNNNNNNNNNNNNNNNNNNNNNNNNNNNNNNNNNNNNNNNNNNNNNNNNNNNNNNNNNNNNNNNNNNNNNNNNNNNNNNNNNNNNNNNNNNNNNNNNNNNNNNNNNNNNNNNNNNNNNNNNNNNNNNNNNNNNNNNNNNNNNNNNNNNNNNNNNNNNNNNNNNNNNNNNNNNNNNNNNNNNNNNNNNNNNNNNNNNNNNNNNNNNNNNNNNNNNNNNNNNNNNNNNNNNNNNNNNNNNNNNNNNNNNNNNNNNNNNNNNNNNNNNNNNNNNNNNNNNNNNNNNNNNNNNNNNNNNNNNNNNNNNNNNNNNNNNNNNNNNNNNNNNNNNNNNNNNNNNNNNNNNNNNNNNNNNNNNNNNNNNNNNNNNNNNNNNNNNNNNNNNNNNNNNNNNNNNNNNNNNNNNNNNNNNNNNNNNNNNNNNNNNNNNNNNNNNNNNNNNNNNNNNNNNNNNNNNNNNNNNNNNNNNNNNNNNNNNNNNNNNNNNNNNNNNNNNNNNNNNNNNNNNNNNNNNNNNNNNNNNNNNNNNNNNNNNNNNNNNNNNNNNNNNNNNNNNNNNNNNNNNNNNNNNNNNNNNNNNNNNNNNNNNNNNNNNNNNNNNNNNNNNNNNNNNNNNNNNNNNNNNNNNNNNNNNNNNNNNNNNNNNNNNNNNNNNNNNNNNNNNNNNNNNNNNNNNNNNNNNNNNNNNNNNNNNNNNNNNNNNNNNNNNNNNNNNNNNNNNNNNNNNNNNNNNNNNNNNNNNNNNNNNNNNNNNNNNNNNNNNNNNNNNNNNNNNNNNNNNNNNNNNNNNNNNNNNNNNNNNNNNNNNNNNNNNNNNNNNNNNNNNNNNNNNNNNNNNNNNNNNNNNNNNNNNNNNNNNNNNNNNNNNNNNNNNNNNNNNNNNNNNNNNNNNNNNNNNNNNNNNNNNNNNNNNNNNNNNNNNNNNNNNNNNNNNNNNNNNNNNNNNNNNNNNNNNNNNNNNNNNNNNNNNNNNNNNNNNNNNNNNNNNNNNNNNNNNNNNNNNNNNNNNNNNNNNNNNNNNNNNNNNNNNNNNNNNNNNNNNNNNNNNNNNNNNNNNNNNNNNNNNNNNNNNNNNNNNNNNNNNNNNNNNNNNNNNNNNNNNNNNNNNNNNNNNNNNNNNNNNNNNNNNNNNNNNNNNNNNNNNNNNNNNNNNNNNNNNNNNNNNNNNNNNNNNNNNNNNNNNNNNNNNNNNNNNNNNNNNNNNNNNNNNNNNNNNNNNNNNNNNNNNNNNNNNNNNNNNNNNNNUCGUUAUGGCUAAGCUGGGGUCCAAUCUCUGCCCUGACUGGAGGGGGGUCAAUACCGUGCGACAAGUAAGGACAGCCUAUGAGUGACCUUAUCUAGCGGGUACUCAAUGAGAAUGGUGGGAACCCUAAACUGACAGGUUAAGCCACCUCAUCAACCCUAAUCUAACAGGUUAAGAUGUCUCAGCCUACGCUGGCUACAUAGUUCUGGAACACAAGGAUUACUACUAAGAAUCACACCCUGAAGUGGACGGUGAGUUUCCAUCCUUGGGUUCACUCGGUGCUAACCUCUACUCCCAUCUGGAGGGACUGGACAUGAAUAACUGACUAUGCAUGACUUAAUCUUACUGAAUUUUAUUGACUAGCGGAAUGUUACUGAUAUCUAACAACUGACUAAGAUCAUAAGGUUUUCCUGAGUCAUAUGACUGACUGAAGUCUAUGGAAUCAUAGCUUGAGUUCGGAUAUCAUGAAACAUGACAUGGCUCUAGGCACACAGCUAUAGUUUUUGGGUACAAGAACCCCCAGGACUCGAUAGGAGGAAACUGACACAUAUGACAUGACUUGAUCACAUAUUUGAGUCCACAAUUUACAAUAUCAUAAGUUAGGCUUUCGUGAUAAGAAUGAUUCCAAACAAACUAUCAUAUGAUCGGGAAUGCACACAACAUGUAUAUACUUGUAUGGCUUCAAUAACAUAGUCAUUCCAUAUCGCAACAAUAUCAUAAGCAUCUCAUACAACAUUUUUAGUUCAAGACAAUAGCACGGGGAUCACGUUGAACAUAAACUUAGGACAUGGAAUAGUCAUUUAGGACUUAUUAUUUAAUAAAAGCAUGAUUUCUAUUCCCUUAGGUAUUUUCACAAACACCUUAUAUGCACAUCUUAGGCAUAGCUAGAUUUAUCAAGAUUACAAAUAUUCAACCACUAAUUUCACAUAUUUAUAAGUUAAAUACCAGCAUAUCCUCACAAUAAACAUACAAAUAUCCCAUAUUAGGCAUCAUCAAACUCCAACCAUAUGAAAAUCAACCACUAAAAACAUAAAUAUCAUGAUACAAAAUUUAGAAGAUGGUUCUUGAGCUUCAUGGAUGAAAGGAGUCCAUUAAUCAACUCACGCAUAACAUAGAAGGAAGAUUCUUGAUGAUUGAUGGAGGAAUUUCCUUGAAAUCAGAUCUUCAAGCUUAGUUAUGCAACCCUAGUUAUUUUUCUCUUUUAGUGCUCUUGGAUGAUGAUCUUUGAGAUGAUAAUAGGGUUGUAAUAUGUUUAGAAGCUAUAUAUUUCAUAGGGUUAAGUUUAGGGACAUGUAAGGAGUGUUAAAAAACUUAAUUACCCUUAAAAUUACUCAAAAUGGAGUGUUUUCGGCACCUGGAACUGACUUAGGUGGCGCCCAAGUGAUUUUCUAUGCUAGGUUGGGCGGCGCCAAAACAAUCGCCUAUGUUUGGUUGGGCGACGCCUAACCAAUCGCCUAUUCUUAUUGUCUCUCACGAAAAUGGGGAUAACUUUUUGCUCGGGUAUUGGAUUAAGGUGAAAUUGGUAUCGUUGGAAAGCUAAUUUGAUUCUCUAAAAUUUGGUGAGUCUAAAUCAGAUAGAAUAUCAUAUUAACAUUGAAUAAUACUCGUUCAAAGAUGACCCUUGUAUAAUCGAACACUAAAACUUGAUGGAUUCAAAAACUCUUUUCUUGUAUUACCUUAAGUGACUCAUAUGAACAUACUUAAUGCAUCAUAAGCUAUCUUAUCUCUAGGAUAUUCAUUAUAAGUCAUGUACUCAAGUAUGAAUCACAGGAUAGGAGAUUUCAUACGUAGGAAUACUUAGUCACUUCCUAACUUAGAAACAUGCGGGGUAUUACAAUAAUGGUAAAGGUAUGUCUCAAACAUAUUUCUAAUAAAUUUCAUCACUUAGAAUUUAGACGAUAAAACUAGUGUAACUAGCUUGAGCUAUGUGUUGUUCAAGUUCAUCUCGAUGGAUUUUAGUGUGCGUAAUGAGUUACUAAGGGUAUAAGUUUGUAAUUAUGUGUGUAAUUUCUUGUUUUAAACGUUUCAGUUUUAUUUGAAAGAAUCUAGUAGAAAAAACACUAAGUUGAAGAUUGAAAAGACAAAACUAGUACUCUUAGCUUAAGGUACUAGUUAAUCGUCUUGGAUUGUAUGUUGUUUUGAGCUCUAAUUCAUGGAUUUUGAUGUUAUAGGUUGCGUGGUGAGUUGAUAAUGAUGAUAUAUGGAUGAUAAAAAAUUUGAAAAUAAAUUGGAAACAAUACCACAAGAAUACUAAGUGGGUGAACAUGAGUAUUAUGGACAAGAACACUAAGUUAAUAUAUGGUUGCUUAUGGAUUUUAACAUGUAUUCAUUCAUUGUGAUUAUGAUUACAUCCAUGAUCUGAUAAACAGCCUUUACUAUGUUAAGGUCAAGAAUAUGAGUAUUCUGGUUAUGACCCUUAGAAUACAUUCAUAAUCAUCUUGUGAACCCAAAAGGAGGAACAAGAGGAUAGAGGGAAAGAGAGAAUAGAAUUAUAAUCUUCCAAUUAAAUGAAGUUAUAAUUUACAAUUGGAUAGGAAUAUAUCCAUUUUAUAGAGUAAGGGAUGAAAUAUGAAUGUAUUAUACUUAUUUCAUGGUUCCCCACUCAACGAUAUAGUUGUGGGGCUAAGUUAGACAAUAGACUAGAGGUUCGCAAGGCCAUAGACAUACAAAGAACCCCGUGAAUGAACAACCAUGAUAACUAACCUAUCCAAUUAUGUUCGUAUGAUUGUGUUCAGAGCCUUAACCCUACCCUUUUCCCAUUAAUUUUUCAAAUGUUUACUUUAUCAUAUUGUUUAUUUUACUGUUACUUAUAACUUACAAACUCUUAUGCUUACGUAUACACUAAAUUAAUCUUAUUAGUGAACUAGUAUUAGAUAGUUCUUAACACAAGUCUCUGAGGGAUUGUUACUUAGCUUGUAAAAGGCCAUUAUAUUACUUGGUGAGACCACAUACAC
rnacentral:lncRNA from 1 species